rnacentral:lncRNA from 1 species
UCUUCUUUAGAAACUUCAUCAAUUCCUCACCAAACCCAUCUCCGGUUUAUAACCAGUUUCCGUACAAUAUCAGUGGUGCUUCUUCCUCUUCUUCUUCAGCUGCUUUGGUCAACACUACCAGCUGUGGUCAACCUCAUGAAACCAACAUGUCAGCAAGUACUAAUUUCAGUUCUACUGGUACUGGCUCAUCAUCUUCCAUGACUGUAGCUACUUCCGUUCCUCUCAUGGAUAUUACUACUUCUUCCACAAAACCCACCACCCAUGACGAUCAUUCAGAUUUCUUUGCUGUGGAGUCAUCUGAUUCUGGGUUGUUAGAAGAGGUCAUUCACCGCUUCUUCCCAAAACCCACCUCCAAGAAGUCAAUGGACCCUCCAAAAUCAGCUGACUAUGGUCGCCAUAAUAUGAACAGCAUUCCUUCAAGUUCCAGCCAGGCCUCUUUUGUGUCUGCAAAUCAAGCUCCUCGCUUUGAUGGGCCGACAAAGAAUCAUCCUCAUCAGCAUGGAGGUGUAUGCUAUAACUUCGAAGAAUUGCUGCCACAACCACAGCAGCUUGGAAACAGUUUCAGUGUUGGAAUGGAUUAUCAACCACAAGUAUCACAGACGACGCAGGCCGUCCCGUUUUACAAUGAUCACGUGCCAAUCAACGUCCAGCUGGGCGGGCAAGAUUACUCCAUGGUCGAUAAUAACAUGUUCCAGUACCCUGAGUUCAUGGGUGGUUUUGCGGCCAGGGUCCAGAACUGAAGCCUGAGAGACUGAUCUCUCUUGAGUGAUGGGCGAUGCAAGUUAUGCUUUGAAGUUCGAUGAGGUAGCUGAAGCUUAGAGCUAGAUAGCUAGAAAGAAAGUAUGGAUCUAACGAGUUUGCAUGUAUCUUCCUCUUCUCCUGGACUUAGGGUUUUGUUUUCUUAGGAAGAAGAGAAUGAAAACUAUUUACUAUGGGUUUUGGUCUUGUUUUGAUUAGAUUAUAUAUAUAUAUAUAUAUUAUAUGUUAGAACUUGUUGUCAUGCGCUCAUAUUUGCUUUUAUAUUGAGUUUUGAAUUGAUUUAUCCGAAGCGAUGAGAUGCAUUUUCUGAGCUGUGAUAAUUGCUCACUUGGGUUUAGGAAAUUACAGUUGACCUUGUAAAUCUCAUCUUGCAAUGCUAUGAUUGGACUUUUCGGCUCUUAUAUUCAUACCUUGUUUAUUUUUAAUUAUAAAAAGAAGGGGAUGAGUGAUUUUGCAUCGCAUUCGCGUGUAUUGAGAAAACGGGACAGCUCUCUUGCAAAUUUUAGGGGAGGGGCAUAAAUGUCAUACAAAGUAGUUUUGUGAAAACCCUAAUAGGGAGGGAGGGUGUGAUGAAAGUGAACAUCAGGUGGGAUUAGAAAUUUUGGGGUUGAGCCGAGUCCCGACCACCAGUGCUCAAGUUAACUGUAGUUGCUGCGUUAAAUAGGCACAGGAAAUCAUCUAGUUUUUUACUGUACAAGAUGUAUGUGGUCCUCUCACCAUUUAAUUUUACAAGAAUUAUGCUUCUUUCUUUAGCCUCUACCCUAUUGAACUCUGUUUCCUUUUCUACAACAACUCACCUAACCCUCUUACUUUGCCCUCUCCUCCUCCUCUCUGUAGAUAAUGCAGUCUCAAAUGUUCUCUCACUACACAUAAAUUGGCAUGUCGCUUGGGUUAUGUAUCGUUUUUUGUUUUUAAAUUUUGUGCUCAACAAGAUCAUACUUCUUUGAGGCACACACUAUCCUCUAACUGUUCCAGAGGAGAUGCGACAGGGGUAUCCAAUUUUUGUGUUCCGGAGAUCCAACAAGUACUUAAGUUGAAAAGUCAGCUUGGGAAUUUUGUAUCAUUUGCUAGAUCAAAUAUGAAAUUAUGAGAUGCAUGUGUAUGUAGAUAUAUACACACAUGUUUGAAAUGAAAAUAAGAAUUGAACUAUAAUAAUUAAGGCAUAACUGACACGUAAGUACAAUGAGAGCUUAUUGAUUUGUCCUAGGCCUACGUGCAUGGGAUACCUCACUACUAAAGCCUUACCCCUCAACUAGGGGCUUAAUUAAACGCUUAAGUAUGGUUAAUAAUUGAGAUCAAUAGAAGAUGGACCAGUAUUUAGUAGGAGUGUACGUAGAAGGUUGGACUUAUCCGGCACAUGAACAGUAACUUGCUCUGUUCAUAGGCUAUAAGUACUGGUAAGUAUUUAUCAAUAUAACCCUUUCUUUGAGCUCCUAAUGACUCCUUUAAUAAAGGAGGUUAGCUGCAUCUUCAUUGAAAGCUUUUGGGGAACUACCAUUCAACCAAAGCCUCCCGCUGUGUUUGCCUUUCUAAUGUUGACGAUUUUAACCAAUAUGGAGAAUAUUCAUUAAGACUAUUAUAGGAAGCAAAACCGUGCCACUAAUCAUCUUCUUGUUGCACACCGACUUGCUUUGCAUAAUGUGGUGGACAAUUUUAUUUAAUUUGAGGUACUUCCUGAUUUUAUUCAGGAUGCCUUAUUAUGUGAUUCUUUGAGUCGGGGUCAGGCGUUUUGUCCACCCGUUGUAAUUCUUCAUUUUAUCAAUAAAGUUUCCCAAGUUCCAUGGAAUAUGGAUGAUCACCAUAACAUCCAUUACCUCCACCCCUUAUUACUUUUUAACCUAUGCCCUUAUUAUUGUAAUUAGUAGCUAUAAAUUGUGGGUUAAAUACCUCUAUUGUAAGCCUAUAAAUAGGUGCUUAUCAAAGAUAAAUAUGAUAAGUUGAUACAAGUUCAUAGAGCAAAUUCUCUGUAUUUCUCUUCCUCUUAUUGCUUUCUACAAUUCCCCCUAGUUUUAUAAUAAAUAUAAAUAUAUACCUAUAAAACUGUAAGUAUAUUAUUUACCAAAAUAAAAAUAGGUCAGUUACUUUGUAAUUGAAAUUUUCGUACAUUUUUCAUAAAUUAAAAAUAGGUACACAAUAAUUUAUAAAAAAUAAGUACAUUGUAUAAUCUAUAUAUAUAAAGCAAAAGGCAGAGAAUGGUGAAACAUUCAAAAUACCAGAAAAUGUCCUUAGUUAAUGCAAACAUUAAGAAUUAAAAUUAUUAAUUAAAUGAGGAUAAUAUAGUAAAUUCACAAUUUUUCGUAUUAAAAAAUUAAAAAUAAAAGAAAAUUCAGAUAAUGUAUCCUAUUUUUAUGGAACACAACUAUCCAUUAUCUUUUUUAAUUCUAACAUAAAUUUAAAUUUUUUUUAAAAAAAGCCUCUCGCAGGCGCAGAAGCGCGUGCAGAGAGGCUAGUUGAAAUUUAUGCAAAUUUUUUAUCAAUUAAAAAUAAGUACAUUAUUUAGAAGAAAAAAAUAAGUUCAUUAUACUAGGUAAAUUGUUUUACUAGAUAUUAUUAUAGAGAAAAAAAAAAGUACAUUAUUUAGAGAAAAAAAAAGGUUCAUUUUUUUUAAAAAAAAUCAUAAAACAAAGAGUAAAUUUAUUAUCAAAUUAUUUUGCAUAAAACAAGUAAUAGGUACAAUUAUUUAGAGAAAAAAUAGACAAAAUUUAGAAAAAAAAUAGGUUCAUUAUAAUAGGUAAAUUGUUAUACUAGGUACAUUAUUAGAGAAGAAAAAAAAAGGUGCAUUAUUUGGAGAUAAAAAAUAGGUUCAUUUAAAAAAAAAAAUUAUUUUCAUAAAACAAACAAUAAAAAGAUGAUCAAAUUAUUUUUCAUAAAACAAGUAAUAGGUGCUUUAUUUAGAGAAAAAAUAGGUUCAUUUUAAAAAAAAUGUUUAAAAAAACUUUAAAUAGAUUAUCAAAUUAUUUUUCAACAUAAUUAGAAUGUACACUAUUAUUCAUAAAACUAUAAUAAAAUAGAUUACUAGUCGUAUAAUUCAUAAAAGGAAAACAACAUUAUUUUUAUUAAAUAAACCAAAACGUUAAUCACCUAUAGAUUUCAUAUACGUUAAUGUUGAAUUUAAUAUUUAAUUUCAAAUACGUUUCUAAAUUAAUUCAUACAUCCAUUAUGACCAUUUGGAGAUCUUUCCAAAUUCAAUGUGUGUCAUUAGUUACACCCCCUCAUAACACAUUAACUUAUAAAUAGGGGUAGUUUUAGAAUCCAAAAAAUACAAUAAAUUAUAUUUUAAGUUAUAUUAGGUAAUUUGCUUAGUUGGAUCCUAGUCAUUGGAUAUUAUUUGAAAAAAAUUGGGUAUUUUAAAUAGAAAAAUAAAAGGAACGGUUAUAGGUGAUUUAAAAUGAAUUUUAUGGUUCUAAACUCAAUUAACUGUACAUUUUUUUCAAAGCAAAAGAAACUUUUUUGAACCAUUAGAUUAAUAUCCAACGGUGGGUGACCACAAUCUCUUGGACUCCUGUGGUCCAAGAGAUUAGGACUAUAUAGAUACAGUCCCGAUCUCUUGGACCACAAGAGUCCAAGAGAUUUGUGGUCACUCACCGUUGGAUGUAAAUUCAACGGUUCACUCAAUCUUGCACUCCUUUUAAAAUUUUUUUUUGAACCAUUAGAUUAAUAUCCAAUGGUGGGUGACCACAAUCUCUUGGACUCUUGUGGUCCAAGAGAUUAGGACUGUAUAUUUGAAAGGCAGUGAGAAUUCUGUUCCUGAUUUUCUCACUAGAGAAUUCUUGCAGGAUGCACAAUGGCUCCCAAGAAAGACAAACAAAAAGCAGUAGCCAGUCAACCCAAAUUGCCUAAGUCGCCCAAGUCGACCCAGUCAUCCCAGUCGUUCAGAGUCCUUCCUUCCUCCAUGAGUCAACCUAAGCCAGAGUCGCCCAAGCAAAUAGUUCCUUAUCCGGGUCACCCCCCAUUAUCAGUUGCCACUCCAAUCUCAGUUGCAAACAGAUUUUCCUCUUUAGGAUCAACAGUUGGUCAAAUUCGCCCCAGUUAUCAAUCUACCCUAGUUUCUAGUUAUGACCCCUUUGCAGUUGAAAUCCCUGCAGGGCCAUCAGUUGUCUACAAAAAAUCGUCCCCUUAUUUGCCUAAAAGUAAUUCUCAUUUGUUUGUAAUCGAGUCUCUGUAUGAUAUCAAUGCAAAUCCAGUAGAAAUUGCCAAACACUAUUUUCCUCCUGGAUUUCAUUAUAUGCCCCAGAGUCCCUAUAAGUCCCUCAAGUAUUAUAGAGAUAUAUUGCUUGAGACACAAUCAGUUGAAAUUAAGCCGAUAAAGGAUCGGGAUCAUCCUGAAACCAUUCUUUAUCAUUCUCUAUACAUUCAUCAAAUUGUCAGUCAACAAUCUUUUAGUAGUCAUCCCUAUGAGUUGAAAAUGCUUAAGUCAAAAUUACAAUAUAAUUAUUCGGAUUAUAUUGAAGCCUGGUAUACUAUUUUUCUUCACCAAUCUGAAGACUUUAGUCAUUCCUGGUUUAUUAAUUUUGAUAAUAAGUUCAAGAGUGCCUUUCCCUACUGGUUUCUUCAUUGGUGGGAAAAGCAUGGUCCAGUUGAUGAAAUCCUCCCAGUUGCAGUUCAUCAGUUGAUUAUGCACUAUACCAAGCACGCCAAGUUCUCUCAAGUUGACAGAUUUUUCCCAAAACAGUUACUGUUUAUUGCCAGAUACAAGGUACCUUGGAUCCUUAAAUGGUCAUAUGCCAUCACCAAGGAUGUCCGAGUAUUUGCCCGCCAAUUCUCAGUCAAAUGGUGGGACAAGUUUGAAGUUGACAGAAUAGCCAAAUACGUCUACAAUGACCUCCCCCGGGAGCCAGUUCCUCGCCCAGUAUCUCCUACAGGCUCAGUCAGAUCAUCCUUAUCAGUUGAAGGAAAGUCUAAAGCUGAGCUCCAGGAAAUUGCACGACAGCUGAUCAUCCAGGCCUCUCAGAUGGAUGAUGAUGAGGACAAUGAUUCUCCCUCAUCGUCUAGUUGCCAGCCCAUGCAGAGUCCUGCCAAGACAAAGCCUUGGUAUGAUGACAGCCAGGAUCCCUAUGAUGCCUACGAUCUAGGGGAAUCCUCUCCAUAAUUGCUUCAGUUGCCGACAAGCAAGCCUCGUCAAAAGAAGAUGCCAAUUUGUCAAAAGUAGUUGCCGACAGACCAUUCUGUCAAAAAGAAGAUGCCAAAUCACGUGGAAGCAGCAGACAAAGCAUCUCUGCUUUUACUUUGGUCAGAUCACCGAAAAGCAGCAGACAAAGCACUGUUCGCUUUUUGACAAAUCACCUAAAGUAACCAAGAGCAUCUGCAGGAGUCAAAGUUACCUCUACAGUUGCUAAAAGUUGAAUCAGGUUGAACACCUGUGCUUCUACAGCUGUCCAACCAUAGUUGCUUUUGUAAACCAUAGUUGAAAGUUGUCUUUAAAUACAGGCCUCGGCCUCAGCCAGUGGCAGAACCAGUUGGAGAACUAGUUUUUUUUUCCAGCUUCAUUUUCAGUUUUAAAGAUUCUCUCUGAAACACCUUUAGAGAAAUCACGCUUGUAAAUAGUCUAAGUGUGUUGAAGUUUGCAGUUGCAAUCUCUGUGAGUAUAAUAAAAGUUGCUAUUUUCAAAAUUAUUCUAUUUUGAGUAAUUUCAUAUAUGCAUUAUUUGCUACAUUUGCAUUAGUCUGAAUGUUGAGUUAAGUUGCUGCGUAAUCAUAUUCAUCUUCUUUCUCGCUAUCUCUCUGUGUUCUUGUUUUGGUAUCAGAGCCGUAAGAGUUACGGUCUUUGUCUAAGUCUGCUACUCAUUCCCGCCCAAGUGGCUGGUUUAAGCAUCUGAGUAGAAGGUUUCAUCUUCUUCUUCUUCUUUCCUUUUAUUCUCCAAGUUGUCUGUUCAUCUUUCUCUAAGGUCUGACCCGUGAGUCCUUUUUGCUAGAUCUGUAAGUCCCGAGGGUAGGGCGUUUGUGCUGGGCAGGAGACAGAAAAUUGAGAAAGGUUAAUAUAAUAAUUAAUCUAAAUGAUGAAGUCCUAGUCUAUGUUAGUUAAUGUAAUAUAAGUAUUUAUUUUAAUAAUUAAUUAAAUUAUAUUGCGGUUUGCAGGAUACCGCAUUAUUUGGAUAUGCGAAACCGCAUAUUACGGUCGGUUUAGAUGCUGUAAAACCUCAGUUGAUAUUUAUGGUUUUCAAUUUUUCGGUCUAAAAUGCCAGCCCUGCAAUUUGUCUUUGGGUUUGCAUUGAUUGGUUUGAUGUCUUCCCAAAUUGCUUCGGCUCCUAUUUAAUAUGAUGAUAUAUUAGGCUGGGCCUUGGCCCGAACUUCUUAAUUCUUAUAAGAUUUGGAGGAGUCAUAAGGCAAAGUUAGUCAAGGCCAUGCAUUUCACUGGGCCUGCAAACUUAAACCUUAACAAUGGAUUUUUUUUGAUUUUGGUAAGCUCGUUUUUAGAAGCCCAGUAUCCCUUGAAUGGAGAAAAUUGAACCUGGCUCUGCCGAGCCCAUCAUGGAGCUAGGCCUUUCUUGAGUUCAGAAAGCCCUGGUAAUGAAGGUUCUUGGAAGAGUGGCCCAAAUUAAUCUUUGUGCCCAGAGUCGGACAAAUGGCAAUGUGCCCAGAUAAUCUGCGAAAAAAAAUUAGUUCAUUUUGGAAAAGUUUGAAGCAUUAAAAGAAAUUUGAUCCCCAACGUGUUUUUCAUCUUCGCUAUAUGUUGAUGACAAUCCAACCAAGAAUUGAGAAGAAACUGAGGUAUGCCAGUAUCCAUUAAAGAUUCUGUCUUUAAUUUUCUAACAUGUGGUAUUGCUUUCUGUUGUUUCAACUUGUAGGAUCAGAGUAUUUCUGUGAACCCUCUACUUUUUUUCUUUUCUUUUUAGGUGCCAAAGCUCGGCAUUCAUGUGGUUGCACAACCUAAUUGGGCUAAUUGGGAGAGUUGAUAAUAAGAAUUUGAUUGCUUCUACUGGUUUCAUAUAUAUAUAUAUAUAUAUAUAUAUAUUCUUUAGAUUGUGAGAGACCAGUACCUUCCUUAUCUGUUUCUCUUUUCAAAUCAGAAAAAGACAUGUACCCUUGAGAAUGUAGAGCAUGAUAAAUUUGUGGGGUACCCUAUAAAGAUGUGUUUGAUAGGGUACCAUGUCUCAUGAUUCAAUGCAACUGCACAUAAAAAAUAAAAAUAAAAAGAGAGAGGAAGAGAUAUAUACAGAAGGGAAAUGAAAGCUAUAAUGCUCUCUAUCUUAUGGAUGAUGAUGAUGACCAUUACGGGUUUUUACAAGUAAGUGGUUGGAGCAUUAUCAAAAAGUGAUAGAGAUGUAGUUGGGUGGGACGUUAAUGGAUUUGAUUAUCACACCCGUGAGAGAGAGAGAGAGAGAGAGAGAGAGAGAGAGAGAGAGAGAGAGAUUGAUAGAAAGAGAAACAGACAAUAAAGAAAUUGCAUGCCCUGCCCAUCAAUGUUUUAAAUUUACCCAUCAUCUUUUGUUAUCUUUAAAUUAUCUCGUCUCUCUUUCUUUCUAUCUAUCUAUCUAUCUAUCUUAAAAGGAAGUGUUCGAACAAUUUUUUGCUUUGCUUGUUCUUCUGAAUCUCCUCCUUCUCAUCAUCCCCAUAUAUUAUAUUAAGGUGUUGAGUUUAGAUUGCAAUGGAGAGUGAUGAACAAGUAAGCAAGAAGGACAUAAAGGUGGAGAUUCCAGCAGAUGAGACUGAGAAGUACGUGUGUGCAGGGCUCUCAAGACAGCUGAGCAUGACGAAGAACAAUUGCCUCUGCUCCCCCACCACGCAUGCAGGCUCAUUCAGGUGCAGGCUGCACCGUGCCCCGAGCCUCCAGCGGACUAAAAGCAUGGACUGUCGUGGCCCAGCGUCUAAGGCAGGCUAAAUACUAAAUACUACCACUGCUACUGCUGCUGCUGCUAUGUACAACCAAAGCUCAGUAAUUUCUAAAGAAAAAUAAGUGCGAAUGUUGCUUAUAUAUAUAUACAUAUAUGUAUUUAUUAUGGCUCUUUGCUGAAGUUUGGAGUUUUCACAUUCUCCUUGUAUUCUGCUCUUUGUAACCAUUGUUUUUGUAUUGAGAGAAUUAAAGCAUGGCGUUUUAUCAAGUGUCUUAUAAUUUAUAAAAAAUUAUUGAUUUCGACUAGCCUUUUGCUUACUGGUUCUGUGAUUUCUGCAACAACUACGCUAGCAUCAGUAAUACUAUGGCUGAAACAGAGCCAACUCAGUCUAGUUCAAGCAGCAUCUUCAAGGCGCCAUAGCCCUACAAAACCAUAAUUUGAAUGAAGACAUCUGAAAUUUUUAUUACCUUGUUCAGUUGGAAUUAAACCAAUAAAUGGUUCAUGUUGCCCACAAAUGGUAUGUGUCUCAUUUAAAUACUUGCAGCUGUGUGUGUUAAAACAUUUUGUCUAUGCAAUUUAUAAUUGCUAUAAUGUAUUAUCAAUUUUUUUUCAUCAAGAUGGACAUCCCAGAGGAGAACUUUUAACAGGAGUUGGAUAUGGGCACAUGGAAUAACCAGAAUAUCUGAAUGAUGGUUACAAUAAAAUUUUAACAGAAUAACAAGAAGCAGUUGCUUCCAAACAAUUCUGGAGACUGGGUGGGGGAAACAAUGAUGACCAUGAAGACCACAAUGAUGUCAAGGGGACAGAGCAAACAUCAUCACCACAAUUAUGCAGCACCAGAUCCAAUGCUACACAUAAACCAUGAAAAAAUAUAUUUGAGUCUACUUAUGUAGUCUCUACUAAUUUCCCCAAACAGUUGGAUGUCUGUUUCAACAUGCAAAAUUUGAUCUCAAUGAUACAUGUGUAUGCCUGCCUAGGCAAGCAGGCAGUAUUUCCAACAAUAGCAAAGCCAUUCAUGUUGCCGUUAAUCAUUUUUGGAUGACACAAAUUUCAACGCAAGAAUCAAAGUCACCUACCGACAUAUCACUUCAUAAUUGUUUCUGCAAUAGGAAGUCAAUUAAGUUGCAGACGCAAUUAUGUAAAAACAACAAAAGCAAGCAAGCCAAUAUUUCUUUUCUUUAAUUCGGUCUUCACCAAGUUCUCUCUCUCUCUCUCUCUCUCUCUCUCUCUCUCUCUCGGGUUACUGAUGAUUGAUUCACCAGUCAAAUGAAUAGGUAGCUGGGGAGCCGCUAUUUCCUCACAAAAUGACAUGGUGGAAGGCAAGUCCUUAGCCUUUUGCUAGGUGCCAAAAGUCUUUCGGUUUGGGGUUUUACAUGCAUUAUGGUUAAGUCUUGUAACACAGUACCAGGUAGUUUAAUGUCAUCUUCAGUUUGAGAAAAUGUAAAGCAAGCAGCUGGUGAUUUGAGGUGGGUUUAUAAUUAUGUUUGUAUAACGUGUCGGCCUGAUAAUGGGGUAUAAUUGUUGUACCUAAGACUUUUCAUCUAGGUAACAAGUUUUUGUCUCUUCUUGUUGGUUUUUUGACUUCUUCUUUGCUUUAAAUCCUGGCAUGGUGGGUUGUUUUAUAGCAUCUUGUCCUAACUUUCCAAAAGAUUUCUCUUUGCAAAUGAAAAAAAAAAAGAAGAAAAAAAACAUAAUCUUCUACUAUCCAGAUGAAUUUAAUUUGCCAGCUGAAUAAUUGGUUCAAAGGAAAAAAAAAAGAGUACAGAAAUUCCAAUACUACAGCAGUGCAAAAUGUCAGGUACAUGAACCCCAAAGAAUAAAAUUUGAUUAGCAGGUGAGGAUCCAAGGAGGUGCAGCAAGGAGACAAGGACAGGUGUUGCAGAUUUGUGGACAUCUACACAAAUCUGGUCCCGCAAUGGUCAUCUACAACUAAUAGAGAUUCACCUAGAGGCUAAAGGAUUUUGCACUUGAUCAUGUCCUGAAAAUCUUCUUUCUUAUUAUAAAAAGAUUACAUGAACAUUAAUGCACAUUGGGGAUUCUUAAUUUUGGUUCCUAGUGAGUUACAAGGAAUGAGGGAAAAAAGCAUAGUAUAAUAUGUUACUCGUUGGAUUAACCAAACCCAAGUGGAUCAAAUUAAACAAAAACCACUCAAUUCUUUUCACUGGUUGUACUUCUGUUGGUGGACCACAACUUACUGAACAUUCUUUUGGGUCUUGCAGGAAGCAAGCAAAGAGCUUUGAGCUUUGAACUUCUCCCAAUUCCAUCUGGGUUCAAAUCAUUUUCAUCCAAAUCAUCGUCUUCGGCGAGCUUCAUUCGUAAAGUUGACAUCUUGGACCUGGGAGAUUUGAGACCUGAGACACUCCAUUGGUCAUCUGCUGGCAUAAGACUAGAGGUGCUUAAAGGGGCUGGAGGCCUGGAUGGGUCAAUGUUAUGUGUGGCUAGAAGUGCCCUUAUGUUGCUAGGCAGCUCGGUCACUUUGCCACCAGCCAUGGCAGCUCGAGCUUGCUCAAAGAAAAGAACUUGGACCACUACCCUUAGUGGGAGUAGCUCAUUUUGUGCAGCAUGCAUGCAGGCCUCCAUUGAGAGCUUUUUGCAGUCUAGAAUUCGACACAGCCUCUUCCUUUCACUCUUGUUGAGGUCUGGAUGUGCCUGAUAUUUAGGCAUAACGACUUUAAUUAAUAUACAUUAACAUCAACAAGAGUAGUUGGCAUAUUCUAUAAUUAACUAAUUUCUAAAACUUCAUCACAACCUGUUCCAAAUUAGAGCAUGCACAGAGAUUUAAUAAAGAAAAAUUAAGAUUAUGUCAUUCAAAAUGUGGACCACCUAAUCCCAAUUGGUAACCAGUUGUGAACUUGACAAGAUUUUAAGGUCAAGAGAGUUGGUCAUCUGCUGAUAAUGGUGACCCACAUUCUGAAAUGUGACAGCUGAAAUAUACUCAGAAAUCUAAAUACCAAAAAAAGAAAAAAACAUGAACUAUGGUAAAUAUGAAACCCAGAAUUUUGUUCUUAUUACCUUGAGAUAAAUGUCAAUUGCCCUGUAGAGAUCAUCAUGGUCAAGCCUUGCAAACUCUGGUAUUGCCUCAGCAAUUGCAAUGAACUUUGACAGAGACAAAUUGACAUCCCUGCCAAUUUCCUGAAGAUACACAUCCAUAAGCUUUGCCACCUUCAGCUUUGAGCUAUGUGCUGCUGAAGAUGAUCUUCGACUCUCCUGAAACUCAAAAUCAAUGUUCUCCGCUGACCGAGACCUUCUCCUUUCAAAACCAAGCUUGGACCUUGGAGGGCUAGUUGGGGGGCUCUGCCCCUGCAACAAAAACUGCUCCAAAAUGGUCAUAACUAUGUCUACAUCAUAUCGAGUGUCGGUUUCAUAUGACACAGAGGGUAUUAUCAAGUCACUGACUGUUGCAUCCUCUAAUUGAAGUCCAACUCUUCUAGCCAAUUCCAUUUUUGAAGAGGAAGAAGCAUUAAGGAUAUUGGCUGCCUUCAAGAGUUUAAGCAGAAAACUAGUAGAUGCAGCACCUUUCUCCACUGGAACUAAGCUUACAAUUGAUUCCAAGAUCAACCUAUGCUUUGAAGUUAAAUCAUUGGCAGAGUCUGAAUCUGAAUCAGAUGCUGCUUGUUUAUGGUCGCAUCCAUUUUUUGAUAUGUUGGGCAACCAUUUAGAUGCAUAGAUUUUCAAUGCAUCUCCAAUCAGAUGAGAGGGCAUUUUCCCACCAGAUUUAAUAGCUAUCAUGGUUCUCCAAUAGAGGUCUAUGCCCAAUUCUGCUAUGUCUUCAGCCCACCAUCCUCUGUUUGCAGGCUUAUUAUGCCUCAGGCUCUCUGCACCAUUGCAGGACAUGUCAUCUCUACCCCUCCUGGAAUAACUAUGUGACAAGCUAACCUUUGAAGGGUGUGUUAGGACUUUGGAAGCAAUUGCCUCAAUGCAUCUGCUUGUGAUGCCAAGGUCCUCUGACCACAAAGGAAAAGCCUUUGUGCUUUGUAGAGUGGCAAUUGAGUCUCUCCACCCUUGGAGGAUGCAAGAGUUGAAGAAAACCUCAAGCUUAUAAAUAAGGUUGCCCUUCUCAACAUCCUCAGUCAUCUGUAAGUACUCCGCGGCGCAUCGAGAAGCUACAAUGUUGUAGGCACUGAGGGUGAUUGUGAUGCCAUAGCAGAAUUUUGCACAGAGCUCAAAUGCCUCAACCCCACUGGGAAAAUCAUGGAGCUGGAUUAUUUGGUGUUGUGAAGCUUCUUGAUAUUCAGAGCACAGCCUCUGCAGCCGCAAACACUUGGACAAAAGAGGAAACUGCGUGCCAUGUGAAAAUGAAUCAAUUUAAAGAAAAACUCAUAUGCAACAUUCAAUUGAAUUGCAUCAUAUAUCAACUUGAACAUAUCCCAUAAUCAAAAUUUGUGAGAAGUUCAUUAAGUUUACCUUGUGAAGCAAAUAUCUGCUUCCCUUCACUUGAAUUAUAAGAUCACUUGAAACUUCAGAGGAGACUGACCUGAAUUCAGCAGGAAAAAUAGAAAAAUCUGUUAGUACCUUCAUCAAUGAACAUAGGCAUAUCUAAAAAGUAACUUCAUGUUCAAUCAGAUAUGUGCUCUUACCUUACGGCCUCAGUAGUGUAGAAAGUAUCUGGCCGAGAUCCAAGUUUCAUAAACUUCAUGAUUGAUUCUUUCUUCUUAUUUUCUUCUUAUGUGCACAUCAGAAGCUCAUUAACAUAAUUGAAUUCUAUAUCCCUUGCAGGCUUCUACAACACCAGGAGGCACACAAGCUUCUUCUUCCAGCAGCAAGCAAAAGUGAAAGAAUUUUCCUGGAUGAGGAGAGAGGAUAUCCAAGAACAAGGGAAAACCAAGAGCUCUUGCUGUUGUGGGUGUGAUACUAAAUGAGUUUUAUAUAUGUAUAUAUAUAAUCAGAAGAAGUUGUCAAAAUGACAAAACUCAAGAGGAUCAAACACACCAAAGCUCAGGUCCUAUCAGUCAAAUUCUAUACCCCAUGUGACUUGGACAUGCAAACAAAGAAUUAAAGUCACUGCAACUAGAGCUGCUCUAAAACUAGUAGACACAAUCAAAUUUUGUUCAAACAAAAAAAAUCAUUCAACAAAAACUUAGCCCUGAAAGAUUGUAAAAUUGUGAACUUUGGGUUUUUGUAAUAACUAGAAUGAAAAAUAUGGUUUAAGGCCUCUCUCUCUCUCUCUCUCUCUCUCUCUCUCUCUCUCUCUCUCUCUCUCUCUCUCUCUCUCUAGCAUGGCCAUGCCAUUGCCAGCGUGCAGAUCAAAAGGUAACUCCCACGUGCUUCUCUCGAGCCCACUUGUGCCCUUCUCUCUCAUGAUUGCCACAGCAUUUUUUUAUUGCAAGCAGUAAGACCCCUCCUCUCCUUCUCUGAUUAUUUUUGUCAAACACUAUUUUAUACGCAGUAUCGUAUGUCUCCUCAUUUCCCAUUGUUAAUUUCUAAAAGGGAAUAUUACAAUAAUUGAAAAGCUAAAGAGAAAAUAUAUUUAUACUUUUUAAUAAAUUAAAAUAAAAAAACAAAAAAAAACUAAGAAUACAAUAAAGUAAAAGGGAUGCCAAACGCAAACAAUAGGACAUGUGUAUCGCUAUCAAAGAUAGGCUUUUGAGCCUUUUAACCAUUCUCCACCCUACAGGCUACAGUAAGGCUAAUGUCAAAACUGCCCUUUUGUUCUGCUGCAAUAUCGAAACUAUUCUCUCUUUUUUUUCUCAUUUAUGGCAUAUGGCCCCAUGAGUGGGAAACUUUGAAUAUUAUUGGUGUGACAUGAAGAAAAAGAUGCAUGGAUGAUGUUAGAAUGAGGCAAAUGAAAGCUUUUUUUGGUCCUAAACUAAACUUCCAUUAAUGUGAGGCGAUAAAUAAUGCAUUAUUCUGGCAGUUGAAGGUCUUCUCUUCUUCUUCUUCCACAUAUUUCAUUUUCACAUGGUUUUGCGAUAUUUUCUUUUUGUUCAUAUGUAACUUCGAUGCAUGAUGAUCGUAACAAUGAGGACUGACAGCAAAGCAGUAGGUCCCCAUAUUGUAAGCAUAUGACUUCUGAUCAUAUCGGUUUACCAAGUGGCCCCUUCAUAGUUGAACUCUAAGGUUUUCUUUCUUCAUAUAUUCAUUUUUUUUUUCAUCUAUUAGAACAAGAAUCGACCUCUUUUAGCGUGGGCGUCACGAAUCUAUGCGUUUUUUUCACAAUCAUUAGUGGUUGUUUACUUGUAGAAGCCGAAAAUCUGUUCCAAUUAAAGGGAAAACAAACAAAAAGAAGAUAGGUGAACUAUGUUGAAAAAAGAUCGAUUUUUCAAAACAAAAAAAAAAAAUCCAAGGACUUGUGUACUUAAGUGUUUCACCAUAUUAUGGCAUAAUCACGGAGAGAAUGAGACCCUUUUUAUGUUAUGUCUCGAUCAAUGUCCUCCAGAUAACAGAACCUAAGCUUGUAAUGGCUCGAUCAAUGACUACCGUUUGUUUUUUCUUUUGCCUUUUUUGUUUGGGACGUUUGAUAUAUCCAGGGCAAAUGCCAAAUCUAGGGCAAUUGGCAUGCUUGAUAUUUUACGGGUAAAUGAAGGGUAAGCUGUGGAAUGAGACUGAGUGGUGUCGACUACAGGUAAAGGUCAUUGUGGGCAUAAGUCGAUGUCCACACCCUACGUGAGAAAGAGGGUACACCACAAAUGCCGUAAUGGUCCUCGUCCUGCUGCCCAACGGGGUGGCCAACCGACAGUAUGGGACCUUCCCACGGGCCCACAUUCUCCCUAUACUUCACUACUUCUUAGUCAGUGGGACCCUCCUAGUAGAAACUUGGGCCCUUUACAGUUUGCAUAUACAAUACAAGAGAACUGCGGUUGGCAACCAAUUCUAAAAGGCCUUUGGCAAUAUACUAUAGACCUAAAUUUUGUAUGUGAAUGGAGAUAAAAGUUGAUUUAUUACGGGAUGAUGCUUCCCUCUUUGCCCAUAGAGAGGCCUUUGGCCACACUCUUUGCCCAUUGAUUUUCAAAAAGUUAUCAAUAAUUUCAUCACCAACUGUUGGUAAUGGUUAUGGCGAAAGAGUUUUAUUUGAGACAUGUUUAUAUUGUCAAUCUGAAUUACAUUUAAUAAGAUAAUAUAGUGAUAUUAUAUACUUGGAUAUGCAUUUCCCACGCGUAGGGAACGGUGAGGCUAUAUCUAUGACUUUAUCUAAGCUAGGAUUCACAAGAAACACAAGGACCCCACAAAUUGUAUGCAUAAAAAUCAUGUAAUCAAAGUGAGAACUGAUGAGAAGGGGCACCACAAUCCCACAUUGGAAAAAGCUGAAAGAGACUCUGGUCAGUGCACUUGGGGGGGAGAGACUGGUCCUUGCUGUAAAUGUGAAUGAUACAAUUCACAGGGUCUCGAACACAACAAGAUUGUGGCACUAGAAUCAUAUCUGGCUCAGUUGCAUACGUACAAAACUUGAAGCCCCAAAAAAAGAUGAAUUUAAGUGACAGACAGUGAUUACACAAAGCUACGUGACCUUUUUGAUCUUUCCUUGGCCUAGCAAACAAGGAUUUCGUACCUCAUGAGUCAUCGCCAUUUCCUUCCAGAGAUCUCAAGGCUUUACAACGAUUGGAUUGGUAGGCUGAGAUCAGUUAAUGUGUAUAUAUCAAGUGCAGCUGUGGCCCUGCUUGACUGGUUAUAAUCAGUAUGUCAUCUUGUCAAACUGUAUGUCAUUUGUUAUAGCCCGCACUGGAGUGCAUGCAUGGUUAUUUUGGUAAGCCUAGCAGUUCUCCAGCUAGCAUAUGUAAUUCAAAAUUAUUUGUUUAUUUGUUUCUCUCGGGUAUUAAUUCAUGUACAUGAUUUGCGUGAUGAUUCUGUCUCUUGCAUAUAUAUUUAAUCGAUCAUCUUUUUUCUGUUUUUGAGCUUCAGCUUAAUUAUUUUUGUUUAUAUAUAUUUAUAUGUAAUAGUUGAUUUGCAGUUUGUCUGUAAUAUCAUUCAUUAAUUCUUCCCCAAGUUGGAAUUCUUUUAGGUAACUAAUAAUGUCAGAGACUCUCACAUCAAAGAAACCCAAAAAAAAAAAAAACUAAAUUCCAAAAUGAAACAGUUAGCAUUUGAGGGAUCCCACAUGCAUGGCUGUGCCAAUAAACAGCUGCAGCCUGCAAUUAUACGAGUUUUCGUACCAGUAGAUUCUGUAUCACUAAUCUAAGACUGCUGUUCUGGCUCAAUAAUGACACGUGAAAGAGGAAAACAGCAAGCACAAAAUUUCAAAUCAACAUUGGUACUUAUGGCCUAUCGUCAAUGAUUUUUGGGGUCUGAGGAGAAAAACUUACUUGCAAUGGGAAUAACAUUAUUUUGUUAUUUCCGACUAAUAAUAUUAUUAUAAUAUUUAAAAAAGUUAUCUCAAGUAUCAUUAUAUUAUUAGCAAGAAAUAAAAAAAAAUAUUAUCCCGUUUUAUGAAAGUGUUUUUCCUUCUUGAGAUCUAGAGUUUAUGCCCCAAAAUAAAAAAUUUAAGUGGACCAAGAGAUGUACUGAGGAACUCAAAGAAAACGAGGAGAAUUUUCAUGGGUUAUAGUGUUCCCUUAAUUCUCCAAUGCUUUGUCAUGGGUUAUAAUUAAAAACUGAAGGGUAGGGCCUAAGAAUAAUAUAAAGUGCUUUGUUAGACAUUUUGUCUUUGUUGCAUUACAAAUGUCAAUUGGCACAUUGUUCUACAAGGCCAAAACUAAUCAUGGUUUGCUUUGAACUAUCUGUCAGAGGAUCUACAAGAUCAUCAUCAAAGUAAAUGGAGGGUCAAUGUGAGAAGAUAGAGAAGGUCUAAAGGCUAAAAUGCAUGAUAAAUUAGGGCUAUUUUAUUAUUACAUGCAUGAAAUGAAAGUAUCCAAAUACCAUCACCAUGCAUAUAUACAUAUAUACUUGGAGUUUGGUGUGUGAUUUUCAGUAUUAUUAGGUGGUUUAAUUAGCCUUUAGAGACAAGUAAUGGUGGAAAUGAGAGGGGGAUUAGUCAAAAUCAAGAGCUUAAAAGCUUGAAAAUCACAGUUGUAGUUGGUAAAUGAUGAGGGACAUCUCGCUUCCCUAAGAUACCCACCCUCCUCCAUUUGUCAAAGAUUCGCGUGCAAAGCAUGUAUGGGCAGGAUGAGUGUGACAUGACAAAUGGUGUUUUUAGCUUUAGCAUUUUAUUGACCACGCAGAAAAUAAAAACAAGAACAAAAGCUUCUGUUUAUAUGCAUGAAUAAUUAGUACUAAUCCAAAAUCAUAAGACAUAAGCAUGCUUUUUCUCAAGGCUUUGCUAUGUGAUAUGAAAGAUAUGCAUCAUCAUCAUCGAUCCCAUUUUUACAAUUUCACACUCAAAAGACCCAAUUAAAAAUAAAUAAAUAAAUUUACUUUUUCGCAUAGUUGUUACUUAGAUCGAAUAAAUGUCUUUUCGUUUGACUAAUAAUUUCUUUUGUUGUAUAUAGGGGUACAAAGAUUUAGGAGUUGUUUGCACUAAGCCAUUCAUAGAUCGACAAAAUUCUAAUCACUAAAGCAGAUUAGUAAAGCAGCAACCUACUUGUUUAGGUUCCUUGAUAACCUAAUCAAUUGGAAAUGACCCAAUUACUGUAAUGUACAACCGGGAAGCUAAAUGAAACAAUGACGAAAAUUCUUAAAAGAGAAAUUGAUCAAAGAUAUUAGAGAGAUUUAAAUUAAUUUAAGAUGCUUAAUUCAACAAAUGAAAUCAUCACAACAUAAUAUAACAACGGCAACUUUUAAAGAAAAUCUUGAUUCUUUUAAAGUGAGAAAGAACUCAUCAAAACAAAUAGAAUCUUCACACCUGUUAAAUUUCAAAACAAAGAAAGUUAAAUAGAAUAUGAAUGAAGACUAAGAACGAAAUUUCAUUUUCAUUGUUUGUAGUUUAUAUAAGGGCACUGAAAAAUCCUGGUGGAUUUGUCUUACCCAUUUUUGUCCUGAUGCCGUUCAGGUCUGUCUCCUCGAAAUCAUGCAUCUUCCUUUUUCAGACACACUGGAGAAAUGUUGAUGUUUUGUUUAGUAUAAAAUCUUUUUGCCUCGUAGGUGCAUUAUCAUUGCUCUAAUCUCUGGUCAUACCUCAAUCUACUUUUGCCCAUUUGUUUGGCCCAACAUUCCGUCGUCCGAAAUUACGUAGGUAAAUUAGCAGGGCUCUAAUAGAGAAAGGUACAAAAAGACAGUGUUGUGUGAUGUGUUGCACACAAUUUUGACAUCACUUUCGGCUUGAAGACUACUUUUGUUGAGGCUGCAUUGUUCGUAACAAAUCAUGGAUGAAGUCAAGUCCACGUCGAAAAUGUGCAACACAAUUGAGAUAAAAUCUCACACUACAGCACCGAUAACUUUUGCGAUAAAAUUAUUUCCUUUUGUCGACUAGACUAUACAUUAUAUGACAUGUUUGGUCAAAUUAUAAGUUAAAAGAGAAGUCGUACCAGAAAAGACAGAGAAAAAAGAGAGCAAUGAAUACGAGCAUAGAUUUGAAGCUCAAAUUGGAUUCUACAACCCUAAUUUUACAUAUCUUUUAGCAGUGUGUUCCACCCAAUGGCUGAAAGGAGGGAAAAGAGAGUCCAACUUGGUAAGGAUUAAUAUCAACUUUAUUAAAGGUAUUGGAUUAGCAUAAUCUGAACAUUUCGGGGUCGGUUAAGAUAAACUUGAUCUUGAUGAUGAGAUCAAGCAUACGUGUCAUUCCAUCUGUCUUUCCAGUCGAAAGCUUUCAAUUAUUGCAUCAUUCAUGGGAAACAAUAACAUCUCCAUUAAUAAAAUGUGGAAAGCUGAAGAAGAAAUAGCCAAAAUAAAAACUCAGAGUUUUGAAGUUGGCAGAAAUCUGAGGGCGUAUUUGGUUUUGAAAAAGACUGUUUUUAAACAUAAAGUUGGCAUAUAACAAUAAUAUUCGAGAGCAGAGGCACAAACCUACACGCAGAAAAAGAUAAUGGUAAUGAUUGAGGCCCCAUCCAUGACCAUGGCGUAGCAAAGCAAUGAACACCAAAUAGCAAGUCUUUGGUCAACUUCGAGUAAAAAAGGAAGAGAGAAAAGAAGGGUUUGGAAUUAAUGUUUAAAUUGGAGUUGAGGGGAUGGCAACCUGUUGCUGGUAUGAGUAUUCUUCCUUUCUUUCUUCUAUUUAAGGUUUAGGCUUUUGAGCAACUUCUCCAAUCUCAUUAUUGAGAGUGGACCUUGUGGCCAAAAUUGCAUACGGAGUAGUGAUUAGGUCACCGCUUGAUCAAUUCUAUUGGACCACCAUUUGUGUACGGGCAGGUGUAUGUAAUAAGUGUAAAGUACUGUGCCUCCACACUCCCAUAUGGUACAAAGUCGAAGAUUAAUAUAGUUCGAUCUGGUUUAUGAAGAUCAAAUUGAUUUGGUUUGCCGAAUAGUUAUGACGGAUUUUUUCCCACCUAUCAGAAUGGUGUGAAUUUGCGCGAGAGUAACAAAUUAUACAAAGAGAUAGGAGCAUAAAUUGAUUAAAUUUAGUCUCAAACUAGUAGCAUAAUCGAACAAAACAGGUCAUAAUCAAGUAAAGUUUAGCCGGUUUGAUUCAAUUAUGCUUGAAUUGGUUUGGUGUGGCCGAUUUGUUAGGACGGUUUUUGCCCCCACCUGCAAUUUCAUUGGCUUCACUUGGUUAAAAAGAAUGUCAGCCCUCGUUCAUUGCUAAAAAAAACAAUUUGUCUAGUCUAGAUCAAACAUCCAUGAUUUUUGUUAAAUCAGAAGCUAGAUGCAAAACUUUAAUAAUAUUUCUUGAAUCUUGAUACUACACAACACAAGACUACAAGAAGAAGAAGAAGAAGAGACUGUGUGAAAAGCAAUAACCAGAAUUGGGCUCCAUUUUACAGUAGAGAAAACGCUGUAGAUGGAUGCCCCAGAUGAAUGGACAUACAACACAGAAAGCCCCAUUCAGCAUGCAUUUUUGCACAAAUACGGACAAGACUGAGAAUGACAGAACCAACUAAGAUCGAUGCGCAUUAUUUACACUUCAAACACCAUACAAACAUGUGAAGGCUGUCUCUCUCUCUCUCUCUCUCUCUCUCUCUCUCUCUUUCUCUCUCUCAAUAUUGCCACCAUUGGCUUUUAAGGAACCAGGCGGCCAGUUGGUAAGGGAACAUUGACAAACCCUCACACCAAAUCAGUUCGAUUUGCACACGUGCGACCUUGCACGUACUUAUCCCCCUUGUCUAGGACUGCCACGCGUGUGUGUGUGACAAUAUCCUCCAACUGUGUCACAUGGGACCUGGGCCAGCGGUUUUAACUGCUGUCUUGAGCUCUUGAGUCUCAUGGAACCAAAUCUUAUUGGGCUUCCUUUUUGUUGGGCUACUCUUGUUCAUAUCUAGCUUGAAAGUUAUGGGCUUGGUUGAUUUAUUUUCAUGUUAGGCUUAGCUUUUAAAAGUAAUUGUGUCAUGAGACUUGACUGAUUAUUGGACCGAUGCCCACUAGGGCAAACAGACAAGAAGAAUGGUUCCAAGGGAAAAGGCCAUGACCUUGACAACGUGGAGACCUGACUUCUUGGGUAUGGAGCUCUGCAGAGGAUUCAAAGAUGACGUUGUCGUUAUGUGUUUUUCAAAUGGAGAGGGGUCCCUAACACUAUAUAGUAUAUGAUAAAUACCAAAACGUUAAUGGGAGGCCUUAUUGUUUGACUUUUAAAUGUGUAAAGCCGGAGGAAACCUUCAUGUAUCGGGUGUAUGCAUUUUUUGUUACUAUCUCUCUCGUCACGUGAUUAUAUUAUACAUUUAAUUUAUCGUUUCAAUUAAAUAUUUUUUUAUAUCAUAACACGAUGUGACAAAAAGAUCAAUCCCGUAGAGAGCCACCGUCCUUGUCAAAAUAACAAACCAUGCAUCUAAACGAAUUUGUUAUUUAAAAAGAGGAAAGAAAAGAAGAAAACCCUACGAUUAAAUACAGGAUACAGAUUGGAUAGAGAAAAGCACACUAUUGUUUUCCACUUCUUGUUAUUCUCAAAUGCGACAGGUGUCAGGUACUCGAUUCUUGAUUCUUGGAGGUGCUUUGUUUGUGGCAUGAGCUAGAAAAAGAAGGCACUUGAUAUUUCCAAUGGAGGGUUAACAUCGAAUUAUCAAUCAUUAAGUACCCAUCAGCAUGCAAAGAUACUGCCUUGCUGGGCAUCUAAUUAAAUUACUUUUUAGUUGUAGCCUUUUCUUUUAUCAUUAUUACCUUCCUGAUAACGAAAAGACGCAGGAAUAAUAUGAAUCAAAUUUAAAAAAAAUAUAAAGCACAUGCGAUGUUACUGGAAAGCCAAGCAAAGCAGCUGUUGGGUAUCUUUGUGUCCAUUAAUUCUCUUGUAUUGUUUCUCCUUAAUUUUGAUUAGAGACCUUUAGACCAACUUUCUAUAAAGGGAAACGCAAAUUAACAAUUUUUUUUAUAUAUUCCAAAUCAACAAACCACAUGAAAGUUAUUCACACACAAAUAUGGUUUCCUUUCUUUGUGUUUCUCGUCAACCAAACUUAGCUUAACUGUAGCCCGUCCAAUACGAACCAAGAAAAAGGAACUGUGGGUUGACUCGCCAAAAAAUAAGAACACAAAAUUUAGCUCGCAAUAGGCAAUUAUUAAAUUUCAGAAAUUUUAUAAAUUACUCACCUGUGUAGUGGUUUGAAGUAAUUAUUCCUCACAUAAAGUCCUAAAUUUAAGUUAUAUCAUCUAUAUAUUAUAUGUGAAUCUAAUAUAUUAUCGCUCUUUUAAAUAAAAACAAAUCAUAAAAAACAGAAAUUUUUUCGUAAGAGAAGAGACGUGCAAAAGGCCAUAAAAAAAAAGGAAAGAAAGAAGAAAGGAGUCUUGUUGACGAAAGUCGUGAGUCGUCGCUCCAAACACUUAACACUCCGUACUCUAUGGUUUAAUUGAACGUUUGGGUCAAGUCGACGCACUCAAAAUGACAGAAUUGGCAUCGCUAUUAAUUUUGCUAACGUUCAUUUUUAUAAGAUAAAAUGUUACUUUCACUUAAUUAACAACGAUUAAUAUUGGUAAUAAGUUAAUACGUGGCGACGUGUGUCAGCUGCCUCAUGGCCACAUAUGGCACAUUUCGAUUAUCUAAAGUCUAAAAGUCUAAAAGUCUAAAGUCUAAAGUAGAGAGAGAAAGGAAAUGGGAAGGAAAUUGCAUGAGAAAGUUGGAAAGAAAUAGGACCAUUUAUGUGACCAGAUCUACUAUUUGUUUUUGCGUAUUCAUUUGGAAUUUGAUUAGACACAACGCACCAAAUUGCCUCGUAGAUAUUUUUUAGAUGGUGUCAUUUAGGAAUUGUUCCAACUUCUAAACUCUGAUUUGAACUUUUAGGAUAGAGACUUGAAAUGAAGGGUUCAAUUGUUCAUCUUAACUAAUCGUACUAUGGAAUAAAAAGAGUUCUUAAACAAAGGAAACAUCUAUUGUACGAAUUAGAGUCGUGAAAAUGGAUAUGAUAAAUCAUUACGUUUGGUAAAAUCAUUGUUGGAAAUUUAAUACGUGGCAUAGUCAUGUUUCAUACCCUUCACUUUUUUUUGGGGAAGUUUUAUACAUGGCAUAUGCCGAGUGUACUUUACUGCAAAUAAACUACAUUUCUAACAAGUUAAAACUAAUUAGCUCUUAGUCUAGUUGUAUUUACCUUCUUAUUUUUCUAACAUUACAAGAAAUCGAGAGUUCGAAUCCCCUUGUAAAUAAACACAAAAAGUUACCGUUAAAAGCAUAAAAGAGGUGCAUUUUCAUCUUAUGUUUAAAACUUUCAAAAAAAGCUAAAACAUUAAAUUAAAAAAACCCCAUAAAUGAAAAUAAACAUACAAAAAGAAGGAAAAUAAAACAGAAGAUGAAUAGUUUGGCAACGACUUGCGCUUUAUUAAAUGUGAUUGAAAUUGAACUAGUCAGAGAAGGAAAGGCUUUUGUUUUUGGUCAACUUCUGAAUUUCGGUCGAAGGAAGAAUGAAAUGAUAUAAUCAAACGCAACUUCAUUAGGUAACCACUUCACCAGAAUCAUCACCAUUCAAGCUAUAUUCAACCAUAAACACCCCCACCCCAAAACAAAAAACAAAAAAAAACAAAAAAAACUCCUUGACCAGUAUAAUAAUGAAGACGACUUAAUUAGUUAGAAUAAUAAACUAAUUUAGGAACUAAUUCAUUAGUUGAUCAAAUAUUUGUUUAUACUAACACAAUGAAUGUACAAUGAUUAUAAGCCAUGUGCUGCUCUGGCAUAAAAAUGGGGUAUCAUAUUUUACUUCUCAACAACAACAGCAGCAGCAGCAUUGGCACCACCCACCAUUCUUAUCCCCCUUCCCCCUAAUUACAAGAAAGGAAAGCCUCAUGGUAGGACCCACAAUUUUCAUCAAAUUUGAAUAUUCUAAAAUACAAUAAUAAUGAAUGUAUGUAUUAUGACAUUAGUGAAUUAGUAUUAUACACAUUGAAGACACAAUUUUUUUUUUCUUAAAUACCACCUUGGCCUUAUUCAUUUUCUUUCACUUGCUUGGACAGAAAUUAGAGUUAAGAUUGUUAUUAAACCUAUUUAAAAUAAAUAAUCAAGCCAAUGGGUACUAAAUAAGAAAUACCAAAAGUAAUGAGAAAUCCAAGCGCAAGUCUCCAAGGGGCCCAAAAAAACCUUUGCCACCUAGAAAUAUACGGCACUCAACAAGAUAUGAAAGCCAAGGACAGCGGGACACGUGUCCAGGAAAGCCCAAGAGAGGAGAAAGACGUAGCUGGAAAUAGCGAUGCACCAAUUGUCAGCAAAAUCAAGCAGGAGACGACACAUCGUCAUGGCGUUAUCGGCCCUUGAUUAAGCCAGUCACAGGACGCGUGGUCCCCCAAAACCGACCUCCCCCACCCAAGACCCAGCCAAUGCCGUUUCCUUCCUCAUGUUCCACCACCCAAAAUGACAUAAAACACCCUCCUGAUUUUCUUCUAACUAAAGAAACAAUCUCAAGAUCCAACUAGUCUUUGGUCUAGUGGUAUUUGUUUUCCCUUAUAACAUGUUUACUUAUUACGGAUGAGUAUUGAACAGUUCCAAGAAUGAUUCUAUUCCUAACUUUCUCUAUAUUUUAUUAAUAUACGAGGAAUAAAAAUUUAUAUGAGUUUUAACUCACAUUAAAAUCCGUAACCAAAUGCUCUCAAAAUAAAAAUUAGAAAGAAAAAUUGAUCUGGUUUUAAUUAUUUUUUCAUAGACUUCCAACUCACAUGGAUGAUAAUAACGAUAUAUAUAUUUGUGAUGAUUUUGAUACUUAAUUGUGGCUAACCUUUUUGCGGUAAUGUAGUUUUAUUGUGGAUAUUUAUUUUGAAUUUGAGUGUAUCUAGGUUCCUUAAAACAUCAAGGAACUUUAGAUAUUUAUGAUAAGUUUGAUACCUAGUUGUGGUUAACCCCUUCGUCUCCGUGUAGUUUUAUUGUGAGUGUAUUGGACUCUUGUAAAAUUAUCUUAUAAAUAUCUUAUCCUUUAUCGAAAAUAAAUAAAUAAGAAAAACGAUCUUAAGGGCAUUUUGGUAAAAAAGAAAGAGAAAAACUAGGUUAAAAUUUAAUAAUAAUCAAUCGUUAAUGGAAAAUAGAAAACAAAGAAAGAAGGGGAAGGAAGGGGAGGUGGGGUAGACGACAAGUGAAACGGCUUCAUUUCGUGUAGGUGCAGUGUUGCGUUGUGAGGACAACUGCCACCCAAUACCAGAGAGGCCACAGCCCACACACCCUUUCCUUCUACUUAUUGUUUCAGCUUUGCUUUCUCAACGUUCUCUUUCCCCUUUUCUUUUUUCUUAUUAUUCUUUUCCCUCAGACUCUAAAGUUGAUAUUUUCCCCUCACUAUUUUGGAAAUUCUUAGGCAUCUCUGAUCUGUAUGCUUCUGUGAGACAGAGAGAGACGGCUUGAGCUUCAUCUUACCUGCUUAACCAAAGGGGCCAAUUUUCUCCAUUUAGAGUCUCCAUUUCUGCUUGGGGCAAGGAGAUCGGGGAAGUAAAUCUGGGAAAGUUUCCGAUUUUGUUUUGGUAAAUUUUCCGAGGUUGAUCGAUCUGUUCUAUCCUUUACUCUGGUGGGUGGUGGAGUUAUUGAGAGGAAGAGACAAAAUGUGGUGGAUGAUGGGUGAAGGAGGAGGCCAUUACUGCUCUAAGAAGACCGAUGAUAUUUGCGGCAAUGUUUGCGGCCAGGUACUUUACUUUACUUUUUUUAAAAAAAAAUUUUCCUUUAAAUUUAAAGUGUGGUACUUUUCUUCUUUGUAUCUCGUUGGUGGGUUUAAUGGUUUUUGUUUUCUGGGUUCUGUAUUUUCGCUUAGAUAAUGUAGCAGCAAUGGGAUUUAUGAAAAUUGUAUAUCCGGAAAUUUGCGUUAAAAACUAUUAACUUUUGCUGCGUUAUUUUCAAAGCAAUUUUUUUGGCAUUUGAGUUUAACUUUUUCACUUAUUUCCCUGAGUUUUCUUAGCGACCAGGUUUAAUCUGUGUGCUUUUUAAGACCUAUGUUUCUGUGAUGCUGGUCAGCAGUCUAAGUAUGGCAACCAGAUCAGAUGGGCUUUCCUGCCUUUGUUUUGUUGGCGAUAUGAAAUUUGGCAUAACAAGAGCACUCGUUUUAUAUAUCUUGUUCUUCGCCUUUCUUCUCUUUGGUUUUCUGAUCCAUUGCACCUUUCUACUGAAACUUGCAUGAGUUUUAUGUAUCUGAUACGGUUCAGACACCUGUGGAAGUGUUGGCCCAAAGAUUAGUUGGGUGCUGAAAGAACCCAAAGGAAAUAGAAACUGCCACUGGUUAUAAACUUUUAUUUUCUCUAGAUUUUGUGACUUUUGGUUUAGAAUUGACAAUUGUUUCUGCCAACUAAACAGAUAUCGUCGCAUUCAUGUUUCUGCCAUCUAUGAAUUAUGUAAAGGAUUAUCCCCUGUGGUAGAAUGUUUGCCUAGUGAAAUGAUCAUGCACUGAAUCUAUAUCUGAAUCAUUGAAUGUUCUUGGAAUUUCUUGAUUGGUGGAUUCCAGCUUGUCUUGUGUCUGACAGAUAUGCCCUUUACUAUUGUGCAGGAAUCAGGCAGAAUGUUGAGUAUGUCAAGAGUUCGCUGCAUUCUACGUGGAUUUGACUUGAAAGUUCUCAUCAUUCUUUUUACACUUAUUCCGACAUGCAUCUUUGGCAUUUAUGUGCACGGACAGAAGAUCUCAUACUUCUUGCGGCCACUAUGGGAAUCGCCACCCAAACCUUUCCAUGAUAUCCCACACUAUUACCAUGAGAAUGUGUCCAUGGAGAACCUCUGCAGACUUCAUGGUUGGGGCAUCCGUGAGUACCCUAGGCGUGUUUUUGAUGCUGUGUUGUUCAGUAAUGAGAUGGACAUCCUUACCAUAAGGUGGAAAGAAUUGUAUCCCUAUGUAACGCAGUUUGUUCUCCUCGAGUCAAAUUCAACAUUUACUGGAUUGCAAAAGCCUCUGUUCUUUUCCCGUUAUCGUGAUCAGUUCAAAUUUGUGGAGCCUCGGUUAACUUACGGCACUACUGGAGGAAGAUUCAAGAGAGGAGAAAACCCAUUUGUUGAGGAGGCAUAUCAGCGAGUAACACUUGACAAUCUUCUCAAAAUAGCUGGUAUUACUGACGACGACUUGUUGAUAAUGUCUGAUGUUGAUGAGAUCCCAAGCAGACACACUAUCAAUCUCCUGAGGUGGUGUGAUGAGGUUCCUGAAAUCCUACAUCUUCGGCUGAAGAACUAUCUUUACUCCUUCGAGUUUCUUGUGGACAAUAACAGUUGGAGAGCUUCAGUCCACAGGUACCGGAAAGGGAAGACGACGUAUGCACACUAUCGGCAGACAGAUGACAUCUUGGCUGAUGCAGGGUGGCAUUGUAGCUUUUGUUUUCGGUAUAUCAGUGAGUUCAUAUUUAAGAUGAAAGCAUACAGCCAUUAUGACAGAGUUAGGUUUUCUAACUAUCUAAACCCAAAAAGAGUUCAGAAAGUAAUCUGCAAGGGGUCUGAUUUAUUUGAUAUGCUUCCUGAAGAGUACACCUUCAAGGAAAUCAUCGGGAAAAUGGGACCUGUUCCUCAUUCCUUCUCAGCUGUUCAUCUUCCAUCCCAUCUGUUCGAGGAUGCGGAGAGGUAUAAAUUUCUCUUGCCUGGUAAUUGCCAAAGAGAGAGUGGCUGAGCUUUAUUCCAGCAAGGUUUGAUGACGGUUUCUGUAAAGAUAGUUGGUCAUGCAGCUUCUGUGACUCCUGAACAAUCAAUCGAUGACUGUGGUGUGUCGCUGACAUAGCCGUGCCUCAUGCUUGGGUAAUUUUACAUCAUUCUUUGAAAAUGUUGGGGGGCUGGACAGACUUUUGGGUACUUAUUAGGGUAAUGUUUUGUACAUAACUUUCACUGGAGUUGGGCUUUUAGUGUAAGGCGGAGCAUGUCUAUCUACUGAGGGAGCCUGCUAUGCUGGGGACAGUUGUCACAAGGUGCUUGUGUUUUCUUAGCUCUGGUGUACUGCGUGAUUCCCCAGAUAUACUGGAAAGAUAGUACAACGGUCCUGAAUUCCCCUUGUUGGGAAAUUUUGUUUAUGAGACAUUUUAUUCGUUUAUGCAGUGAACUGACUUUAUUUGUGACAUCUGAAUUGCUUUUAGAUCUUUUAUUGAUCAAAAGGCACACUCGAUAGGGCAGUUUGUGCCCUUGUGCAUGUUCUUUUCUCCUGUCAUGUUCCUUUUGGUUGAAGAUAUUCGUUGGAACUUUCUUUUUUCUCCCUUUAUGUAUGGAGUAUAUCAAUGAUCUGCACUGCCCUGCAAGUUUUUCGUUUUUCUUGUCAAGUUUCCUUUUCAUAGCUUGCAUCUGUCGCGUUGGUUGAAGUUGUAAGGAUCUGAGUUUGUUGGGAAGUAAUGUUUCAAUGAGGAACAAUAAAAUGAACAAUUAUACAUGUAAUAUGUCUUGUGCAGAAUUAAUUUUAAAAAAAACAUAUAUUGGACAGACGAAUGUGAAAGUGUGGAGGAUCAUUCGUAAAAUACUUUCGUUCCUUUAACUCUUGUAGUUGGAAAAUGCACUGCCUAUCUGUCGCUGUGGUGUAUUGGCCCCACGGUCUGUCGCUGACCAAUUGACUCAACUGUGUGUUAAUCAACAUUCAUAGAAUCACACUUCCAAAACAUUGAUAAUUUAUUCUGUUUCCUUCCUCAUUGAUGAAUGAUAAGAUCCUCAGGUAAAAUGGGAAUCACAUCCAUUUCCAUAGCAUUUCUUAGAUGAUGCUAUUCUUUCAAAGUAUGCGGAUUGAAAUGCGUUUAUCUGGUCACAACUUGCAUUACAUUCAAACCAAGCCUAUAAAUGGCACCUCCAACAUGAUUAGAGACAACCCAGAUCGAAAUAUUACAGACAUAAUAAGACACUCCAAUCAAAGAAAAUGCGUCAUGCCUCCGGGUUCCAGCAGCAGAGCUAUGGCAUGCGCCAGGAGGCUCAACAACAGAGCUAUUCGAUGCACCAGGAGGCAGCUUGGCACUCAAAAGAUGACUAUCGCAACAACCAUAUUUCAGCCUUUUCAGGUGUUCAGAUUGUGCCUUCUUCAUGCCUCAACUCUCAGCUGUUGAAGCACAAUUUGAUGUUUGAUGGAAGCCAAGCUCUGCAGUUGCAUGAUGGCAGCUGGCAUGCCCAAAACAUGAACCAAAAUGGAUGGUGUGGCUCCUAUAACCAUGCCUCUGGUGCCAAAAAUUUAAUGCCUCUUAUAGGCGUCACCAAUGCCUCACAGUUUUCACAAGGUGCUGUGUUCAACAAUGCAAUGGAGAAUGUUGAAUGUGAGACUAUUUUCCAUGAGGUGCAUGUCCCUGCAACAAUGAGAGUGCAGGAAAUGAGAUAUGAGCGCAGCGUUUGGGGUAAUCACGACGGCCUUCAGUACUGCCAUGGCUUCGAUGACAACGUGAGGUGGAAGCGCAACGAGGGCUGGAAAUCUGAGUGGCUGUCAAAGGGAGCCUAAAAUGGGAGAGAUUUUUGUCAUCAAAGUUGUGUUUGGUGCUAAGUCAUCGCAAAAUGCUCUGCUGCCUCUACUUUGAUGUUUUAAGAUCACUGUAUGAUAUGCUCAGUUGCUCUUUUCUUUGCUACUUUCUGAACCAAAAGAUAUAAAUAAAAAGCUCAUAAUUACUAAAACAAAACUUGCUUGGUGAUAAUCCAGGAUGUUUGGUUGUUUUCAAUUCCCCUGCAUUCCUCCCACCUUCUAGCUAGAUCAGUUGAAAUUUGCUGAAUCUGAUAAAUGGAAAGAGAAAGAAAGAAGAAAUGCAAAACCCUCGUCUAUUUUGAAUUAAAAUUCAGUAGUGAAGUAUCUGAAAAUUUGACCACAUAUUAAGCCUGCAAUUAGGGAGAACAAAAACCCUACUGGUGUCUGCUAAAAUAAAAAGUUCUGUGACUUGUCCGAACCUCCAAGCAUUAAACUCUCAUGGUGGUCCAAAAAUUAUUUUAUAUGUCCUGUUCAUUGUGUCGCCUUCUCAUGAAAAACGAUUCACUGUUAUCUGAAUCUUGAAAAGCCUAUGUUAUUAAAGUCCUGCCGACAGUGUGCCAAUUGUAGGUAAAAAUUGCUCCAUGAUCACCACCUGUUCAUGAAUUUCAACAAAGUCACCAUCACAAUUUACGCUUUCAAAAAUCUACCAUAUUUUUAACUGCCUUUCAAACCUCUCUUUACAAAGAAGGUGUGGUCAAAUACUAAUCUUUUUCAUGUAUCAUUGUUGUCAAUUAGCAAUAUCCCAUAAACGAUAAGAUUGAAAUGAUUAUCAUACAUACUCUAAUAUGUUCAAAGAUUCUAACCGAUCAGUAGCUAGAACUUAUUAAUUAUUAUGAAAUUGAACACUCAAUUCUGGAAAGUGAUCUUAAAUAGCCAAAUCAAUGAAGUGACGGAUACAAAUUGGCUUCCUGGCAAGAUCAAAACUCGUUUCCUCAAAUUGUUAUCAUAAAGGCUUUGACCAUUGAUGCAAAUCCCAAUUUCGUUUUAAAUAUUCCAUUGAUAAAGUUACAAGUGCCUUAGGAAUUCCAUCCUCCCCAAUACAUCUCAAAAUGCCCCAACUUUUUGUAAUCCAAAAAUCCCAAGAGAACUCUUUUAGUGCUUUUUCUUUAUGGGAUUCUAUAGACCACCAAGUUGGCCAGAAAGAGAGGCAUCAGAUUCAAUCUUAUCGUUCAAGAAUAUAAUCUUAUUCUGUAGAUAUAAUGCAGCUCAAAAAUUCAAACCUUGCACGUUCCUCUACCUUAACCAUAUAUAUAUGUAUAAAUACAAGCCUUUCACCUCAGCAUUCUCUAACCUACUAAACAAAGCGUUUGAAAACUACAGAAAAGAAGAUGUCGUUCAUAAGUAGUAACUCAAACGACUACCCGUUCUUUGUAACCACAGUAGUGGCUCCUGUGCCUAACAGGCCCAUUUCUGAACCCCAUCAGCAUCGCCCAAAACACCAUGUCAAGUUCAGCAAUGAGUUUGAGGAACGUGUUGUUGAGGAGGCCCCGAGAACAAGGAGGACAUACGUGGCACAAUAUCAGCACACUCCAGUUCGUCAGAACUAUGUGGUUCAGGAGGCAAAAGAUGUUGAUGAUGAAGCUGAUGAGUUUAUCAAGUUCGAGCAUAAGAAAUUCCUGGUGAGCGAGCAGAGUAGCCUGAGAGAUUAUUAAGCACAACCCCCCCUUGUAUAUUCAAGGUUAAUUAUCAGCCCUCAAUAAUAAAUUACAGAGGGCAUGGGCUAAUGGGCUAACUUGUGCUAUAUAUGUUACCAGAUAAAUAAUGUCAAAGCUUUUCUUUCAAAUUUGUAUCUGAAAUUUGGUAUGUAAAGGCUGAUGAUUUCUAAUGAAACUGCAGCUUUUCUUUUAAGUUUGUAAUCUGUCUUCUUGAUCUUCUUCCCAACCCCAACACCUAAAUUCUUAUUUUCAUUCUCAUUUAUGUAUGUCGAAUUACACAACUUGUGCAUUAGAUUAAAUGAAAUAAAACCCUAUCUCUAUUUUUGAGGAAAAUUUGGUGACACCAGAACAUCUCAUUACAGCUUAAAAGGCAUGCUCGAAUUGUCAAGCGGAAUUACCACAGUAGUUAUAGCCCUCCCCCCUUCCCCUCUGCUUGGCACCAGGAUCGAAAAUUCAAGAUUUCUUUCCUCCUGAUGUAACUAUUAAAAAAAAAACAAAGGCAUUCUCGAAUUAGAGAGAGAGAGUACAAGAUUGAACGUGGCCCAUAGUUAAACUAGAGCCACUCAUUCAACUUAAUUAUUACACAUAAUUCAGAUCAGAAUCUAAUCCCACAUACCUAAACUAUGAUGCCUAUCUAUCUAUUUGUAUCUCAUGUGAUACCAUCCGUCCAAAUUAAGGCUGCUGAUUUGUUCACUUGGUGUUCCAAAAUUAUUUGUAUUCUAAAACCCAAAAAAGAAAAAAAGUAAAAGCAUCGAACUUUCUUUUUAUAAUAAAAGCAUUCGCUUUCCGUUUGAAAAACAAAUUAUACAAAAAAAAAAAGAAAAAAAAAAAGAGAGCCUGUUUUUCCAAAUAGUAUCCGAAUCAUGUCUCUUUUUAUAAAUGGCAUAAAUCAAACAUGCUGAAAAUCUUUCAAGACAUGUGUUCCACUCUUUUUCUUUUUUUCUUUCUUUUAUUUUUUGUGUGGUGGAAAUUACCUCAGACAAUUUCUGUCCAAUUCCAAGUCCCAAACCUUCUGCUCCAGAUUGAAGAUGUGGGAGAAGCAGAAACAGAAGCCAAAAGAAACCACAGAUAAAGCUUCAAAUUAAUGCCUCAAAUCCCCUGCUUCUUUUAUUCUUUUUAUUCUUCUUGGUACUUGUACACACAGAAAAUAAAGCAAAGCAACAUUGUUAAAGAACUUUUCUCUAAUUUGUGCUAAAAAAUAACAGGGAAGGAGAAGGCCCAAAAACAAAAACCAAAGUACAGGUGAAAUGCUUCCAGAGCCAAAAAACUCAUCUUAGUAAAAGACCCUCUGUAGAGUCGUUGUAUAUCUAAUCAACAGAGCGGCAGAGAGGGCAAGUAGAAUGGUUGUUGUCAAACCACUUCUCCAAGCAACCUUUGUGGAAGAAAUGCUUGCAGGACAAUUCACUCACCUCUUGCUCAGCUUCAAAACCACACAGACAAACACAACACUCCAUUGCCCCACUGUUUGUUUUGGCCACACAAGUAUUGUUGGGCCUGCUGUUGCUGUUGCUGUGGCACAGAGACUUGAACUGGGAAAUGGAGAUUCUUCUCUCUCUUGCAAUCAUCUCUGCUGGACACCCAUCUGGGUUUUCCUCAAAACUCUGAGAAUUCACAUUGGCACCCAUCACUUGGAGCACAGAUCUUACCAUGUUCUUUAACAGAGCCACUGACAAAACUGUGUUCAUAACCAGCACUGGAAGCACACCCUCUGCUGCACUAGGAAAAUUUGAGAGCCCCAUUUGUGCUUCUCGGUUAAUUUCUCAAGACACCCACAAUUCCCCACAACCAGAGAACACCUCUCAGUUUCUGCAAAACCUACGGCACAAAUGAAGAGUCUCUCAGAGAGGCACCAAAGGAAGGAAAAAAUGGGAUGGGAAGCAGGAAUUGGCUUUUCCAAAUGACAAGCCCAAAACCACACACCUAGUACUAAAACCAGCUUGGGCUUACUGAUAAAUAUACCUAGAGGCUGAUCAAUGCCACCAACAUGUUAACCACGGUAGAUGACGGAUUUAACCAUGGUUCAUGGCUCAAAUGCAACACGUGUAAGGUUCUGUGAAAGGCUUAGAUAGUGACUGGUUAUUUUUGAUAUAAUGGAGUGAAAAAUAAAAAUUAAAAGCUGACAUUUUCACUGGCACAAAAAGGGUAAAAUUGACGUCGCCACGUGUCCACGGAGCUUUUGGGAGGGCCAAUGGGUUGGUGUGUUGUGGCAGGUUUUGCGACCUUCCAGUUGUUGAGUGGAAGUUUCUUGAUUCCCGGAGGAGUAGCCGAGUGGAAGACCAAUGAUUUUGUGGAGGGGCUCUGUCGAUAUAACAAUAUAUAUAUAUAUAGUUCCCUUUUAUUUAUUUAUAUAUGUAAAAAUAAAUAAUAAUAAUUAUAUUAUUAGUUUCCUUCUAUUUGUUUAUUUAUAUAUAUAGUCCGAACGUCUAUCAAAUAUAUAUUGAUAUAUCCCUCAAAUAAUUAUAUAUUUUUAUAAUUAUCUUCUUCUCCGAACAAGCGAGUGGUCCACGUUUUUAUGCUCAAAAAUCAUCAUCACUGCCCAAAAACAAAACCUGAUUCGAUUAAUGUUUGAUAGAUUUUGCUUGCUCACGGACAGUUGUAACGUGUUUCUAAUUGUUUGUGUAUUCUGAAAUUCAUUGCAGUGACAGUGAGCCAUCGCAUUCACACCAGAAUUUUGACAAAGAUCAAGCAAACAUCACACCACAAAAAUAUCAGCCCACAAGUUGUCUGGUUCAGAUAACAUGUUUGUAAUGCUAUAAUCAUACUUACCGUGUGCUGUUGCUAACAAUUAUCCAUGCGCAACAUGAGUAACUGUCUGUCAGUUGUUUGGAUUUAGAGUUUUAGCGCGGAUAACUGUCCUUAACAUUUCAGUAAGUUAUUCUCAAGUGUAUCUUGUAUUAGGGUUCAAAUAGAUGUUGGCAGCUUGGUAAUAGCUAGCUACUGUUAGAGAGGUGCUCAAAGAUUCGGUAGCUGAAAUCCCACUAUCAAGAGAUAUUUUCAUCUGAAACAUGCGACCCAAAAUACCAAAGAAUUUUGCUGCACUUUUGCACGACCGUGAUACUAAGACACAAACAAAUUUUAUUUGCAUCUUUUCCUUAGGAUUUAGUGUACUGUGACCACAGUUGUAGGCAUUACGCGACAAGAUCUGGCUCUUCAUGAAACAAGAAGUCACGUGAAAAGAAGGUGGUCUUCAAAUCCAAUCCUCCCCUACAUUUUGCCUGGCAAAACAUUUUUCCAGGCAAAACAUUUUUCCAUGGUAACUAGCAAGUCCACGACAACCCAGCUCCUUACAUUUUACUUGGUUAAACUAAUUACACUUACACCUGAAAAAAUUACAAUAAUAACAUAAAUGAAGGGUUUUUUCUACUGCAGCAGAAUCGAUCGGCUCUUUAAAAUUCGAAUUUAUUGGUAUAUAGUAUAUUUUUAAUUAACAAGCACAUAUCUCUAACAAUAAUAUGUUGCACCCCACUCAAAGUAGAGGUCACUAAGCACUGAAACUCUUAAUUGACGUCGUGUUUUACUUGAGGCCUAAAACUGUGACUGUCAAUUAAUGAAUAUGGCGAUUAUAACGGAUUUUACAAAUUUAUGUAAAACUCUAAGCGAGAUAGUGGUCAUGAUCAUUGAUUGUAUACAGCAGCUCUGUCACCGUCUUGUCAUCAUUGCUCUUCCUAAUGGGUUGUCGAAUUGGAAGGAUCAACCCCAAUGGCCUUAAAAUACGCAUUCUCCGCAUUCGCUACGCGCAUCUGGAACAUUGUCCAUUCCUUUCUGCACCUUUCCCUCACCUGGGACCAGUAAAUAUGCAAAAGUGUUAUCAGUAAACUUAUAUAUGCGUUUUACCAACAAACAGUUAAAUAUAUUUGGUGUCCAAUAGAUAACCCUUGUAUCGUUAGAAUAAGAAGCUCUACAUACCCCUUGCCAUGGUGCUUUUCCAUUUUGCGGUUCACCCUAUCGAAAGCCAAAAAUUAUUAAGUAUUUCGUUCUAUUAUCUGAAAAAGCGUUUAGUAAGGAAAUGGGAAAUGAGAAAUGAUAGAAAGUGCUACUUACCUGGCUUCCAAGUGAGGGAACGGUUUGAUGAACAAUCCACUGAGAAUCUACAACUCCUAUCUUCUCAUGCGCAGGCUGUUUUCAAGAAAGAAAAAAAAAAAAAAAUUAACUUUGAGUUCCCUUGGAAUCCCCACCAGGGAGGAUAGAACGUGGGUCACUCACCUCUACACAUUUUCUCAGGGCAAAGUCAAGACCCCACCCAUGGACCAAGUCAUUCUGCAAUCAUCCAGUAUUGCAAUAAUAAAAUUAGGUAACAAGCCUGCUAAAUCAAUUAAGGACACAAACAAGUGGUGAUAACGAACAAGUUACAAUAUUUAAUACCUGAAUCAUAUGCCACACACAGCGCCAGGCACUUCUAGAAAAUACUGGAGCCAUGAUUUCAACAAACCUGAAUUAAAACAAGCGAACACAAAUGUCAGACAAAAGGGAAGUAUAGGAUCAAAUCUUAUACAAACAACACUUAAAAUGCUCUCUUUAGUAUCUUAAUAUCUUACGCUGCACAUGGAGGCAGAUGUGGGUCAGUGCACCAGCCAGGUUUUUCCACUGUUUGUCUGGAAUAAUUGGAAACGAGGAUUACAAGAUUAUUCCCUAAAUUUUAAACUAAAUCUUAUAUAAAUAAAUUUCAGUUUAGGUCUCAUGAUUUACUUGUGCACUUCACGAUCGCCUCUCCUCUUUGUCAUCUGCCAUGUUAAGCCCUUGUUGGGUUCCAAACCAGGCUGUGAAAUCUCCAAGCCAUGCUUCCUCACAAGUUUUAUGUAUCUGGAAUUAGAUUGGAAAGGGAGGCAUAAGAAAGUUUUUUAGUAGGCUAAUAAAUUCACCUAAAAGAAUUACUUUGUAACCAACACUCACUCUUCUGCAUUAAAAUGCUCGACUCCCAGGUCUUCAUCCCAGAUAAAUAUGUAGUCAUAUGGGGCCACAAUGUCAGGAUGCAAAAAUCGCUUGGCAUACCACCUUUGACAAAAAAAUUUAAGUCAUAAACCAAGGAAGCAAUUCAUUAUUGAAGUACAGAUAGUAGUUAGCAAUUGUGCAUACCAUUUAGUCUGCUUACGGACACUAACAUGUAUAGCUCGCUCAGACCACUCAAACUCAUCCCAUUCAGUUGUUUGGCCAUCGUAAUGAAAAAGAAGAAUUGUAAAGUUCUCUGAAAACUGUGAGAGAAACAUAUUCAGUGACACAUGUCCACCUCUCAGAGAGAGAGAGAGAGAGAGAGAGAGAGAGAGAGAGAGAGAGAGAGAGAGAGAGAGAGAGACCUUUUUCACUGCUGCAUCAAUAUUCUUUUUCUGAUUCAAACCCACGGUGAAUGUUACAAGGUACCUUGGUUUGAUGGUCAAGUCCUGCAAUUGCCAACUUAAAUGAAUCACGGUGCAGUAUAUUGAAAUCAGAAGUAUUCUUAUGCCUCCAAAAACAAAAAUUCUACCAAAGGGGUAGAUAAAAAAAUAAAAUAAAAUAAAGAAGAAGAAGAAGAAGAAGAAGAAGAAAUCAAAUUAUUCAUAAAAACAUCACCAGGUACAUGUCAAAUGAUAUUUUUUUUUUCUGGAUGCCAUAUAAAUUACCGAGUAACUCAAAUCAGGAUAACAGAGAACUCCAUAUCAAAAAAUGGUUCCCUGAACACCAAAUGCUAAUGGAAUCCAUUAAUACCAUUCAUUCUGCAUUAUCUUCAGUAUAUAUUGGACCAUUCCAGGCGUUGUGGAAAGUCCAAAUUGUAACUAUGUUGAUUGCAUAAGUAACAGCAGAAUACACACCUCACUGGGCUUGCCCCAUAAUCUGCGCAAGUAGAAGUCUGACUCAGCUGCAAGAAUUCCUGGUGGUAGUCUUUCUGCACCUCUAGGAUUUGACGGCACCCAAAUCUGCAGUAAAUGUACGUGUAACUUCAGAUAAGUAAUGCCUAUAUAAUGUGAAUUUGGAAUGCCAGAAGAGGAAGCUGUGAACUAUAUUGGAAAUGAUACUCAUAUUUUCAGCAAUUAUCAGGCCUCUCCUCAUAGUAAAACAACAUGAAAACGAAGCAAAAUGGUCCCAGCAUGCAAGUACAAGAUUGCAUAUAUGAUUCAGUGAUUACACGAAGCCACCUCAUCUUACAAGGAAUAUAAAAGUAAUGAGAGAAGAUUGUGAACAAUAUCAGGGAAAUGAAACCCCUUCUUUCUCAAUCUGUCUCUUCUCCAAAUCAUAUCAAUGAGAGCGGGUUCAGUUGAGAAUCAUGGCUCCCACACUAUAAUCCAAAAACUAUGACAAUUAACCUUGGAAAGAUUUACUUCUAUUUUAAGGAAGUCCUUAUUGAGCUUAAUGGAAUGAUGAUCAUAUGAUCAAUACUAUUAAACCAGAUCAUCUCCGGCUGGGACUGAUAAAAAAUGAUACUUUUCCCUCCCGUUUGACCAAAAUCAGAAGCCAAUUUAGGUACUGUAGUAGAACAGCACAAGAAUCUCAAAUGCAUUUAUUGAACUGGUUCUGGAUUUGAAUUACGAAGUAGCUAAGAUUCAAUGCACCCCUUAGUAACAUACAGAGUUAACAGUGAUGUAAAACCUGUCAUUUUGGAAUUUCUACUACUGCUAAUGUCAGGGAGAGGAGGUAUACCCUUCCUGUACCAUUUGAACUCUGAGCUUUAGUUGAGCUAUUAUUACUCCUCGUAGAAGACCAAGCAUUUAGAAUUGUUUGCCUGGAGAUGUCUGAUUUCUGGUCCUCAUUGUACGUUAGAUCAACAUUUGGAAGAAGGCUGGACGAGAGGUUCAGCUGUCAAAUUUUACACACAUUAAUUAUGUUUCAUCAUCUAGGUAAGUAUUAAAGCGGAGCAUAACAGAUACCCGGAAAAAAAUUAGCGCACCUUUGUUAAUGACAAGGUUGGAAAGGAUACACCUAUCAAGAAUCCAAAAACUACUCCUACAAAAGUUGUCACAAUAAGCCUCAUAGUCUCGUUUGGUUUUCUACCACCCGCACUGCAGCCAACAAGAUGCAAAUGUAGUUAGAGAAGAUCAGAUCUCUAAAAUAAAUUUAAAGAGCAACAAAAGUUAACUCAUUCCGAUGAAAAUAGACUGUCACAAAAUUUAACCUGCGUGAAAGGGUUCCCAUGUUAUUUACAAGCUUCUGACUAUAAAUUCACGGAAAAAUGAACUGCAAGUACAAAGCGAUAGCUGAUCUGCAUUAUUUAACAGGUUUUCAGUUGAGAAUUCCCCUUAAAAGAAAUGAUGACCCUCAUGAAGGAACACAACAAUUUAAGCAAGACUCUACGACUCAGUAAUACAAGAUUAUACAACUACGAGAAUAACCUGAACAUUUGUUUCUAUCAAAACAACACAUAUAUCAGGGUUGACAAAAUCGUAAAAGUAGAUGGGCAUAGCACUUACAACUCACAACCCAAAGCUGCUAACCUAACAUUAUUGAUUAUACUAUCAAAAGGUUAAGGUGCUCCCGUAAGAUGUUUUCUCUAUAUCUCUCUCAAUAACAACAUCGCACUUUUCCCUGUGCUUCAAAUCGAACCCACAGAAUACAUUGACCAUUUAACAGCAGAAACUGCAUACUUAUACUCAGACCUUUUUGAAUAGACAUUCUUCAAACGCAAUAUAGAGAAACAACAAGCAAGAAAUCAUGUGCUCGUUCCUCUUUGCCCUCUACAAGAACUCUGCCGAGAAAGAAGCAACCAUGUGCUACCAUUUGACAAUCAGUAGCUAAAACAAAGUCACAAAUCAAACACCCAUUCAAAACCCUCCAUGGUAAAGUAGACCACGUGUUCCCUUUGAAUUAACACCCAAACUACAUAACAAAGACCCACUUCCUCCCCCACUAUUAUAAUUAAGACAGACAAGCAGCUGGGCUUGCUUAAUUUCAAAGAUAAAGAACACAACGACCAAAAGCAUAAACCCGAUCACUAAGUUAGCUCACAUAAUCAAACAUAUGCAAUGUACUCAUCAAGCCUUUCCGAUCAAACAUCUUUUACCUUAAAAAUUAAAUAUAAAACUCCACGACCAAAACCGCAAACGAAACAGUACAAGGAUCUAGCAAAUUCGUAAAUAGCGAGACAAAAUAAAUUGUAAUAAAAAAAUUGAUAUCUCGGAUUUCUUAAAGCUGUGGCAAUCAAACCAAUUCAAACAGGAAAAAAAAAAGCAGAAAAAAAAAAUUCAAAUGCAAAUAUCAGAAGCUAAACAACUAAUCGAGCUCAGCUGAGCAGCACUCUACCUCUCUCCCUUUUUUUUACCUUUCUUUUUUAAUCUGAGUAUCCAAACAGAAGCGUAAAAAGUGAAUCAGAGAAAUUGAAAAAGAACAAAACCGACCUCAUAUAGUUGAAUAGCUGGGCAAGAUCUGCUGUAGAGAAAAGUGGUUCAGAAGCUGAGAAUCACGCGAAAAAGCACUUGCAGGACUUGGUGAUCUCGGGGCACAAUUAGCGUGAGAGAAAUAAUAAAAAGAUAUUAUAAAACAAAAACAAAAACGCAAAGCAGCAAUUUCAGUUUGAGAGCAAGAAAACUAUGAUUUUGUGAUUUUGCAGAGGGUUGCGUUGUUUGUGUGUGUGUUUGGCUUUGGGCCUUCGGCAGUGACGAUUUGUGUUGUUGUAUGUGAAUUGACGAGAGAGCUGGGAGACUUGGCUGGACUCGGGAGGGAAACACAAGGAGAGAAAUAUGGGGAUUUUAUAUUUAUCUCGCCAGAGAUCUCAAAUUAAAUUCACUAAGUAAGAAAACCAGAUUGCGAAUUACCAACCUAACUUAUUUUCAAAAAUGGAUUUUAUUAGGAUUUUGACCUUAACCAGACUCGUGAUCACUCCUUAAUUGGUAACCCACUUUAUUUAUUAUUAUCAUUUCCAUAAGCAAAAUGCAACGGCUUUUCAGUGCUUUCGCUUUUUCGACUUUUCUUCUUGUUUUUGUUGUUGUUUUUUAGAAUAAGAGAUGAUUUUUUACUCAUAAUCAAACAAAAGUAUAAAAUAAUUAUGUACCGAAUAUAGGUAAAUCUUUUUUAGUGACCAAAACACAACAACAUGUUAAAUUGAAUUGAAGAGAAUCACACAAUACCUAAAGAUUAUUACAAUUCUCGAUUCAGCAACUAGAAGCAAAUGUACUAGAUUUUUUUUUGUUAAUGCUGGAUUUUUGUUUUUGCUUCUAUGUUUUGAAUUUGUAAAGAAAAUUGCAGGAAGGUGGUCAAGUCUAUUGUGUCCUGCCUUUGCAUAAUUGCAGUCAACGAAUAAAGGAAACCAAAUUAAUUUAGGAUAAUUUUUUUUACCAAAAAAAACAGAACUGUAAAUUUUUUUUGCCAAUCAUUGCCGGUCUGAAAUUAGCGUAAUCAAUAACCUCGAACUAUAUUUCCGUAUUAUGUAUUGAUGAAACACUUAAUUUUCGAUUAUUUAUUUUGAGAAAAUGAGUUAGCUAUUGGCAGUUAUCCGAUUAUUACUCUCUAAUUUUAUUUUAUUUUUGUUUCACAAAAAUACUUGUAUAAAUUCCAAAUAUUAUGAAAAAAAAAAAUAUCUCAACAAAACAGUGUCCCAAAAAAAAAAAAGGUAAGUAUGGUUAACUUUUUUUUUUUUUUUUCCUUCCUUUGUACCCACCAACUCAUAAACUUAAAAAAGAAAAAAAUCCUAUAUACCAAUACCAUCAUUUCCUACCACACUCUCGCUAGCUAGUAGAAAGGUUCAAGGAUUGGAGAUUCUAGAGACAUUUUAAGUAAAAAAAAAUUUGGGAAUAAAUAAAUACGAUUUUUUAAGGAAUAAAUAAAUAGGAUUAUAUUGCUGACAUUUUUUCAAAUAUAAGUGCCUAUAAACGAUGCACUAAAAAGUAUACCAUUUCAAAUAAGAAUAUAGCAUUUUGUUUCAACUUUUUCUUUUACCUUAUUAAUAACUAGCUUCUUCGUACGCAAUUCCGCGUUUGAGAGAGAUUUUUUAUUUUUUAUUUAUUUUAAAAUUAAAAAAGAUAAUGAGUAGUUGUGUUUUAUAAAAAUAAGAUUCAUUAUCUGAUUUUUCUUGUAAUUUUAAAUUUUUUAAUAUGAAAAAGUGUGAAUUUACCAUAUUAUCCCCAUUUAAUUAAUAAUUUUAAUUUUUAAUAUCUUUUGAUAUAUAUAUAUAUAUAUAUAUAUAUAAAUAGAAGAGAGUUUUUUAUAUAUAAAAAAAGGGUCAUGCUAGGGAGACCAACUUUAAAUACUAACUUGUGUACCAACUCUCUAAUAGAGGUGGAGCCCACCAAUACAAUGGGUACCACACUCUAUUAGAGAGUUGGUACACAAGUUGGUAUCUAAAGUUGGUCUCCCUAGCAUUUUCCAUAAAAAAAUUAUAUAUAUAAAAACAAGUCUAAAACAAGUCUUGAUAACAACCAUAUAAACCAUAUAAAAACAAGUCUUGAUAACAACCAUAUAAACCGUUUCAUAAGAUAAUAAAUUAAUUAAUCAGGGAAUCAGAAUUUUUUCGGAGAUACAGUCGACAUGCGAUUUUAUGAGGCUGCCUAAAUCAUUGACUAUGCUCGUCCAUAGAUUUCCACAUUCAUGGCGUCCAUCGUACGGUAGAGAAGUUUCAAGGCGGCGUAGGAAGCAAUCAGUCACCUUACUUUGGUUGACUUUGAAGUUUGACCCGGCCAAUAAGAGGAGCCAUACGUCAAGGACUGCCCCGGAAUUAGCGUUUGAGGGCCAGCCAGUCCACAAGUGGGCCCUCCACCUCCAGCCAUUUUGGUUUGGUGCUUCAACGUGGUGCCCAAAUACUAUUUAGUGGAGCCCACAACGACAUUUUCGUAAACGCUUUAGCCACAUCAUCAAGUUUUAAUAAAAACAGUAUAAUACAUUCAUCAAGUUUUAUUAAUUCGAAAAGAAAAAACUUAGGAUUUGUUCAUUUUUUUAUGAAAAUUGAAAACAUCACGGUAACAGUUUUCGUUUUCAGUUUUUUUUUUUUUUUUUUUUUUUUAAGGGAAAGCUAGUUUUCAAAAUCACUUUUAUUUUUUAAAACAUGUUUGGUAACAAUUUCAGUUUUCAGUUUUUUUUUUCUUCUUUUUUAUUCAACAAUUUUACAUCACUACCAUACAUAAAAUGCACUCCAAUUACCAAAAUUCGGUAUUUGAGACCUCUUGACUUGGACCAUUCCUCUCGACUCUUGCGUUUGGCUGCGGACCCAUGCAAAGCCUUGAGACCUCCAUAUCCUAAAUUCACAGAAAAAAAAUCAUCCUAACUCCAAAAAUUCAUUGAAAAAUACUAAGAACUCUUUGAAGCAAGCAUUUUCAUUAUAUGAUCUCAAAUUCACAAUUUGACCCCAAAAAAUUAAAAAUUGAAAUAAGUUACCGAACAACUUUUAAAUAAUUUUCUGUUUUCACUUUUAAAAAAAUGAAAACUGAAAAAUAGAAACUAGAAACUAAAAACUGGAAACUAAAAUGGUUAUUAAACGGGAUGUUAAUUAUUGCUGACUAAUUGAUAGUUACAAAAGAUGUUUGGUCUAAAUUAUUUGGAUCUAAACAAAGUUAAUAUGAAAUUACAUUGCUUGCAAAGUAAAGAAUUUAAAUGUGUCAAAGAGAAUGCCAUGGGAAGAGUAUCGAUCAUUCCGUCCUAUUCAGAUAAGGAAGAGAGAAUUUAUUGGCCAACAACUCUAUAUGACCACGACAUAAUUGGCAUAUCAUUUCUCACAAUUUAUAUAAAAUUUGAGAAAUAAAUGAACAAAAUAUAUACAUGUCUAUAACUUAAGUGUUUAAGAGUAGUUAUCACUAUACCUGAGAUUUUAUGUUUGAAUAAUCCAUCCUCAAAUAUUGCUUGUAUGAAAAAUGAACAAAAAUUUAUUUUAAAAGAAGAAAAGGGUUAAUUUGUAUAAUGAACCAAUUCUAUGAUUCUUUUUGUUUAAAAGAAAAAGCCAGUUAACCAAACCCGCCAAGCAAUGAGAUGGAUUUGACGCGUUUAGGCGCUGGGCAGUCGUGCACCAAUGUGGUGGGGUUAGGGGUUUGGCUGCAGGUGUAGACUAGUGUAGGGUCCUUUGUGAUGAUGAGUAAGGUCAUGGACAUUGACAGCGAUGAACUUUUGGAGUUAAACAUUGUUUUGUUUUAAAAUGAUUUCAUGAUUGUUUUAAGGAUUGAAUGGUUCGUAUCCUCUUUUGAAAAACCAAAUCUCAUCAAGUUCAUGAUUUCUUAAAAACAUGAGUAUUCGAUCGAUCCUUAUGAAUUUUUAUCAAGUUAGGCCAUCCACUGAUUAGUCAAGAGGCCACAAAUGGAGGACACUGGCUAUGUGGGCCAAUUCAAUACCGUCCCUGUGGGUUUGAUGGAGUUUGGUUAAUGACCCAAACAACCAGGUUUGUAGCACACACACACAGACUUGACUUUUAUAUUUAAUUUAAUUUCGAAUGAUAGGGCCAAAUAUUUCAUUAAAAUAUGUAAACGAUGCGUCAUAACCAAAUCUAAACCCAGAAACUAAAAUACAAAAAAGAAAAAUAACCACUCCAUCAUUUGCAAUGUCAAUUUAGGAAAGGUAUAUUGAUGAAGUGAUGAAUACAAGUAAACACGCUCAAUAAUCGAAGUCUGUAAGUCAUUGUAGCCAGUAAGUUUGUAAGCUAUGUAAAAACUUUUACGUAUGAGUGAUGGAAUUAUGAAACAACAUUUGGUCCAUAUAUGCGCCUUCCAAUAGCCCUAUUUCAACUUAUUUCUGUACAAGAGUUUUCAUGUUGUGGAAAGGGGAGUAAAAUCUAUACACAACUUCCUCGAAAUUGCAAAUUUUAGAUGCUUCAUCAAUGAAACAUUUUCCAAAUUCUACCACCUCAUUCUCGCAAAUCAUCAGAUAGAGGCAGGAUUAAUUUUCUCUAUUCCAUACAAUAAUCUUACCGAGGACAGUUUCAAUUCUUGUUACGCCUCCUGAGCAGGGCCAUUAAUCCUGGAUAAUUCCAUGAUACAAGGAAGCCAGAGUUCUACUCGAGUUCCACCUGCUCCAAGGGGAGCAUCUGCGGUUCGGGGUGAUAUGACACGGACAACACAACCAUAACUUUCGAGUAUCUCACGAGCAACAGUCAGUCCAGCAACAAAGUUCCACGUCAUGUUGUCUUCAACCAUAUUUUCUGAUAAGAGAUCGGCUCCAAAAGGAGUGAGAGAAUGCAUCUGCGUCUGAAGAAAAAUACACCAACAAUACAAUAAAUCUAUGACCAAAAGUAUGCGGUGAGUGACAAAUGAUGAAUAGCAGAAAACUUAAUUCUCUAAUUUGUAUUGUAUAUAGAAGAUAAAGCUAGUAUAGUUCAAAGUUUGCAACUAUUACCAUAUAGUGCAUAUCAGGCCCAUCAUCGUCAAUUACUACAAGAACACCACCUGCUGGUGCUCCAGUAGACACAAUUUCUACCUUUCCCCCAGUAUGUGUACGCAAUAAUGCACUCUCAAUUAAAUUGCUCAGAGCCUGUCGCAAAGCAGGUUCUUCUACAGCAACUUGCAAUGAUGUUCCAAGUUCAUUCAGUUCUACUACACGCUGCUGGUUUUGAGCAAGAGGUCUUACAGCUUCAACCAAAUCCGCCAGUAUAUCAGAAACAUUGCAUGGUCUUCCUGACAUAAUUGACAGGCGUUAGCAAAAUGAAAAUUGCAUGUUUUAAAAACUCUCGUGCUAAGCAUUCAGAAGGAGCCGUAUGCAGUCAUGAAAACUGUAGUGAAAUACACAGUUCUAUUUUAUUUUUCAUUUUCUUUGCAAUCUGAAGUGAUGAAUCUCAGAAUUUAUAACCUACCUAAUUCCAUGUUGCUGUAAAGGAGCAAGGGCUAGAGGAGGCAUGGGCAUCUCCAUAUCCUUGGCUCCAGCAUUUAGAGAAAGUUGUUCACCUGAAACUUGCAUCUUAAUGCUGGAACUAUCCUUGGGAAGGUUAUUCAAUAACUGAGGCUUCCCUGAGUCAGGAUAGGAAUAUGUUGAAUCAUGUUCACCGUAGCGCAUGAUACUAGCCUAGAAAAAUCACAUGCAAAAGUCAGUGUGUCUAGCCCAUAGAGAGAAUAAUAUAGAAGAACUUAAAAAAUUUAAAGUUAUUAUCAGUCUCAGGGUCAAAGAAUAUAUUGAACAUGCAUAUCUCUGGAUAAGUUGAAAAGGCAUACAACAGUAGGGACAGUGUCCUAAAAAUGGCAAAAUGAAUACUUGAAAACUGCUUAUAAACAGACUAUGACUCCUUGAAGAAAGUAUAAGAAGCCUUAGUGACAUGAGAAUUUAUAUAUAUAAGUCUGGGUAGAGAGAGAGAGAGAGAGAGAGAGAGAGAGAGAGAGAGAGAGAGAGAGAGAGAGAUUAAGUGCCUUGGUUAAGUAAACAGCAUCCUGGAGUUGCUGCAGGGUAUCUUUCAUAUGGUCGCCUUGCACCAGUAUAUCUUCAACAAUGUCAUAAGAAAUCUGCAUAAGCAUAUAAUUCCAAUGUAAAUAUAGGGCAUAAAAUGAAUAUCGGUAAGCUAAAAAUUAAAAUAAGUUAUAUAAGAAGGCAAACCUCACUUCUCUUCAUAUGCAUGGAUAACAUUUUACUUAAAGUUUGAAGGCUAGAAAGAGGACCACGAAUCUGGGAGAACACACGACAAUAGGAAAAUACAAUCACUCCAUAAGAACAUACAAAUCCCAAAUCGCAAAUGCAACAACAGUUGUCUUACUUGUUCAACCAGACUACUCAUCCUGACAUUGUUCUGCCAAGAUGAUUGCUGGAGGAGCAUCGCUUUCUGCAAAGAGGUAAGCAUGUCUCUAAGAAAUUAAGAUAAAUGGACUUUAAAAGAAAAAAUGAGUCAUGCCCGCAUUAUUUCACAGUUAAUACUGCAUUCUGACAGUAUAACACACACUACCUGAUCCAUAACAUAUGCCAUCGCUAAAGACCGAGAAAUGUUGAUAGCAUUUGAUCUCUGCUCAGCACUAAACUUGUACAUUGUUAAUAAUGGCUCUGGUUGAUCCUCCAGAUUCUGUGUAUCCCAAGAUUUGAUAUUGGAGCUCGGAGGCAAAGCAUAGGCUUCCUCAGGAGUCAGGCGGUGAAUCAAAUCACAGCCCUCACACUGAACUUUCCCACCAGGUGGCGGCAUUUCCAUCCUGGGAAAUUCAGCAACCAAGAAGCCCACCACAAAGGGGUGCUUCACCAUGGGGAAAACCGCAGCUUUGCACUCGGCUAUAACUUCCACCUACAAAAUUCAAUUUCCAACUGAAUAUACUCAGUAACAAUAUACAUUAUCAAUCAACAACUAAAAUUAAAGUCUAAAACCAAAAAAAAUCAGUCAUCUACUUUGUGAUUGGAAAGCACUGCUUCGGCGGCGCGAAAACCAGUGGCAACACUGAAACUGCCAACUAAUAUCACAAUGUCUGAUGACUUAGCUCCUGGAUGGCAAGUAACUCGACGAAGCUCCAAUCGGUCCAUCACAUAACUACCAGCUGGCCUUACAUACACCUAUACAUAUAUAUAAUCCAAAAUAAAUAAUACAAAAACAGCACUAGCUAAUUUGGAAAUGUAAUUAAUGAACGAUAUUAUCUUCUUUUCCAUAAACUGACCGAGAGGAGAGCAUCGGGAUCGACGAUUCGGCGAAAGAUGUCCAACUGUUGAUUACAGAGUCUCUGGAAAUCGGGGCUGGGGAGUACGAUGCCUCUCUUCUGUUCCUUUUCGAUUCUCUGUAUGAAGUCGACGGGGGAGGUGGAGGCUCUGCGAAUGGCGGAGGCGACGGCGGAGGCAGAGGGGACCAUGGAAUUGGCUUCGGGUUCGCCAUCGGAGGCAGAGUGAGUGACGUGACGGAUGGUCUGGGGGGGGCUAGGGUUAGGGUUUUGGAGGGAGGAGGUUGAGAAGGCGUUGGUGAUCAGGAGGUCAUGGGGUCUGUGAGCGGAGGUGGAGUUGGCUUUGACGGAGGCGGGGAGUUUGUGGCAAAUAGAGGGAAAGAGGAGCGUAGAAGUGGAAAUUGAUGGGUGUUGGUGAGUGGUUGCAGAGAGAAGAAGCAUUUGGAGAAGGAGGAGGAGGAAGCUGCGCUGAGUUCAGUAGAGCGAGUCAGAGUAAGUGGACGGAGGUAAGAGUCAAUCUGCCGAUAUAAGCAACUGAUUUUCCGUUGAAGGCUUAAGCUAAGCAGUCAAACCGACAAAGCAGGCUAACCGAAAUUACUGAAUGCCAUUUUCCUUCAAACGACACCGUUCCACGUCCCACUUGGCUUAAGCUAAUAGAUUUUCUGGUUGAAGACUGCGUCCCACUUGGCGCUACGCUGUUCAAAUAAAAGCCUUUAUCCAAUUUUUUUGGUUUAAACCUUUAUCCUCCUUUCCGUCUUCAUGGUUAAGAAUUUAUUAAAGCUUUUCGUAUGAUUUUUUAAAAUAAAAGCUAUAGUUUAAAUUAUUUUAAUUUUGAUGCAAAAAACAGUUUACUUAUCGUAGUCAAUUGUCUUAAUUCAAAUAAAAAUUACUUCAAUGCGGUAGCCAACUGUCCUAACUCAAAUAUACAGCUUUAUAUAUAUAUAAUAUUUAACAAAUAAUUUAAUGAUUAAUUAUGUCCAUUUUUAUUAAUUUUAAGUGAUGAAUUAAUUUAUUAAUAUUCGACACCCUACUUGAUUGAGUUUUUAUAUGUAUGUAAAAAAUAAUUUAAUGAUAAAUUUUAUUCAUUUUAAUCUAUUUUAAUCGAUAAAUUGAUUUACUUAUAUUCAUCAGAUUGAGCCUUUUACUUUUUUCAUCAAUGAUUAUUUUCGUUUAUUAAAAAUUAAAAAACUCCCCAACAGAAUUAGUCAAAAAAUUAUUAUUUUGGUUAAAAAAGAAGUCAAACAUUGUCAUAAAAACUAUGAACUCAUAUUUUGAAAUUUCUGUUUUUUCCGUUAAAUUCAUCUGCGAAAAAUUUUCUCGAACCAAAUUUAUUUCAAAGUUCUGACCGCACUCCUAACGGCUCCUAGUUUGACCCCACGAACCCUAACUGCCCCCUCAAAUCCUUGCUUUGACUUCCCACUUCACUCCGGCCCGUUACUUUCUGUCACAUUUCUAUAUAGCCGUUGGGAGCCUCUGUUUCUGCCUCUCCCUCUCCCUCUCCCUCUCCCUCUCUCUCUCUCUCUCUCUCUCUCUCUCUCUCUCUCUCGGCAACAACGACUACAAUCCGUACAACAAUGGCGAGCUCAGAACUGGCCGUUUCGCAUUCUGAGUCUUCAGCGGUUACCGCCACAGUAGAUCCCAUUACCGCUUCUUCUUCUCUGAAGCGGAAGAGACCCCCCAUGAUUGAGAUCCCAAACGUCUUGCAAGAAAUUAAAACCGAAAAGCUCAGAGAUUUCACGCCAGAGAACGAUGCCGUCUGCUUCAGUGGGAUUGGAGUUGGGGUCUCCGCCGCCAAAGGCAAGAAAAAGUUUAUGGAAGAUACCCACAAGAUAGUUUCUUGCUUACAAGGCAACAACUCCAAGAAGGUAAACAGUUUUUCCUUAUUUAUAUGCUUAUAUAUCUACAAUCUUUUAGAGUUAUUUUUUAAUUGUAAUUUGGUUUUUGCGUUGUUCAUAUGUAGGGUUUCUUUGGGGUGUAUGAUGGGCAUGGUGGCAAGAAGGCUGCAGAUUUUGUUGCUGACAAUUUGCACAAUAAUAUUCUUGAAAUGAUGGAAGUGCAUACAGAAAUAGAAGAGGCGGUUAAAGCUGGGUAUCUGAAAACAGACCAGGAGUUCUUGAAACAGGUAAUUGCAAUUCUGGAUUCUUUAUUUGAUGUUCACGACUGAUUAAUGUAUGUGAGCCCUUAAUCUGACAUUUAAAAUGUAAAAAAGUGAGGAUUCGGUCCAAUUCUUUUAGAAAACUUCAUUGAUGAUUAGUCCUGAUUCAUAGAAAAGAAACGGUGUUCAGCGCAUAUGAAUUGAUUCCCAUCUGAGUGCAUUUCAUUAAAUGUUGAAGGUAAUGUUGUUAGCUCUGAAUAAAUGUAAUAUUAGGCAUAUUUUAUUACCAAUUGGAGGUAAUUCGCUGACAAUGCUUGGUCUUCUUUCCUGACCUUUUGUAUUAUGGAAAUCUUUAUUGAUGGCUGCGAGUAAAUGCAGGGUUUAGGAAGUGGUACCUGCUGUGUCACAGCCUUAAUUGAAGGGCAAGAGGUCGUUAUUUCAAACUUGGGGGAUUGCAGGGCUGUUCUUUGUAGAGGUGGAGUGGCGGAGGCUCUUACCUUGGAUCAUACGGCAGAACAGGAGGAUGAACGCAAAAGAAUAGAGAAUGAGGUUUUUAACAUAAUCAUUGUCACAAUUACAUUACAUGGUACUGACAUACAAGAGACAACUUAAAGUAUUUGAUGACAAUUGUUGAUAUUGUGAUCAGGGAGGAUAUGUAGAGUUCCACCGAGGAGCAUGGAGAGUUCAUGGAGUUCUUUCUGUUUCUAGAAGCAUUGGAGAUGCUCAUCUGAAGGACUGGGUGCUGGCUGAGCCUGAAACAAAGAUCCUACAGCUCACUCCAGAUAUGGAAUUUCUUGUAUUGGCUUCGGAUGGACUGUGGGGAGAGGUAUGCAGCGAGAUUUUUAUGCAUGAAAAAAUCCAUGUUAAAUUAUGGAAUUAUCUUAAAAAAACAGGCACAUUCUUAUCCUGUUUGUGCCAUUCUUAUCUUAGCUCAUCUUAGGUCCACCUUAAUGGUUCUGAAUUUACUUUAUAUUGACUUGACUUUUGCAUAAAUAGGUCUUUGUUAUCUUAGCAGAUAUGCUGGGUCAGGUGUUGGGAUGGCAUAUGUUUUAGGAUAAAACUUAGGUUAGGUCACCGAUAUUAGAUUUAUUAGUUUCCAUUUAUUUUCACUUUUGCAGCAUUAGCAUCAACGUUAAUGGCAUAUCAUCUACAUAUCCCUGUAGCAUGAAUGAGGUAUCCGAGCCUACAUCCCUGUUGAAAAUUAUGAAAGUCAGUCCUUUCAAACUUUGAUGUUGAUGGUUUUUCCUAGGUUGGCAACCAAGAAGCCAUUGAUACGGUGACCCGAUUAUGUUCAGUUCAGAAAAAAUUGGGACCCUCAGGAGAUCUACUGAAGGAUAAUGAGGAGGACUAUGGCUGUGUUAGUGUGAGCCCUUCAUCAAAGUUACGAAGAAUUUCGCUAGUUAAGAAACUUAAAGGCACACAAUCUCCAGGCUAUAAGAAGACAGUCAAUAGCUGGAAAGAGAGUGAGAAUGACUUCCCGAGUGAAAAUGAGAGCCCUCCAUCGAAGUCAAGAAGAAUCUCUUUAGCAAAGCGAGCAAACAUGAAGAAUGAAUCUCCCAUAAAAGAGACUCAAUCUCCAGGCUAUAAGAAGACUGACAAUAGCUGCAAAGAUAGUGAGAAUGACUUCGCGAGUGAAAAUGAAAGCCCCGCAUCGAAGUCAAGAAAAAUAUCCUUAGUAAAGCGAGUAAACAUGAAGAACGAAUCUCCCGUAAAAGAUACUCAAUCUCCAGGCUAUAAGAAGACAGUUAAUAGCUGGAAAGAUAGUGAGAAUGACUUUCCAAGUGAAAAUGAAAGCCCUCCAUCAAAGUCAAGAAGAAUAUCAUUGGUAAAGCGAGUAAAUAUGAAGAUUCAACCAGCCUCCGGCGGACUGGUGGCUGCUUGUAAGGAGCUUGUGAACCUUGCAUUGAGUAGGGGUAGUUUGGACGACAUCACAGUGAUGAUAAUUGAUCUAAAUCAUUUCAGAUGCCAGCUCAAUUGAUUGGCAUUUCUGCUCUUGCAGUACGCCUUUCUCCUGUAGUUAAGGAACCUUACAGAAAGCUGUGCAGGGUCUAAUCUCCUGAAUUCUUUAAUUGCCAGUAACAACUUUUCUCUUUCUUAAAAGCUCAAUGAUAAUGCUAAUGGCCACUCUUUCGUUAGUACUUCUUUCUCACCUUUGAUGUAUCUGCAUCUGUAUAUUAAUCUAGGAAUUGCAGUACCGAAUAUUAGUGGUGAUAAAUGAAGCUUCAGUUGGCUGCUCAUGAAGAUCUUUGUGUUCAUAUAUGAGAAGUGAAUCACUGAGAACUAAAAUCAUAAAUGAAGCUCUAAUUGUCGUUCAGAAAGAUAACACUGCUUGAUUGUUCGAAAAAGUCAUUAAUUUGCGUCAUCAAUUGUGCUCUUAUAUGGAAAGAGCUAAUGAAUUGCUAUUGUUCCCCCACCAACUUCUCUAAAUACAGAGACUGUAAAUCUGCCUCCCUAAUCCCUUGGCUGUAUUUUACUCUCUUAGAUAGAUCAACAUCCCUAGCUAUCACUUGCCCGUAUCUUCGUUUUCCUCGUCAUGCCUCCCAUGUUCAAACUACAAUGAACUGAGUUAUACAGUUUAUAUCUGCAUAAUCUUACUCAAACUCAAGAGUAGUGAAGAAUUCCUCUCAUUUUCUGCACCCUGCCACCCAGCAUUCCUGCUAACUACUAACUUUUCCACCACUAUACAAAUACUGUUCAAUUAUGAAGUUUAAAAAAACACCUGGUGAAACAGUACAAAGCAUGUGGAAGUAUAAUAACCCACAUCGUAAAUCCAAAUUAUUUAUAUAUAUAUUUUACUUCGUUAGUCUCCUUUACCCCACCCAUAUGCUCUCCCCUGAUAUGAAUUUUAGUUCUUUAUAUUCUGGUACACUGUCACAUGAACUUCAUAUGUGAUGAAAAAGGGGUAGUUGCUUUUUUCCAUGCAAGAAAAGAUAGAUUUAUGGGGAUCAAACUUAUCUUCAACCCAAACCACUUCCAAGAAGAAAAAAGUCGGUUUUGUUAAAAAUAGAAAGGGCAAAACAGAUUGGAAAGCUUGCACGGCUUAGAUGCAUGUAAAACGUGUUACUCUUAAGUUCACCCUCCAUCCUCACUUGUCUCUGCCUCUAAAGACUGCCAGUUUGGAAAUUGAGUCAUUAGCCUGUGGCUCGAUUGAUAACAUGCUGCCAAGAAAAGCUUCGUGCCAAAUCUUAUGGGUGAGAUCUUAGCCAAACCAACUCAUUCAUCUUUGUCUGUCAAUGCCUUGUAGUCUGAUUAAUUUGAUCAAGACUACAUAUAUAUCCUCUUCAUUUCUUCAUAUAAAUCAAUCACCUUUCUUAAAAAUCAUUGGGUAACCAUGCAUGAUCCAAUUGGAAUUCCUGCUUGCUUUUCAUCCGGUACUCAAAGGCCGGUUGAUGAUCCAAAUCCAACGAGCGUGAUCAGGGCAGGACAGAGUGUGUUCAUGUCAGUGUACAGCACAAAGAUAGCUGGUCAGUGCCGUCUGAUCACCAUCACUUGGUGCAAGAACUUGUUGCUACAUGGCCUCUCUGUUUCUGUUCAAGGCCAAGAUGGAGACGAAGAUUAUCGUUGUAAGGUUGAGCUGAAGCCGUGGUACUUUUGGAGGAAGCAAGGCUCCAAGCAAUUUCUGGUGGAUGGCAGCACAGUUGAUGUGGUCUGGGACCUAAAAGCUGCAAAAUUCAACGGAGAAACCGAGCCGCGAUCGGACUAUUAUGUUGCUAUUGUGUGUGAAGAGGAGGUGGUGUUGCUUGUUGGUGAUCAAAAGAAAGAUGCAUACAGAAGAACAGGUUGCAGGCCAUCACUCAUAGAACCCAUCUUGGUUUCAAGGAAGGAACAUUUGUUUGGCAAGAAGAGAUACUCAACAAGAAUCAAGUUCCAUGAAAAGGAAAGCUUUCAUGAGAUUUUGAUUGAGUGCAACAACAUCUCUGCCACUGGGGCUGAUCCAGAACUGGAGAUAAAGAUAGAUGGGAGCAUAGCUCUCCAUGUCAAGCACCUCCAUUGGAAAUUCAGAGGUAAUGAGUGUGUUGAUAUAAACAAAACUAAAGUUGAAGUUUAUUGGGAUGUUCAUGAUUGGCUCUUCAGCUCUGGGCCAAGGCAUGGAAUGUUCAUUUUCAAGCCAAUAUCAUCUUCAUCACCAGAAACUGCGCAGUCAACCCAAGAACAAGCGUUGACUGAAAAGUCAAGUUGUGCAGCAGAAGAAGAGGAUGACAAGGCAGGUGGGUCAUCUGUAUUUUCCUUAUUCGUUUAUGCUUGGAAGGUGGAAUGAUGAUUGUGUUCAAAGUGGUUCAUUAACACACGUUAUUGAAGUGAUUAAUUAGCAACAUUAUUGCAUUAAACAUGAGCAAAGGGAAUUAAGGGAAAGGGAUUAAUUAAGGCUCCACGUUCAUGCACAUUUUGGAUUUGGAGGGUAGACCCCUUCUUCUACAAUGAGGUUCCGCAUAUGAACAGAUGGACCCAACUGGUUUGGGAUUUUGCUUGCUACAGCUGGAAUUGAAUAAUAUGGAACAUGAUUAGACAGGGCCAGAUUGGAUCACAUUUACAUGCCCAAUAAUCCCCCAAUCCCAAUCACCCCAAUUACCCAUUUUCGUUUUAUAAUUGCUCUAUCACGUAUACGUGGAUCAUCUUUAUUUUUAUUUUUUAAGUUUCCUUACUUUUUCUGUUCAUAUUUUGUUUCCUUUUAUUAUUAUCGUUGAGUGUUUAAAGAAAAUUUUUAGUAACGAUGUAUAAAUAAAUGAGAGUCAAAUUCUUAUCGCGGAUUUGAAAUAUUUACAACCGAUCACUUGAAUUAUAACAUAUUUUGUGUAUAACCAGAGCAGAGGAUCCGAACUCAUAAUUUGGAUUCCUAGUCAAUGAUCUGACCAUCCAAUCUUACGAAUGAUGACUGCUUUUGGGCAGGCCACACCUGUAAAUAGACAUGUUGGCUAAGUUACCAAAAGUGAAAACCAUACGAAAUAAAGAAAGAUAAAAAGGUAAAAGUCUGGGGGUUGGCCCAUAACAACAUGCCUACCACGUGACAUGAAUGUAACCUAAAAGACAGGAAUAGAUUCCUGCAUGAGAUGGAUGGGCCGUUGGUGGCCCAUAUACUUUUGCUUCAUAUUCUUGUUUCGCAAAAAAACAAGCCCAAUAAUUUAUUCUAAGUGAAAAGGUUGUUCACUUCUCACUUGACACUUUUGUAAAGUCCUUUUAGAAGAUGAAAAAGGCAUGUGGAAAGGCAAAAGAAGAAAACACACCACAAGAGAUUAGUGAUUCAGUGGUCCUUUCUACUUCUACGACAGGCCAUUUUCAAAGGGUUUGGCGGGUCCGAAAAGGAGCCUUUCACAAUUUGUUGGAAUAUCCACUUGUUCGCGGCCUCAGUGUAGUGGACCCCAUCCCAGUUGAUCUGAACCGUCGGAUCAUUGCAUGAUUUCGCGAUGACCGUCUCGAUGCCGUUGAUCGUCUUCUUGGUCCCACAUUUCGCGUACCUGUUGUAAUUAUAUUUCCCACCAUGCCCGCAACAUGCUAUAAGGGGAUUCCCAAAUCCUACAUUACAAAUUCAAAAUUGUGACUUGCAUUGUAGGGUAGAUUCAAAAUUCAUCUAAAGUUACCAAACUCACAAAGUGAGGUAAAGUGUUACCAUAUGUUUUGGUUUGGGUGAUAAGGGUGCGCUUUACUGAGUAGACAUCAACAUAGGUGAUUGCAGCCAGUGGAAGAUCUUUCUUAAGGUGAAGCAAAGCUUCCUUUAGUCUUUGGUUGAAAUAUUGGGCCACCUCAUUGAACUGAUCUGCACACCCAUAUUUAUCUAUUUGGGCCGGGUUGACGAGGAAGCGGUCCAGAACGUAAGGGAGGCAGCCCAGUGGGCCUGUGUUAUGUAUCCAAUAUGAUCUUCCUCCUUGUUCAUCUACAAUCUGUACAUAUAGAAGCAAACAUGCCAAAUUAAUUGUUGCAGAGACUUGUAACUCAAGUGGUUAAUAGUAUUUAUCCCUGCAUCCGAAAUCUUAAGUUUGAAACUCUAGAAGGUAACCUAAAGAAAAAAAAAGGAAAAUAUGGUCAACCUUAAUGGCAUGAGAGAGCUGGCUCAGUACAUCUGGAACAUAAGCCUUGACUUGUUCUGUGGUGAGGUUGAGUUUGUAGCCAGCAGUGAGAUCAUUUUGGCCAAUGUCAAAGGUAUAAAGGGCUUGAGAAAAAUACUCUUUCUUGGGCAGCAAUUUACCAAAUACUUCACCUAUUUGCCCAUUUUGAAACAAUCCCAACUUCAUCAAACAACAAUUUUGAUGCAAGAAAUGGUAAAUAAAGGAAGUGGAAGUAAAAUGAGUAACCUUUUUUUUGAUAUAUUUGGGAUCUUGUACGGAAGUCCAAGAAUUGAACAAGCUGCACAUCUAAAGAAAUGGGGCUGACCCCAAUUUGUGAUAUGGUUGUGUUUGGGGGCCUUAUGGUUGAUCCAGCUGUGGCAAAAUUGGCUCCAUGGCUGAAGUUUGAACCCACCGAGUCCAGAAAAGCACUCAGAUGAGGCAAUCUCAAGCUUUCCGCUUUGAAACAAGGAGGUUAGAAGAAGAUGCAAGUCAAAACUGCUUUGUGGAUGGAUAUGGACGGAAGUGAUAAAGUGAGAAAAUUUUAGGAACUUUUAGAGAUUGGUUAAGUGAGAAAAUUUCAAUUUAAGAGAGUAAAAUGAGACCGAGUAUUUGUUUUAGGAAGUGAAACAGUAAAUAAGCCUAAUAAUAAUCAGUAAAUUUAGACAUGUAAAAAAACAAGGACUUCAGAUUCAGGUCGAGUGUGUCACUCUCUGCAUGUUUGAUGCAUUAUUUAAUCUCCAUGCUUGGUAUAGGAUCGAAGAACAGAGCCCAAUACUUUUGGCAUAUUUGGCAUAUUGUUUUUAACUAAAGAACGCAUGCAAAGGCUGAACUUUUGUCCUGUUUUUCAACUUGGUAAUGAUAAUAUUGGUGGAUCCAAAUCCUUCAUGAAAUGGAGUCACAUGCAGCACAGUUUCAAAUCUGACGCCAGUAAAAUCAAAAAUGAGUUUCGUUUUUCAAGUUUGCCAAAACCCUUUCUGCAUCUAAUAGGAUAUGUCCUCGAGAAUUGAGAAAACGACCAUAACAUUAUAGCAAAGGGCAAACAGAAACAGAAACAAAAACAUGACAUUGUUUUGUAAAGUUGGUGAAGAGAGUGAGAGAGAGAGAGAUUUAAGGAGCAAAGAGAAGUUGCAGAGGAAGUACCUAUGAAGUCAAUUAGAAGACGCCCAUCAGAGUAGCGUCCGGAUGGGGUGCGGAAAUAAGUCUCUCCAUUUGGGUAAGGGGCUUGUCCAAAAGCUGCAGACAGGCCCCCGGUGUCUGAGUUUGAGUCCCCAAAGUUGAACAUGGCCGGGAAAGAGCAUGAUCUUACAGAAAUGCUAAGACUCGGAAGCACUAAUGUUGCCCAAAUUACAAGGCCAAAGAGAACAUGAUGAUCUCUUAGUCUUAGGAGGAAGCGAGUUUCCAUAUGUGUAGACUAUUGAUAGAGAACUAUAAAUGAAAGAAGAGAGCAUAAAGUUUUUAUAGUCUUACUGUAGAGAAAAUGAAGAAUAUGACAGUUGGGUCUGUCUUUAUCUGCUUCAUGCUUAAUUUAAUUUAAUCCAUCAAGAAUAUGACAAAACUGAUCCAUCAAGAAAAAAGGAAAAAGAAAAGCAAAAAAUAUUAUGGUGGCCUUGAGUGUUUUAUUUAAAUAGUGAAAAGCAGUGACACUUGAUCUAAUUUUCAAUGAGCAUGCUGCUGCCUAUGGCAAGCCAUUUUCAAUGGAACUGGUGGGUCAGAAUAUGAACCAUCUACAAUUUGAUCAAAGACCCUUUUGUUAGCUGCUUGAGUGUAAUGAAACCCAUCCCAAUUUACCCAGAGUGAUGGGUCUUGGCAUGCCUUUCCCACCAAUAUUUCCCUGCCAUGCACCUUAAUCUUUCGACCACAGUGCAAGUUGUUGUUGUACUUCCCUCCUAGACCACAGCAUGCUCUUAUUGGUUGCUCAAAUCCUGCAAUGUAUUUAGCUCAACAAAUUCAAAUCACUAGUCCAUCCAAAUCACAGGUGUAUGUUCAAGUUUAGCUUACCAUGUUUUUUGGGUUGGCUAAUGAGGGAGUAUUUGGCUGAGUAAAUAUCAACAUAUGUGAUUGCGGCCAAUGGUAGUUCUUCUCUUAAUUGGACCACAACUUCUUUCAAUCCAUGGUUGAAAAACUGAGCAACUUCAUUGUAAGGUGUGGCACAUCCGGCCUUGUCUACCUGAGAGGCUAAUACCGGUAGGCGGGCCAAUACGUAGGGGAGACAGCCUACAGGACCCGUAUUGUGUAUCCAAAAGUAUCUACCUCCUUGAUCGUAUACAUUCUGUAUAUAUGUAACAAACAACCACAUGAGCUUCAAAUGAAUGACUAGAAAGAAAACCAAUCCAUUUAGUGAAGUUAUAAAAUGUUGUUUAGGGUUUAGCUUGUUGGAUUGCUCAUCACCUUGACAAUGCUUUUGAAUUGAUUGAGGACAUCAGGAACAUAAGCUUUGACUUGGGCAGUGGACAUGUUGAAGAAAAAGCCGGCUGCUAAAUCGUUCUGACCAAUAUCAAAGGUGUACAAUGCACGAGAGAAAUCUUCUGCUUUAGGCAUUAGUUGUUCAAAUACUCCACCUACAUUGCAAAUCAUCUUCUCUUUUGAAUGCACACAAUAAGGCAAGUUUUUCCAACCAAUAAAUAAGAAGAUAUAUAUUAUCAGUAUAUAAGUAGCAUUUGUGACCUUGACUACGAACAAUUUGGGAUCUUGGAGGAAAAUCAUAGAACUCGUCGUAUUGAACGUCCAAAGAAAUGGGGCUAAACCCACUCUGAUGAAGAGUUGUGUUUUGAGGUCUGAUGGUUGAGGCUGCCGUCGCAAAGUUGGCUCCAUGACUGAAGUUGCUCCCCACAGAAUCAAGAUAUGCGCUAAGAAAUGGCAAUCCGAGGCUGUUAGCUGAAAACAGAGGAUUCAAUUCAAUCAAGGCAAUACUAUUACAUUGGAUAAUCUGAGGAGGUUGAUUUUCUUUUUUCACUUGAUGCAGGCUGAGAUGCCAUACAUAUUUUGUUUUGGCAUUUUUGGUAGCUUCCAAACUCAUUCAAUUAUGUUCAUCCAAACCUAAGUCAUGAACUCAGUUUAGUGGUCAACAAACAAGAAGUACAUGAAUUCUUCAUUGUAUAUUAGUUUCAAAGUUGAGGUACUAGCUAUCAUAUUUUUGUGACAAAAACAACUUUCUGUUUACUGGUUUAUGGAAGAAGAUGGUACUUAAAAUGAAGUACCUAUAAAAUCAAUGACAAGGCGGCCAUCGCAAUAACGACCUGCUGGGCCGUGGAAGUAGGACUCUCCAUGGGGUGGACGAGCCUGGCCAAAAACUGCAGAGAAGCCACCGGUGUCAGAGUUUGAGUCCCCGAAGUUGAAAAUAGCCGGGAACUUGCAUGAAGUUGAGGCCAAAACCAAGCAUGGUGCCAAGCUCACUGAGAGUGACACCAAAAUAGUGACAACUAGUGUUUUUGAGAAAUGUGAUUCCAUUAUCAUGUAUGGGACACAGAGACUGAGGGAGAGCAUGAAACUUUUGUAGUCUUAACAGAGAAGAUGAAAAUAGAGACUAGGAGGGCCAUUAGGUCACCACUUAAGGGUCUUUCUUUAUCUGUUUCUUGCUUAAGUUAAGGGAUUACAUUGACUGACCCUGAAUCCAAGCAAAAAGAAGAAUUAAAAACAAAAGAUUCUAAUGGCCUCAACAUAUUUUAUUUGAGUACAGCAAAGGGUCACAUGUGAUCUAAUGAGCUUGCUGCCUAUGGCAAGCCCUUUUCAAUGGAAUUGGUGGGUCUGAAAAUGAACCAUCUACAAUCUGAUCAAACACCCUUUUGUUAGCUGCUUGAGUGUAAUGCACACCAUCCCAAUUCACCCAGAGAGAUGGGUCUUGGCAUGCCUUUCCAACCAAUUUUACUUUGCCAUGAACCUUAGCCUUUCCUCCACAUCCAAUGUGCAAGUUAUAAUUGUACUUCCCACCAUGACCACAACAUGCUCUUACUGGUUCCUUAAAUCCUGCAAUAUUUUGUAUUACAUGUCAACAAACUCAAUCACUAAUUAAUCCACCCCAUAAAGGAAGCGAUUUCGAUUUAGCAAGAACUUACCAUGCUUUUCGGGUUGGCUAAUGAGGGAGUAUUUGGCUGAGUAAACAUCAACAUAUGUGAUUGCAGCCAAUGGCAGAUCUUUUCUUAAUUGGAACACAGCCUGUUUUAAUCCACGGUUGAAAAAUUGAGCAACUUUAUUGUAAGGUAUGGCACAUCCGGCGUUGUCUACCUGAGCGGCUAAUACAGGUAGGCGGUCCAAAACGUAUGGAAGACAACCAAUGGGACCUGUAUUGUGUAUCCAGAAAUAUCUACCUCCUUGACCAUAUAUGUUCUGUGUAUACAUAGCAAGCACAUCAUUUUCAAAUGAAUGAAAAGCCAAAUUAAUCACAGUUUGGAUUGUUAAUUACCUUGACAAUGUUUUUGAACUGAUUUAGGACAUCAGGAACAUAAGCUUUUACUUGGGUAGUGGACAUGUUCAAGAACAAACCGGCCGUUAAAUCGUUCUGGCCAAUAUCAAAGGUGUACAAUGCACGAGAGAAAUCUUGUGCUUUAGGCAUGAGUUGUUUAAAAACCCCACCUGCACAUACAUUGCAAUUGAUUUUCUGGUUUAGCAUACAAUCAUGCAAGUUUUUUUAGGUAGGAUAGAUGUACAUAAGUAGAAAUGACCUCGAUUUCGAGCAACUUGGGAUCUUGGAUGAAAAUCAUAGAACUCAUUGUAUUGAACGUCCAGUGAGAUGGGGCUGAAACCACUCUGGCGAAGAGUUGUGUUCUGGGGUCUGAUGGUUGAGCCAGCCGUGGCAAAGUUGGCUCCAUGGCUGAAGUUGCUCCCCACAGAAUCAAGAUAUGCGCUAAGAAAUGGCAAUCCGAAGCUCUUAGCUGAAAACAGAGCAUUCAAUUCAAUCAAGCCAAUAGUAUUAGAUAGUGGAUGUUGGAUAAGUCUGAAAACAGUGGCAUUUUUGGUAGCUUCCAAAUUAUGUUCAUCCAAAAUUACACGUGACAUUCUGGUAGUUUCCUGGUGAAGCGUCGGUGGAUUGAUUCCCUAAACUUUUAAAGCAACAUUUCCAAUUAUAUAUCUAUUAUAUAUGAAAAUGAUUGGUAAGCUAGUACAUGAAAUUUAUCAUUGUUCAUUAUUAGUUUCAGACUGUAGCUUAACAGUGAAGAUUAAAGUACCUAUAAAAUCAAUGACAAGACGGCCAUCGCAGUAACGACCUGCUGGGCCGUGGAAGUAGGACUCUCCAUGGGGCGAGCGAGCCUGGCCGAAAACCGCAGACAAGCCACCAGUGUCGGAGUUUGAGUCACCAAAGUUGAAUAUAGCUGGAAAUUUGCACGAAGUUGAGGCCAAAGCCAAGCAUGGUGCUAAGCUCAGUGAGAGUGACACCAAAAUAGUGAGAACUAGUGUUUUUGAGGAAUGUGGCUCCAUAAUCAUAUGUCAGUGAGUUUGUAAGAGAGAGAGAGAGAGAGAGAGAGAGAGAGAGAGAGAGAGAGAGUUGAGAGAGAGGAGGAACAGGGCAAUUAUUGUAAGUAAAACAGACAGUAGAUAUAGUGCUACAUAUGAUAUAGAUAAGCUGGUGACAGAAGAAUGAGGUGUAUGAUUGACUAGAGAAGGUAAUAAACUGUGGAGAUUGGAACAGAAUUGUUGAAAAGGAAAACAAUUUAAAAAAUAAUGAUAUCUUAUUAGAAAUCAAAUCAGCAGGACUUUCUCUUUUUGCUUUUUACCUUGAAAUGGGCUGAGCAAAUCCCUUUAUCAGCUUUGACGGGAAGCGCUCUGGCGUUUUUGAAGAAGGAUCUUUUGGUUUCAAAUUUCAAUUCAACUUUGGCCAUGAGAGAGUCUAUAAAAUUUGAAGAUCCCAUGAAAGACAACAUGUUGACUCCAUGGCCCAAUGGAUAAGGCGCUGGUCUACGAAACCAGAGAUUCUGGGUUCGAUCCCCAGUGGAGUCGCUUAUUUGCAUAAUUGUUUUAUUUUUUUUCUCCUCAUUCCAUCCGGCAGCCAGGUUUCAUCGAAACCCAGUGGAGUCGCUUACCAUGCUUCUCUGCUUCGCUGAUAAGUGUGUACCUUGCGGUAUAGAGAUCGACAUAAGUAAGAACUGCCUAUUGCAGCUCAAGAAUAAAGGGCAGCUGCUAAUCAUUACCUCUAUUGUCAAAGCUAACUUCGUCCAUAGUCUUCAACCUUAAUCCAGCAUGAAGAUCGUUUUGUCCAAUGUCUAAUGUGUACAAGGCCUUGGAGAAAUCUCUUGGUCUUGGGAGGCUGGUCCUUUUAUCUGAAAACCAAUCCAUAAUUGAGUGCAACAUAAUGAAUUAAUGGUUCAAGUAAUUUCCUCUAUAACUCUUCUUCAGCAAACAUAUUGUCUAACCUUCAGUGAAAACCUCAUUUACACGUGCUUUGAACUGCGCAAAUUGUGAAAGCUGUAGGUUAAGAGAGAUGGGGCUAUAUCUUGCUUCAAACAUCCUGCCAUCUAAUGGCUGAAUUGUAGAUCCUCCGGUUGCGAAACUUGCUCCAUGAUGGAAAUUUGAUCCGAGAGAAUCCAGAUAAGCACUAAGAAAUGGGAGACACAACCUAUGAGCUGCAAGAUUGUCAAAAGAAGUUCAUAAGUAGCUUAAACGAAGGCAACUAGACAUAUUCACAUAUUGUAAAUUAUGCUUUGGUACAAUAAUAAUUACAAAGCAUGGUGAGGAACAGAAUGAGCACAUAAGACAGUAAAAUCCUGCAUUAAAAAGAUGUUCCAACCUCUAAGUAACUAGGCGCUGAAAGAAAAUUGCAUACAGGAGAUACAGAAGAGCAUCCAAUCCAUCACAACAGUCCAUGUUCUAACCUAUAAAAUCGAUGAUGAGACGCCCAUCUGAGAACCUGCCUACAGGUUUACCAAAGAAGGUAUUUCCAUAGGGGGUAGGAAGCCGAAAAACCACCCGUGUCGGAAUUUGAAUCACCAAAGUUGUAGAUUGCUGGAAAUUGACAAGCACUACUUGAUUUAUCUUGUGUUCCAAGGCCCAAGAAGAUUGAAAGAGCACCAACUAAAACAACUCCAACUGCCACUGCUUCCACACUCUUCUUCAGUCCCCAGGGCCCUCUCCACCAUCUACUGAUAGUAAUAAACCUCACACGGUCCAUAUGAACCUCUUUCUGCUUCCCUCAGACGAAGAGAUUUAUCAUAUAAUGUGAUGUGAACCAUAUCAAUUAGAAGUUCCAUAAGAUAAGAAGAAUCAUCACAAGGAAAAAAAAGUAGCAUUCUUCAUAUCAUUCACAAGGAAAAAAGAUGGGGCUGAAACUUUACCUUGAUCAAUAGGUGAUGGUGGUUUCUGCAGAAGUUGUACUUCUCUUUGUGGUUAAUUAGUAGAAGAAAAGAAGCUGGUUUUAGGCUUUAUAAAAUCGGUAGAGAGGAGCCUUACAAGUAAUAUAUUUUAGGUCAACUCGGCUGCUAGCAGAAUGUGACAAAUGAACCAUAUGAAAUAUAUAAAAACAAAGGCAUUGUGGUAUCAUCAUCAUCACCAUCAUCAUAAACAUGAUUGGGUUUCAUUUGGAUUUGGUCUUCCACGUAACAUAAACAAAGUAGAAAACCAGCGUCGGAAUUGGGGGGAGCCGCAAAAGGAUUGGGAAAGAUCCAACGAUUUAGACUGCGCCACAUGGUCGUUUGAAUUUAUUCAAACCCACCAAGCGAACAAGUAUUUUUUUUCCCACCAACCGGGAAACCUCGAUGUCAUUGAAAGAGGUUACGCUUAUGAGAUUGACACAAACGCAACUUUUUCUCAUUCUGCUCAUCUCAAGUUGUGGGAUUGGUUCGGUAACACCUUUUAAUCAGGAUAUGGCCUAUUAAACUUGGAUUUGUUAUAGCCUAUUGGCAAAAGUCGAAGAUUCAUUUGCGUAAAUUUUCUACUAAAUUCCGUAGGAUUUACACUGUUAAGCAUUCACAACGAGAGAGAGAGAGAGAGAGAGAGAGAGAGCAUCAUGCACAAUAGAACCAAAUUAUCUGUAUAACACCCAGACAAUUGUCACAAAAAUAGACUAAUGAGUCCCAUAGUGUUCAGUAAAUGUGGAUCCUAAGAGCAAUACAAGGCUCCUUCAUAUGAAACAGACAAAAGAAAGAAAAAAAAAGAAAAGUAAUUUGCAAUUUUACAUAGUUUCAAGAUGUAACAAUAGAUCAAGGUAAGAGUUCCCAGUGCCGGUAAUCAAUAAUGCUUGCUCCAUUUCCAAGAGCAAAAUGAAGAAAACAAAAAGAGUGGGGCAAAAUAUUAUUUGGUUCAGGUUGUCAAAAGUAGAAGGCAAUUCAAUGAAUCCAUAGAAACAGCACACUUUCUCACCAUCUUUCUCUUGACCUUGCCCUGCCAAACAACAAGAGCCAAUACAUUAUAUGCAUUUUGAGGCAUUCACAACCAAACCUUAGUUCCAAAAGUACCGUAAUAUGCUGACUUCGAAGGGAAAAAUUUAAGGUAAACAAGUGGAGAAUACAUACAUUGCAAAGCAUAACAGAUCAAGUUUCUUCCUUAAACAGGUUAACUUCCUCCCUAUGACUGUAAAAAGGAAAGAGAAGAAACGCAUUAUCCUCACCUGCCCAUGUCUCUGUUCCCCAGAAAUCCUCUUUCCCUGCCACCUUGAAAUGACCUUCUGUCAUCAAAAGGCCUUGUCCACGCAUCUCCUUUGCCAUGUGAGUGAGGCCUAUCGAUGAAUUCCGUACUUCUAGAAUCUUCAAAUGACCCAGAUUGAGAAGGUGUCCUGUCAAGAAAGCUACCAGCCCUGCCUGCUCCAGACCCAGGCCGGCCUGCCCCAGACCCAGGCCUGCCUGCCCCAGACCCAGGUCUAUCGAUGGCCUUCUGACCAAAGCGAACUUUGUCAUCCAAAUCGUGGAUCAGUGUCUCCAAUUCCCUUUCCUUCUGAAGUACUAUAUCGCGUAGACUUGCCUGGUCACCACCAGACUCUUGCCCAGUUUCGCUGUUCGUUUUAUCUGGAGAUUCUUUCUCAAGUUCCUUCUUUAGAUGAUCAAUUUCUUCCUUUAACUUCCUUUCCUCUUCUGUUUCGAGUCUGCACAAACGGCUAAGGGAUCAAGAACAAAGCUUCCAUAGGACAAACACAGGUCACAUAUAAGCACCACCAAAUUUAGAAACCAAAGAAGAUUGAAAAUAAAUAGUUUGCCUACUGCUUAGGAGACAAAUUACUUGAGUUUAUUGGUCAGGUUUCAUAUGCCACGAACAUUUUGCAAUGCUAAAUUACAUGCUACUGGAAAAUGUAAUCCAAUCAACAUACUUGGAUAAAGGUAAUUCAUAGACCUGCCACUUGAACUUUUCCACAUCUUUAGUACUAGAAAAACCACUCUCCAGAAACACACUUAUUUUUUCACACCAACAUGCCAAUAAGUUGGCCUCAGAUAAGUCAAACAAAUACAUGAGUUGAUGAUGUGUCCAUCAUUAUCAACUUUGAAUAUUAAAUAAGUGAACUCACAAGUAUCUUGUGACAAUAUGAAACUCAUUCACCAAAGAAAAAGAAACCAGGCUGUAUCAGCAUAACAUCCAGACAACCCCAAUUAUACUAUUACAAUGACAUAAGAAGUCAAAAGGCAUACAUACUCUCUGCAUAGUUGUCUGUAAUGGAUAUCUACUCCACCACAGAGGGGACACACAAACACACAAUAAUAGGACAAAAAUGUAGCCUUAUGUAUGUGCCAAAAGAGGAGGUACUAACCCAAACAUAAUCUAAUUGUUUCAAUUGUACACUAAUCUAAUUAUUUCGAUAUACCCUUUUCAUUCAAAACAUAAACUCAAUAUACAUGACCCAAAGUGGGCAAACAGUACUAACCAAUUUUUUGCAUGCACUUGUAGUUGUUGGGAAUAAUUCCAGCAGUAUUCUCCCAAUUAUUAACUAGUAAGACAGCUUAUGGCAAGUGAGACGGGACUAUAAAAAAAACAAAAACAAAACGAAAAAAGCCAUACAAAGUAACAAAUGAAGUCAAACAUAGAGAAAAAUAUGUCUCAAAGCACUAUGAAGAAAAGAAUAUCGCUUACUACAGCAAAACAACAUAUUGAAUGUAUCCUUGACCAAUGAGCACAAAGAUAGAGCUAGACAUUCAAAAAUCAGAUUUUAAAAUCCCAUGGGGCAUGCUUGGAACAGUCCUCAUGAUAUCAUAUAACAUUUUCUCUUUUAGUGUUAGCAAAGCACUAAUCACCGGAUAGGUUCCCCAUUACAUUUGAAGAAAUCAUAGAUUAGACAAAUAAUUUCAGAUCAAUUACAGAUGAGUAAAUACUAAGCAUGAACACUUGGGCAACUUUUAAUAGGAAAAUAAGGAUCAAGCCACCAGACAAAUACAAACCAUUACUGCUGAAUAUAAUUGGCAAACAAGCAGAUUAAAAGGUAUGCAAAACGGACCUGUCAACACUGAGAUGCUCCAACUCGAGAUCCAUCUUCCGCCAAUCUUUACCUCGCUCCUCCAGCAAAACUUCCCUUGGCUUGGCAUCACCAAAUGGGUUCACUUUGGGCCGCGGCUUCACCACAUUCUCACUCCCAUGCAGCCCAGGACCUUCAGACCGACUUGACUGAGAACUGGAAGGCCUGCUUGAGUGCGCGCUCGUUGGCCGACUCGUCUUCUUGGCGUCAAUUUCCGAGUCCAACUUCUUCCAAUCCAACCCCUUCUCGGCCAAAAUCUCCUCUCUAGGUCGAGCUGCCCCGAACGGGCUGGGCUUAUUGGUCUUCACAACCUGCACUGACUCAUUCACGCCCAACUCGCCUUUUGGAGGAUCCAAAACCAAUCUGGGUCGCUCUCUCUCAACGCCGUCCGCCUCGCGUCCGCCUCUCGCCCAGCGAUCGGGCUCCGGCCCCGAAUCACGAAAUCCAGACCCAAAUGUGGAUGUUCUUGCAGGAGCAGGCUUCUUCCCAACAGCCCAGUUAUCAACCUCGUCUGCCCUAGACCAGGGUCCGCCAACACCCACACCGGCACCGGCACCUCCACCGCCACCGCCACCGAGCGAGCCAUACCGGUUCUGCCGACCUGAAUCUGAAGAAGGAAGAGACUUCUUGGUCAAUGCCCAAUUGUCAACCUCGUCUGCCCUCGACGGUUGAUCGAAAUCUGAAACCCUAGAAGGGGGACCCCUUCGGUCGUCAUCGAAUCCACCGUAGGAUCUUCUGCCACCACCGCCCCACGACCCUUCCGCGUCGUCACGGUCCCUUCCCCGACCCGGAUUCGAACCGGAGCGGCCGUACGAGGAAAACCCACCGCCGAGGCGACCAAACUGCAUUUCGUCUGCAGAGCGCUCUUUGGGGCCGGUAGGGAGGCGCAUCAUCUCUUCAGGAGUGAGGCCGACCCGACUUGAGGCGGCGGGCCCGGAGGCGGAGAAAGAGCCCCCCAUGUUGAACUCGGAGAGGGUCAUCUUCUUCUUCUUGGGCUUUGUGUUCGCGGCUUCCUUGAGGCUCGGGAAGCUCUGGGACUCAGCUUGGGCAGCCUCCGCGAGCUCCUCCGCUUCGGCUCGCUCAGAGUCGGCGGCCCAGGCGCCGAUACCACCCCAGGGUUUGGCCAUCUUCGACGGUUUGCGAGAUCUGAGAACGCAGUUGGAAAUGAAGAGAAAAUAUGACCAGAAAUGUUUGAAAUAAUAAAAAGAAACGAAGGCGAAAAAAGAGUAGUUAUAAUUUUUUUAGUUUUUUGAAAAAGAAAAGGAUGUGAGCUGUGAGCUGGGGCUCCGUUAAUGGAGCCGGAGCUCCGAGAACAUGCGAAGAAGAGGGAAGGGCAACAGUUGGCUUGAGAGAAGGAGUGUGCGCGUGUGUGGGAUGUAAGAGUUUUUUAAAUGUUUUUUUUCUUGUGAUUUUGUUUUGUGGGUGUGGCGAGAUGAGCCAGAAGAAAAACAAAGUGUAAUCAGCUACGUGUACGUGGGGUGUUUUGAGAGUUUGAUUGGGAGCGUUGGUGAAGCAAGCUAACUUGAGCCGUUGAUUUUAUGGGUCCGGCCUGAGUUGUGGGCCCUCUGGCAAGUUGGAGUGUUGGGGUGUGUGCGAGAUUUGUAGAGCUUGUGGUGUGGCUCACCUUGAGCAACCCGCUGCUUUUUGACAUGUUGGUAGUUGACGGUUGUGAUACUCUUUAAAUUCAUAUUUUCUUUUUCUUUUUUCUUUUUUCUUUUUUCUUUUUUGCGGGGAAGCUAAAUUUCGUAAGCGGCACACUUUCUUUUCCUGAUCAACUGAGCUAAGUUUCGUAAAUUCGUACUUUAAAAAAGAAAACAAUUCUGUUUCAAUGCGAUCUUUUCAUUUCAUGUUUGAUUGGUUUGGCCGAAUCCCAUCUGUGCCAUGGAAAGCAAAGUGUAAAGGUACUUUUGUUUGUGAAUUGAUUGCUUUUCAAGUGGGAGAUUCAUGUUUUCUUCUUGUGCUCAUGUAAUGAAGAAAAGAAAGGGAAUGAAAAAAUAAUUUUAAAAAAAGGACAAAUACCAAAACACCCCUAAAUUUGGGAACGAAUGGAAUGUGCCUCAAUAUUCAACUUCAUCAAAUGCCCCUUUGUACCAUGCUAACUGAUUUCGAUAGGGUUUGGCAAAAGACAUCUUCAAUCCUUCUCUCUCUUUGAAGCACACAAAGCAUACUAGUUGCAAAUCAAGCUUGGAUUUUCCAUGCAGCCUUCCUAAGGCCAGGUUCUGUGCAUCCUGACCUGACCAACCAAGUACCAACCAUUUUAACUGUUUGAUUUAGAAAUCAAUAGCCAAACAGAAAGAAGAAAAGAAAGGUUGGGCUUCGUCGUCGUGGAUGCAAUCUUUAGAAAACUCCAGCACCAAUGGGACUCUCCUAGCCUUGUGCUUCCCUAGAACUUGCUGUGGAGCUGUGCUGUUCUCCUCCCUCCGGAAUCUGGUGGUCACUGCUUCCUCUCAACAAGGACAAGACCUGAGAAUUCACCAUUGUUAAUAGAAACUAUGAUGCUUCUACAACUAGUCAGAGCUUCGAUUGGAGGAUCGAAAAUGAUGUACCUGUACAGCAACUUACUUUGUUAGAGUCUAUGCUUAUAACUCCGUCAGUGAAGCCUGUUUGAAAUCCAAGCUAUCAGUGGACGUCAUGCGUCCCUGGAAGAAGUUGCCUCAGUUUGUUUCUCUGCUUUGUCUGUCCUGUCUUUCUUUGGAUUUUACUUGGUGGAGAAGAGAAAGAAUAGGAGGCUUUCAUAGGACUAUUGGAUUUAUUGAUGUGAUGAAGGGUGGAAAAAUUGGUGCUGAAUAGUUACGGAAUUUGAUUUCAAGUAAAUAUGUGCAGAAAGGCUGCUACAGGCACAGCAAUAUAAAAUCGCAGAGCUCACUUUCAUCUUCUACUAAUAACAGAUUUCAAAAGAAACAAGGCACAAUGAUAGAUGGAGAAAUUUCAGAAACAUUACAUGUUAGCACUGCACAUAUCUUUCUGCUCAACUAUCUGCCGCUUCACUCUGCUUUUGCUGGCUGACCAACUAAUUUCACAUUUCUUAUCACACACAAUCUUACCAUAUCCUUUAAUGUUCUUGACAAUAUUUAUUUUUUUCACAAUCUACCCAGAGAGACUCAAGGCCAGAAGAAAACAUCCAUUUCACAAUUUCAAGCAUCCAUAUUUCCACACAACUGGUUGGAUCCUGAGUAUUACAUAAACAAUUUUGCACACAUAAUAUACAAAAAUAAUACAUCUGUACUUACAUGUACUGCUGUUGUUACAUAAAACAAUCACAUAAUAUAGCUUUUUCUAUACAGAAUCCUUUUUUGCUCACAGUAAUUUUCUUCUUUGGAACAACAAGCAUUAUUCCACUAAACUGAUUCCUACAUAUUCCCUUAUUUUUAAAACCCACUUCCCCGCGGGUCCCACUAUAAAAUCAAUAAUUUUUUUUCCCCUUCUUUUGGAAUAACAAUCAUUAUUCCACAACUCUGGAGAUACUGAAUCACCCCUUCAUAAUUUUAGCUCAAAAUCUUGAUGAGCCCAGAAAAAUAACCAAGUGGCAAAACAAUUGAUUUCUAUUGGGAAAUAGGGCCAGAUUUUUCCAAUUUCAUUCUCUUCAAGUUCUGGUAGACUAGUAUAAAGAAAAGAAGAAAAUAGUGAAAAUGGCUUAACCGCUAACCUCAUUGGCGGACGCAAGCAGAGAAGGCAAAGCCUCCAACGGCCGCUUCCCCUCUCGCUCCACAACCAAAGCUUGAGUCUUUCUCUGCAUCGCCAACAACACGUUGUGCCACGUGUUCACUCUCGAAUUCACCUUUCCGUACACCCCCACAUUCACGUCCUCCAAAUCUCGCGUCUUGACCUCCAAAACCUCCGCCGCCUCCGCGCCGUCCAGCAUCCAAAUCAGGCACGAGCAGAAGCCCUUAGAGAUCUCCGAGUCGCUGUCGGCUCGGAACCUCAUCCUCCCCAACUCGUCCAUCUCGGCCUCGACCCAGACCUGAGUCGAGCAGCCCGGGACUCGGCUCUCCGGCUUCCGAGUCGACUCGUUGUACGGAGGCAGUCUCGCCGCGUAGUGUAAUAGUCGCUUCACGCGGUCUAUCGGCUCGGCCAGAGACCUAAAUUCCAAAACGAGUCGUUUUAGCUUGUCCGCAACCAGCUCCGCGGCCUUCGAAGGCGGAGCCUCCGUCGCCUCCAAGCAAGAAGCCAGCGCGGUCGGGUUUCGAAUACCGCGAUUCUGGGUGCAUUUUAUGGAUUUUGAUAAGAAAUUCCUGCCGUUUUGUCGUUUGUCGAGUUUCAAUUGGACGUGUCUAGGGUUGUGAGCUUGGCGUUUUGAUGACGAUUCAGUGGAGGCGGCAGGAGAGGGAUUGAAAUAAAGAAGUGUUGUUGGUAUUGUGGUGGAGUUCAUGGUUUGGAUGGAGAGAAAGUGAAGGAAAGUGGAAAAGAAAGGCCGGGAAAUGUCAGAGACAGAGAGAGGAGCGUGGAGGUAGUUAAGGUGAGGUAUAUCGAGCAAGUAAAUUGGAGAUCCUUAAAUUGCGCACCGUCUUCCCUCCUUGUCUGCCGCAGAAGUUUCAAACAGAAGAAAAAUAAAAAUAGAAGAAGCUUCUGCCUGAAGAGAAAGACGAGAGUCGAGAGGAGGCGCCAAAUAUUUAUAAGGUGUCUCCCGUAUCUUACAAUUUUUUUUUUUUAAAUUGGAUUUACUUUGUUGAUUAUUUGGGCCUCCUCCAUCCCAUUUAUUUUUAGUAAAUUUAGGUUUUAGUUAUAAAAAAAAAAAUUAUUUUUGAGAAAAGUUAAAUUUUUUUCAAAAAAGACAGAAAAACUUCUCAACUUUCAAAUCAAAGACAUGCAAAUGUAAAAGAUUUCUUACGAAAUCCAAAAGUAAAUAAGGAUAAUUUUGUCCAUUUUGACUUCUUUUAAAAAAUUUCCCUCUUCUUUAACCUUUUCCAAAGUUUCUCUUUAUUUUUACCUUAAAACAAAAGUCAACUUUUUAUUAAAAAAAAAAAUUACAACUGAAACGUUUGUUCCUUCCGUUUGCGGCAUUUCAAACUCUUUGACUCUCAACAUGAUUAUAUUUAUUAUAUUUUAAAAGUAUAAAAUAUUAACCAUAUCGUCUACUUAUAUUAAUAUAUAUGAACGAAUGAUAUAAUAUAAUUAUAUUUUAAUAUUAUAUAAUAAUUUCUGCUCAAAUGCAAUAUUGUCUUUCUCAAUCAUUGAUCAUUAUCGUCGUCGACUGUGUGGUUGAAAAUUUGCAAUUAAAGUAACCAACAUGCCAAAAAUGUCAAGCAUGAGUCAAAGAUUGGACUUUUAGUUUUAGGCAAUAAAGAAGAAAAAGAGAGAACGUUAAACAAAAGUCGUCACCUAAAAAAUAUCAUCUAUAAUGUCAGACUCACCCUAAUGUUUAUUUUUCAACAAAGAAACAGAAGCGGAAAUAGCAAAAAUUAUUAUGUAUUAUUCAUGACAUAUUUACUUAUUUAAAAUGAAUAUUGUAAUUAUUAUGAUUCUUGAAUUUGAAGAUAACUAUUCUAAACUCUCAAUUCUAUUCUUUAUAAUUUUCAGAUAAAUAACCUGUUAAAUACCAAAUACCAAAGAAUACAAACGAUUGAAUUGACGGAAAAAACAAAAAAGAAGGAGAAACAAACAAAUCAAUCUUCUACGUCCCACCUCGAUAGAGUAGGGACGAUGAUCUCCACUGACCAUUCUGUAUUGGUAUUGACCAAAUCAGAGAUUCAGAGAAUAAACUCAUGGUCAUGGUGGGUUAAUAAUACUAAAUACUAGCAGCCUAGCACACUGAAAAAUAAACUAAUUUUACAGCCUUGUGACUUGUGUGCUCACGUAGCCCAAUCAAUUAGGAGAAUAAAUAAAUAUUGCUCAAAGAAAGAUGGGAAAUGGUGGCACAACCCCAUCUUUCUUCCUUUAAUUAUAUAUCAUGCUUUAACCUUUGUUCAUCCACUAGCAAUUCAUGAUUAUCUUUGCCCCAUUCGAGUUGGAUUUCGAGCCUUUGUAUUUAGAGGCGGUAUAUUUAUCUCAUAUUUUGUUGAAUCUAAUAAUUUAAAUUUUAAAUAUAUCAAACUUUGAGAUAAGAAUUUGUUUUAAUAACCGACGUUAACCAUUAACAUAGACGCCGUAAUGCCUUUUGCUAGUGGGUGUUGGCAAUUCACGAUCCAAAAUCUAAUAUAAUUGAAUAAAAUCGAUGACUUCAAAUAAGAGAGAGAGAGAGAGAGAGAGAGAGAGAGAGAGAGAGGGUGUGGUAGUGGUGGGGAGGAAGGUCUGGCUUGGGAAACAGAGUUAGCGUCAGUAUAACUCUCAGUUUUUCAAAAAAGAAAUCCUUAACUCAAAGCUUGAUGAUAUAACAUGUUUGAGGAUUAAAUUAUUAUAAUAAUCUAAAUUUAACGAAUUGCGAGUAAAUAUACGGCAUCUACAUUUAGCAUCAGUACAUUUACACACGAGUAAGUUGAUGAAAUUUAAUAAUUCACGUGAGCAUAAUUGUAUUAUUACUAAAACUCAUCAUUUGCUUUCUUAUUAUAUGUUAUUCAAUACCUUUAAGAUAAAAUAAAAUAAAAAUGAAAAUUCUCAUCGCAUUAACCAACCCCUACUGCCAGCCAAUUUCGUUGCUCCUCACUCUCUUUUCCUCUCUCACACACACGGACCUUCCUCACUAGUUGGAAGGCACAUCUAAUAUUUUCAAUUACAAUACUUGAGGUUGUGGCAAAUUAACUUUCAUCACGACAGGACUAUGAAUGGCGCAAGGGGAGAGAGAGGGGUUAGUGGCGGAGGUCAUUGGAAAGCACCUGGGUUGGAAUGCUUGCUGAUACAUUUAUUUUUCAUUUAUUUAUGUUAUAUUUCAAAGAUAUUAGAUACACAUAAAUUAUAAUACUAUAAGGAGUCGUUUGAUACGAUAGAUUGGACUAAAUUCUGGGACUAUUUUGGAUUAGUUCGAAUUGACCUAAGUUGUAUUAAGUACUGAGCUACGUUUGUUGUUGCGUUAAACUAAAGAGCCGGAUUGUAAAAAUAAUAAAGACCAAUAUUUCGUGCUAUAUCAUACUAAAAAAAUAAUUAUUUUAUUAAUCUGUCUCUCUUUUUCUGUUUUCCAUUUUUUUUUUGGUAGCGUUUUCUUUCUUUCUCCCUUUUAUUUAUUCUUCUCACUCUCUCAAUUUUCUUUUUGUUCUCGUUUUUUUUUUUUUUCUUCCUCUUUCAUUCAAAAAUAAUUUUUUUUCUUCUGUCUCGAAAGCUCCUACCUACCUUUCUUUUUCCACUCUGACAAAAAAAACUCUAUUUUUCCAUUCAAAAACACUUUUUUUUCAUUUAUCUCUCGAACAACCCUAUUUCCCUGGUUCAUAAAAAAUAAGGAAGCUUGCUUCCCUAGCCUCCCUAGUUUUGAUUUAGGGUCUUUCAACUAGCCUUUGGGCUAGCUGGAUCUGCUUCCCCAUCCCUUUCAACUGUUGGAGGCCUUUAUUGGCAGAGACUUGCUAGAUGACAGAGCCAACUCAUUGAUUUGAUCUCUCUCUGUUUCUUGAACGCCACCAGGAAAGCUCUUCUUCCUUCCCUUUCAAUUUGGCCAAUGGUUUUAUCAUAUUAUUGGAUAUUGAACUUUUUGGUUUUGUUGGUUUCCUAAGUUCAUGUCUAUAUAUCAAUCUGCCUUUUGACUAGCCCAAACUUGGAGCGGCAACUAGAGUUAAUUGAGAGACUCAUCAGCAAAUUUCGAUUGGGUCUGUGGUGGUGGGGUUUUUAUUCAAGCCAAGGGUCGGAUAGCGCGCUCGCCAUUUUACGAACCACAUUUUGGCCUCGCUGUAUUAGACAAGCAAGUCCGGGGGUUUUUCCCUUACAAUCCAGUCAAAAUUGCUGACGUAGACUGAUUAAAAUUGCCAAAUGCAGAGGCUCAUGAUGCCUAUGGGACUAGGACAAGCAGCUUACACUAGACAUGAUAUCAUCCAAAACAAGGAAGGAAAAUGGACGACACGUCGUAUAAGGUCAAACCCAUAAUCUUAUUAUCUUUUUUUCUUCUUCUCAUUAAUUGUUAAAGGCAGGCUAUGGAACAGAAAUAUCAUUGCAGGACCUUUUGCCUUCCUUGAGGACUACUACAUAUCACACAGGUUACAGCAUGAGCCACUCCCUUUUCCCUUUUACUAGUAGAAAAAGAAAGAAGAUGAAGGACAAUAGGCAGAACGACAGCCCCAAAAUGCUUUGGUUUAUACUGACUGCACUCUAAGUGCACUGCAGGACAAUUACUGCAGCCCCGUGCGGUAUGACAGAAAAUGAAAUUGUCUGGCCUAUAAUCCCUAGGUCUUGUCCGCUCCAUGCUUCUGUGCCUUUGCAGGAACCUCCACUCAAUUUUGUACCAGGAAGUUCCUUGGCCAAGUCUGAUUUUUGUGCGGUUAUAGUAGCCCAAUCUUCGUUCAGAUUGAAAAAGGCAACAUAUAUUUGUCCUGCAAUUGCAGAAACAGAAGUAGAAUUGAGAAAUCUGCACUUACAUUGAAAAGAUAAAGAAGAGAGAGUUGAGGGAAUCGAGGAAAAACCUUUUUGUCCAGUUGCAAUCCAGGAGCGAACUCCUUGAGAAUUGGCUUGAGCUGAACAGGUGAUCAACUUGAAAGUUAAAACCAUGAUAUAAAUCAUAAUUUCAAGAUUCACUAAAGAAUCAAUCUACAAAAGGGGCACACUCAGAUUCUAAUUUCUUACCUUCAACAGAAUUUAUUGUUGCACAUAGCCCAGAAUAACUGUUCACCAAGGUUCCAUUGGAGUUCAACUCCCACAUCUGGUAGGAUUAAAAAAUGUCAUUUACAUUUUAUUUAGCUGGGUCUGUUUUUUUUUUUCUUUUUGGUUGUAAAAAGAAAAAACAGAGCUUAAAACAGGAUGUUAAAGAAAAAAGUGCAUUCUCAGGGAGAACAUAGAUGUGGUUAAGUUGUGAUGACUUGGAAUUGUAUGCCCAAGUCUACAAACAAACAGGUCAGAUCAUACACCAGAUAAAUACUGGCAAAAAGUCAUUCCUCCGUGGAAUAAUAUGCUCCAUACAACUCUCUAUUGUGUAUGCAAGAUAUCCUUAUUCAUAUGUCAGAUUAUGCUUUCAGAUUAAACUCUCAAUGGUGUAUGCAAGAUAUCACUUCUGUAUACUAUAGAUCUAUGAAUAAGGACUGGAAAUACCUGGUUCGCGUCCCAUCUACAAGGUGAAAAGAACCCUCUCUUAAGCUCCUUCGAAGUAAGCUUUCGUUUAGGGGAAGCAUGCAAGCAAAGGUCCAUUUUGUCACUUGCUAAUAAAUUGACCUUCCCCUGAUAUUUCUGUUUGUCAAGUAUGUCUUCAUCUCUAUAUAGGCAUUGAAAUCAGAAUUAUCACAUUUGUAAAAGUGCAAGUAACCAUAGUAAGAUCAAUACAAAUGGAUUAGGGAAAGAUAAAGAAAUAUUACAAUGCCAAAAGAGAUUCUCUCUUGUUUAGGCAAAAAGGUGCCCGACGUUUGCUCCUUGAGUUUUCCUUCCAGCAGAUGUGUUCAGGAUCUUGGUCAACAGCUUGAAUAGACCAACCCAUUGCUUUCACAUCUGCACAGGUAGUGAGACCAAGAACAUGUGUGUCUGAGCUUCUUGCAUCUGUCAGAUGUCUUCUUGCUUGCCAGGUGUGUACCAGAUCAUCAUUUUUAAAAGCCCUUGCACUCAAAUUACUUGAAACGUAUGGAAACUGUAAAUGCAACAAAAGAAGAUUUUAUGUUGCUACUAGGACCAAAGUUUACUCUUAGGAUUUUAUGAAUUAAAUAUUCAACAUACCUCCUUAUUAUUUGAGCUAAAAGAAUUUAUCUCCAGCAAGGUUGGAUUUGUGAUGAGACCGUAUGUGGUAUCAUCCAGCUUUCUCACAUCUCCUCCAAACAUGAGAGGAGAUUUGGCCAUAGACCACAAAGUCAUCUGUUAAAAUAAAUGCGCUAGGUCAAGAAGAUUGCUCAGCUAAUUGAAAAGGACAUAAACACUCACUUCUCCUUAUGUAAGCACCUGUGUUCUUUGCUCCCUUAAACCGAGGUUAGUAUAUCUGUGUGGACCAUCAUUUGAACCUAAUAUUUUCAACACACGAAACAUAAAUUAUAGUUCUCAUCCAUCAACUGUAGAACUUGAAUUUAAACAGUUCAAACUAAUAAGGUGCAUUUAUGAACUUCUAAAGUUGCCAGGACAUAAAUAGCGCUGCCAUGCUUAUGAUGGACAACCUCGUUCCUACUUCUAGAUAUUGAACUGACACAGUUUUGGAACUCCAAUGCAUUGUGAUGACAACCCAUUAUCAGGCAUAGAUCAAUCGAGCUCAUUCCUCUGUCUAAAGAAUAUUGAAAAGAAAAUAUUCAUUGCCAUAAAAAGGAAAGAAAAAUGCAAGUCCUAUUACCUGCAUUGCUAAGCCAUCCCAGGGGUAGCAUAUCUAAGUCAGGCCAUGACUUCCCCAGUAAGCCGUUUGCUCCUAUCAUAUUAGCAGCAGCAAAAUCCCUGAUAUGGAAUUGAAUUGUGUUAUACGAUGACAUUCAGUAAAAACACAGAAUAUAAAAAAUAGUUGAAUUUAACUGAAUGAAACCCUGUACUAAAAUGACAACAGGUUUCUCACCUGGAAACAUCAAAAUGAGCUAAAACAUCUCCCCAUGAAUCCCAAUCAUCUCCAGUUAUACGGUACAUGUUAACUAACCCACUUAUAUCCUUGGCCAUUGUAGGAGUUGCUCUGGUUCCAGGAGAUAGAGAAUACAGUAUAGGACGGUCAAGUUGCUUCAGAACCUGGGCAAGUAUGCAUUAUUUAUGAAGUAUAAGCACCCACUCUCCACCACAAUAUUGCUGAAGUUACUAGUGUGAGCGUAAGUGUGUGUGUGUGUGUGUGACAGAGAGAGAGGGGGAUAGAGGAGGGGAGCAGCUUUAUACCUCUGACACAAAGAUUAUUUCGGGUACAUCUAUGUCUUCACCAAACACACAGUCAUUUUUCACUGCAAGGGGUGUUGGUAGAGAAGCAACCAAUAACAGAGUUAGCAAGGGAUAAAGUGCGGACUUGGCUGCCAAUAUCAGGGGAAAUAUCCCAAUGAUAUGUUGGCUGUCAAUAACUAAUGCAAUCAUAAUACUGUAUCAAGCACGGUAAUUGCUAUUAAUCACAGUCAGCUUACCAAAAUCAACACCCCAUUCAGCAUACUGCUGAUAGAGUGACCUCAAGAAGGCCUUUCCAGCACCCAAUUCGGUAUUCACACUCAUGAAACCAUUAUUCAUCCAUGCACAAGUUCUUUCCUUGAUCCCGAUAUCUUGUGCAGUCCAUUUUCUUCCAGACUCUUCAUAAGCAGUCCCCUGAUAAGGAACAACAACAAAAGCUCAAGUGCUGAGUACCAGGUCUUUAACUUCUGCCAUUACAUCAGUUGUGCUUUUGAAGAUAAAAAAUCUCAUGCUGUGUGUGCUUUCUGAUUCUUUGUUAAAGAUAAACUACAUUAUGUGAUGCAUCCUCCAAAGCAUCUAAUGAUGAUGAAAAUGAGAGCCAUGGUGGGAUCCUAGGAUGAAGGCUUCAGUGCAAUUAGUUGAUUAUUGAGUUGUGGUGGCAUUAAGUAGAAAUACCUUGGCGGUGUCCAAGAUAGGAGUAUUUGCAUUUACUGCCUGUGUACUUAUUCCUCUCAUAACAUGAAUCCCAAAUUUCAAACCCAGGCUAUGUACUUUUGCUGCCACUUCAGUGAACCCUUUCCCACCUUUGGAGGAAGGCCACCUAUCUGGGUCAGGUAUCGGCCUCCCCCAUUCAUCAAUUACAUCAAACCCAAGAGAAUCGACGUAAGCACCUGGAACUUUUCUCCUAUACCACAGGUAAUCCACAACAGCGUACUGCAUUGAAGUGAAAAAGAAUUACACUAAAACACUCACAUACAUAUAAAUUAAUGCAGAAAAUCAAAUUGUUGUCAUCUUCCAUGAAUACCUCAUAUCCAUGAGGAAGAAGCUGCUUAGAUAUGAUGUCGGAACUUUGCAAGAACUCUUCCUCCGAAAUAGUCCAGAUAAAAGAGUCAUAUGAGUUCCAACCUCUGGGUGGGGUGCUAGCAUGGUCUUGUGAUGAUACCCUGAAAUCAGUAAUCAUUUGCACACAUAAUUCACAUCACGAAACCAAAAAAUGUUGAGAUAAUCAACUAAGAUGUAUCAUCACUAUCAAGAAAUGCUAAGACCAGUUAGUAACAGUAAAUCACGAGUUCUGAUUAGGCAAAACAGUUUGUAAUAGUAUUAACAAUGCCAGAGAUUCUAGCACCAAAAAGAAAAUUCAAAAAAGAAAAGAAAGAAAAACCACAUAGAUAACAUGUACAAAACACAGAGCAUUCCCAGUUACAUGAAAUUUGCAGAUAAAGUUUUGUAAAUUGGGUAUUACGCCCCUUGACAAGGUCGAGGGGAACAAGCAUUUGAGCUCAGAAACCCAAAAUACACAAGCUUUUAGGCUGCAGAAGACCACAAAAUGUAUAUUGUAUGAAUAAACAAAUGUACCACAUGCAAUUAACAAUUCUGAAGUGGAAUCUCAUGGAAACAAUUAAACAAAUAUUGGGUUAAUGAAGAAAAUGAUGAUGCUUAUGUUCAACAGUCAAUACAGAGCCAAACUCAGUCGCAAGUGAUGAUUGACAAAGCGAAGAAGAAGACGAUGAUGAAGAUAAGGUUACCUCUGGCUGAGAAGGCCGAGGCAGAAACAGAGAAAGCUGAAGAGGAAGAGGAACUUCAUUCCUGAAGGAUGAAGCUAGCCGAGCAGAGCUCUGAGAGUCUUGGGAAUUCAAUCAGAUCAGACCAUACGGUGAAGAAUCAAAUAAUGGGCAAUGAAGUUAACGGUGACACUAAAAACAGGUUACUGGCUAAGCUUGAUUUGUCUUAGCUUAGGCCAUUUUCUUUUAUAACCACUUUUUUGGUCUCAUAUGGAAAUACAAAAAUGCCAUUUAAAAACAAAAUUUCGUUUUUUAGGAUAUUUUUUUAUAUAUUUAUUGUUGUACCUUUUGCGCAAUGUGGUAGAUAAUGCUAUUAAAUAUAUUUGAUAAUAUUUUCUAUAUUUUUUUGGGUGCUAAUUUGAACUUUCGAUUCUAUCUUUUUUAUGAUACUGUUGUUGGUGGGUACCAAAUGCCAAAUCUAGGAGAUGUUUAUUUCGAUUUUACUUUUCUUUUUUUCUUUUUUUUUUUGAUAAAAAGAAAUUUUAUGUAGAUCGAUAUUUUGUCUUUAGUCCUGUUUUUCUGUUGAUUCGGACGAGGUAAUUCAAGUUAAUGUUCUUGUUUACGUCGGAUAGAGAAACAAGUACUUUCACCUAUCUGUAAUAAUAAACACGACACAAUUAUUAAUCGAAUCAAAUUUCUCAACCCAGCCAGCACAUGAAUUUGAUUGUUGAAUAUUUCAAAUCAUGUCAUUAUCAGUUAAACGGGUUGACUUAAAACACAGAUUCUUUUAAUCGUAUUAAUUGGGUGGAGAUGAUCUUACGCGUUAUGCUAAUCCAAUGAGAAUCAUAUUUUUUGGUUUGGCUUAAAUCCAGAUCCAAGAAUUUAAAAUAUUAGGAUAAAAGAAAAAUUAGGUAUUAGACAUAAAAAUCUUUACUAAUGAGGAUUUGAUACCUAGAGUAUUUCUAUUUUGUUUUUGAUACAUAGGAAUCAAAUUUUGUUUUGAAUUUGACCAAAGAGGAGGCUCAGAUUCGUUGAACCUGUCUAAAUUAUAAAGGUAAAAUACAUUUUUACCUUUUUUAUUUAAAAGCCUUCCAAAAUCAGAUUUCACCGUUUCUUUCUCGAGAAUUUCUCCGAUUUCUAACUUUUCAUUUUAGUUUGAUAGAAUUAUGAAAAUUACAGAAAUUGAGUGUUUUUUUUUUCUUCUCUUUUCCGAAAUGUGAUUUCAGAGAGGGCAUAGUUACAUGGAUCAAAAAGAGUAUAGGACUUAGUAUUCAAAAUGUGACCACAUUGGAUGAGGCGUAACACAUUUUGACUUCUGAAAAUAAAGUCGUUUUGGGCUACCUGAAUUAUUUGAUGGUAUGCUUAUUGCGUUUUCAUUAUGUUUCUCCUCUUAUGCCUUUUUUUGGGUUUACAUUAUGAAAUCUGAAGUUCUUUGAUUUUAUGAUUGUUAUGGUAAUGCUUGGGUUGGCCAUGUAAUUUUAUAGCAGUAAUUAGAGUGCAAAGUUUCGUAUAAGCUUGUGGUGAGAGUUUUGAAAUUUGGUCUAGAAACGGUGAUAAUCUUAAAUUAGAAAGUUAGUCAAGGCAGCGGGCUUUUAAUUGACGCUAUAGAGUUUUGCUCGGUAAUUGCACAUUAACAUGGAAGUACCUGAAUUUAUCAAGGCAUGUUUGGUUGUCAAAUGCAAACUGAAUCAGAGAUCUGUUGAAUCUAAUAGAACAUAAUUUAGAAUAGGAAUUUAAAAAUAGGUGAUUCAUGAAGCAUAAAAAAUACUCAAUUUUUUGCUUUAUUCAAUAGCUAUUUUAAUCUGUCUCCGAUAUAUUGUUACUCAUUGUCAUCAUGCCUUCUCCUUAUGAUAACAGGGUCCUGAGAGUGACGAGCUUGCUGCUGCUUCAAGACUUGAAGAUGAUGUCAACUUUUACUAAACAGUGGAUCCUAAGGUGGCAAAAUUUUUCCAUCUUGACCCUGAAGUUAAACGACCUGCUUUGAUCCUGCUUAAGAAGGAGGCUGAGAAACUGAGUUAUUUCGGUUAGUCUCUUUUUUAUUAUCAGAGUGGGUGAGAUGUCUCAAUUUGAUUGUUUUGUGUUCCUUUACUCUAUCCUCAGUUUCUCAUUUCUGCAGAUGGUAAAUUUGAGAAGUCUGCAAUUGCCGAGUGUGUCUUUGCGAACAAGCUUCCUUUAGUCAUCACAUUUCUGUUUCCGUUCUAAAAUUAAUUUUUGUUUUUGUUGCUGUUUUUGUUUUUGUUUUUGUUUUUUUUAAUACAUAAUUGAUAUCUACACUGUAUUUUUGUUGCAGUUUCUGUUUUUAUUUGUAAUUUUUUCAAGCAUAUGUGUUGAAAUGUUUUUUUUUUUAUAAAAAUUUUAAAAACUGUUGAUUGUUUAUAUAAAUAUUGUAUAACUGAAUAAAUAUUUUAAAAUCAAGUUUGGUAUAGUGGUUUGUGAGUGAACCCUCCUAUUUUGAGGAUCAAUGUUCGAGUCCCUUCAAUGAUACAAAAUCUUGUUUUUUUUGGUCCCCUGCAGAUGGCGGCAGGCCGGCGAUGGGCUGUGGCAGGUGCGCGGCGGUGGCUAGCCAGCAGUGAUAGUUGGCCGGAUGUGGACAUGUGACAUAGUAUACUUGCCUUAGAUGGAGUGGCAUUAUGUAUAAUGUUGAUAUUUUUUAAUGAUAUUAUUGUAAAAUUAGGUACUGCAUUUUGGUCCUUUUUUUUUUUUUUGGUCAGAGUCGCUGGAAAAUUUUAAGUAAAUUUAGGUUUUAGCCACAAAAAAACUUUCACUUUUGGAAAAAGCUUAAGACAGAAAAACCUCUCAACUUUCAAAUCAAAGACAUGCAAAUGUAAAGGAUUCCUUAGGAAAUCCAAAAAUAAAUAAGGGCAUUUUUGUCCAUUUUGGCUUCUUUAAAAAAUUUCUCUCUCCUUCGACCUUUUCCAAAGUCUCCCAAAAUUUUAUUAGAAACGAAUAGAAAGGUUUACAUUGGCUGCAAGAAUAUUAAAGAGCCAUUCAGUGCCAACAUAAUCUCAAAUAUGAGAACCCCCUAUCUAGAAACAAAAUGAGCUACCGCGUGUGCAACCCGAUUACAACACCGGGGUGCAAACACAAAGAUCACUCAUGCAAACUGAGACAACAGCUGCUAUAUGUCGAAGACAAUCCCUUCAAGGUCAGCAUCCCCUGCAACCCGUCCGUUGAGUAUUGGGAUACCUCUUUGGACAUCAAUUACAUUUUGGUCUUUGCCCUUGUGCUAAUUAGAUGAAAUUGUAUUCCUAUCUUUUAAAUUGGUGAACUAUAUUGUGUUUUAAAAUGGUGAACUAUAUUGUUUUUUAAAAGUAAAGCUCUAAAAAGAUAAACUAAAUACAGUAACUGGGUUGGGCUGCUAGGUGCUAAAAGAACGGUGCCCAUCAAUCACUAUAUGAACCUCUAUCUCUGAAUAAUUCGAGCAGCAAUCAUUACAUGAAAACCAUCUUUCACGUUUCUCUAAUAAUUUACACAAUUAUGAUGAAACAUGGAAAACUAUCUGACAUUCAUGACAAAACCGCAAAAAGCUUGAUGUAUGCCCUAAUUUUUCCUCCUUAAUUGUCUUGAUCACACCGUGCAACGUUCUUUUGAGCCUUUUGGGGCAGAAGAAGUUUACAGUUUCAUCUCACAGGUAUAUGUUCUCCGAGCUUUUGGAGAAGAAGCUCCUCAAUAAUCAGUGUUAAGUUUUUCAAUCAGAUAUCCUUGUUCAAGCUUUGCACAUGCAAGGGGUCAGGGGGUUCUCCCACAGGUCAUAGUUAGGGAAGGUCUCUUCUGGUAAUCCAGUUCGUGUUUCGUGGGUGACAACAACGUCUUCGGCAAAGGUUGCCCAUCCCAAGUAAGGGUCCCCAAAAGAUUUUGACAUAAGCCCCUUGUCUGGUUUUAUGGAUUUAAGACGAUGACCCAUAUACCUGCGUGCCCCUAUGAUCAGUUUAGCAAAGUUGCCUCCAUGGGUCAUCACAAAUACAUCAGACUUCAAGCAAACCAGGAAGUCAAGCGCUGCCAAGCUAGUCACAUGCUUCCUGAAAUUAUCCAACUCCUGCUUAGUUGCCAACUCCUCUUUCGUUACCUGUUAUGAACAGUCAAAAUGAACCUAUCCGUCAAGUGGGGGAAACAAGGAUUUAAAGUGAAGAAGUGUCCAUAUGAUCCACCAAGAUUCAGCUUUCAAAUGAUUAAUAGUUAUCUGAAGUAACCUCAGCUAGAAUUAUUACAAACCGGAAUUUCUAAAAUCAACAUGUCAUUCAGGUAAAUAUUCUAAAUAAUGGAAAUGGUAUAAUGUUUUAAGAUAUAAUUUACUUAACAGUUCAAAAUUAAUGAGCCACCUUCACGACAUAAGAUCAGUCAGUAAGCUAUGUUAGAAUAAAUUAGAAGUUCAUACCAGAUUUGGGAACAUGUUCCUCAGUGGUGCCAUCCUGUUGUGCCCACCAUAGACCUGUCCGGAAGCAACAUAAAUUUGAGUCUCCUUGGGAUAGCCCAUUGCUCGAAGAAUCACAGCCACUUCCCCAGGCUCAAGGGGACAUCUCCCUUCCUUCCGCUUCUGCAGGGCUAGUUGCCAUAGAUGGGUACCAUUCUGCAUACCAAAAUCGCCACCAAAAGAAAAGAAGAAACAAAAUAAGACUAAUAUUCUUUUAAGAUUCUCACUGCGUAAAGUUGAUCUAGAUUAUUUACCUUGUACCGUCUUGGCCAUUCUUUUUCUCUGUAUUUUGCCAUUAGAGCUUUCUCUUCCCUUGUGCCCACAAAAUCACAGAAGGAUAGACCUACCAUCCCUUUCUCAAACCUAAGAUGAAGAGCCCUGCUAAGUGUGGAACUGUUAGUGAGGUUGAAAAGAAUCCUGAAAGGGUUAAGCUCACUUUCCUAAUGCCAAUGUUACAUACAUAUAAGGAUUGGAGCUGCCAGUGCGGUUUCUCAUCCUUGAUGCUAAUAAAUCAGCCAUCUGCUCUAUUUCAGGAAGAAACUUAAGAGCAUGAUAGUUCACCCUGCACCUUAGCCUGUUGAUUUCUUGAGGGACAUUGUCAUACCUGAAACCAGAUUUUUAGCUUGAUAUACGUUGUUGACCAUUUGUCAGCAGCUUAAACCUUUUUUAUCCAGCAGUUUUCUAACAGAUACAACCACUUGUAAGUUUAGGGCAGCACACAGCACACCUAUAUAUCAAAUUCAUGACUUACCCCAGUCGAUCAACAAAAGGCUUUAGGGCCAUUAUCUUCUUCUCCUUGAUUCGAGGCAGAACAUUGUCGAUGUAAAAUUGUGCCGGUGCAUACUUCGGAAUGUUCUUUACUGUCCGUCUAAAGAAAAAAAUUCCACAAAUCAUUGCGAGUUGCACCAACAAUCCAAAUGUUUUCCCUAAAUUGGAGGGAGAGAGGGAGAGAGGGAGAGAAGGAGAGAGGGAGAGACAUAAAGACAGAGAGAGCGAACUUAACCUUAUACUUGAAAAUAGCUCAGUUUUGUCUGUAAACCACUCAGGAAUAUCACGAACAAUUCGUACAUCAUCCUUCAGGUAAUCAAUGAAAUGAUCAACAUCAAAGAUAUCUUCAAAUUUCCUGCACAUAUUGUCAUAUUUUAAUGAAGAAUUGCAAGCAUAAGAGAUCCCAACACAGUACCAUAUGGAGCAAUUUCAAAUGGUCAUAUUUUUCAGUGAUCCUAAAAAGGGUAAAAGAUUUAUAGAUACAUUAUGUGUGCAUACAAGCUACUUCUGUUCCUAUUAAGUUGACAAGGGAGAUUAAUCCAAAUUUUCAAGAUUUGUAACAGAAGAUCAUUAACAUGAAUAACGAUAUUCUCUCUUCUUUUUUUCUUCUUUUUUGCACAUACACUGUGUUUAAAACAUUACACUAUUGUGACAGUAAGUAUAAAAAUAAUGGUAAAUCUCACGUUUGAUCUUUCCAAAUCUGAUCCUGCUUCAGCACUGGCAAAAUAAGGGUAGCAUUCAUUAUUUUGGCCACAGCCACUGCAUUGCAUAUCUGCAUGAAAUAAUAUACACAAUGGUAAAUAUGUGUACAUACAUGGCUGACCACUUCACAUACAAUGAUAAGGUACAAUCAUCCACUUCUCAAAGGGUGAACUUAAUAAAACCCAGUUAAAAAACAAUAUCUCAUACUAAUAUGCGAAUUACCAACCAGACUAGUGCAUUUCUCCACCAUUAUCACUCAAUUAAAAUAAGUUCAGAUUGCUAUAUAUAUUUGUUUGUAAACCAUGGGAAAUCAAUGGGAUCCACAAGGCCGAUAAAGUAUAUAAAUGAGCAAUUUGUGUGUAAACAGAGAAAUUCAGCCAAGCUACAUUGGUAAAGCAAAGACCAGUAAAGCUCUUCUGGCCACAAAGAGAGCAGAGCAAAUACAAUGAGCUUACAGCCACAGCAAGAGAGACAAGCUAAUAAAAAAGGAGAACACGUGACUGCCACAUCAGCAGACAAGCUGUUGCCAAUUUCAGCAAGCCAUCCAGCAUGGACACCAAGCUGGCAAACAUAUUAUGGUUGAAGUUGUAACAGAUUAAGCUGUUACGGCUAACAAUUGUGACUAAUCUGUAACAGUCUAUAGCCAUCACUUAGCUAACAGGCUUAGCUGGCUUUCUGGCAAAUCCUUAGGAGCGUUGGCUAUAUAUUUGAGAAAAUGGAUACUGUACUUUCUCUUGAAGGUUCUUGAAGUUUUCUUUCACUUGUCCAUUCUUAUAAUGUGCACAAGUUGGUGAAAAAAUUAAGGAAUAGACUUUCUAAAUCAGAUUACAAGUAAACAGAGCAGAACAUACCGCAAUUCUUUGCUGAUUUAGACCCCCCUCUGCAUGGAUAAAUAUGUACCCAGUUGUUUCAUUUUCAGGUGGAAGAUCUGAAUAGAGCAAGAACGAUUCUAAAUUUAGAAAAGAAACUCAAACACGGAAAUAGAAUCUAGAACUUGACAUAGUAAACAGAUCUAGAUUACAAGGGAGCAGCAACAGCAACUCACAACAACAUUGUAGUUAGAUUUCUAAAGCAGUAAAAGAGGAGCUCAGCUUACCUGAAAACCCACCAAGUCGACGCUCAGCACAGGGCUUCCAAGAUGUGGUUGCUGAAUAAGGAUUCUCCCAAAGUGAAGGCGCUUCCUUGACCUGAAAUUUCAACAAUCUCACAAUUUCAUUACAGACAUUUCAACGUUGACCUAACACACAGCUUCAGAAACUUACAUGAGGACAGUGAAGAGUGAUGCCAUCUUUUUUACACAAGUAAGGAGCAUUCUGCAAUAAAAUUCAACAAAAAAUGAAAGCAAUUAACAAACAUAAAAAUCCAGAGCUCCAAGAAAAUCUGAUCUUAUCCUAAUUUCCAGACACCAGAAAUCCAAACAAGAAAAAGCACAAAAAGAACCAAUACCACUCGUUUCACGAUUGCCAAAAUCGACACUAAGCCAAGGAGGGCAACGACAAUGACCACGACGAGUGAGAUCCUAGAGCUGUUAGCGUCGUCGCCAAUGGACGGACAGAUGGAUUGGAAAUGGGAGAAGAAGGGACGGUCACGAUCUUUGUAGGGGUGGCGACCGCGACCGUCGUCGUCGUCUACGGGUUGAGUGUCCGAUAUCAAAGGAGAGGAGUCUUCAUCUCGCUUCAUUGGAGAAGAAGUGCCUCGAGCCCCCAUCGAGAUGGAGUGCCUGAGCUCAGCCAUGGCUCGCUUCGGACUGUAAGUCAUGGCUUUUGAGGAUUUUUCUGGCUUUGGUAUUGUUAAAGGUGGAGUGAGGAGGUAAAGCCAAAGGCGAUUUAUUUUCGUAAAUAAAAUUAAAAAAUGAAAAAACAACAAUUUACUUUUGGUCUAUAUAGUUUUCCCAUUUUAUAAUUUCAUCCCGUAGUUUUAAUUUUAGGGAUUUGACACCUUUCUUAAAUUGAUCGAAUUGAAAAUGAUAAGGAUACAAUUGAAAACAUUGAAACUAGAUAGACUAAAGUAAUAAAUCUUGCAAACUACGGGGACUAAAAAGACUUUUUGUUAAUUGGAAAAAUUACGUGCGAACGGCACCGUUUUGAAGGGGAUGGGCAUUUUCGGACAUCUAAAACUAACAGCCCGAACACUGGUAACUAACCAAAGCCAUCAUCACGCUGACACAGAACCUAGCAGCCCGGCACCAAAGAAGGAACACGAAGCACACCAGUGACCGCCACAUGGCGGCCACUCGAGCCCCUCUGUCCUCAUACCAAAACCCUAGCUCCACACCCACAUUGAAAUCUCCUCCCAAACCCUCUUAUGUCGCUUUUGAAAUCAAAGCCUCGACCUUGAGGAAGAAGAAGAAACAGAACGGCAUUAGGUGCGAGAUCAAGAGCUUCGAGAAUCCGCACAAUUGGACCAUCGAGCCGGAUACGCCUAUUCACGUCUUUCACAACCCUCCAGAAGCUCAGGUGGCAAUGGCUUCCGGAUCGGCAGUGAAGAAAGUGAAGAAGGUCUGCCUCUUCUACUGCGCCGAGACCAAGUCGCUCGCUCAGAAAGUCGCGGCUCAAUCUGACGCCAUUGAGCUCCGUAGCAUCACUUGGAGGUGAGCUGUAAUUAGGCAUUUUCCAUGGAAAAUGUAAAUUUUCAUCAUAAAUGCAUAAGCUUUAUUGUUUCUGAAUUGCUCUUGUAUGCAAUUUUGUAAAUUUUGUUUCUUUUAGGAAAUUUGAUGAUGGGUUUCCCAACAUAUUCAUACCCAAUGCUCAUGGCAUUCGAGGACACCAUGUGGCCUUUCUGGCCUCGUUUAGCUCCCCAUCAGUGAUUUUUGAGCAGCUCUCUGUGAUCUAUGCAUUGCCCAAGUUGUUCAUCUCCUCAUUCACGCUCGUCCUUCCCUUUUUUCCCACUGGGACUUCUGAGCGUAUGGAGGAUGAGGGAGAUGUUGCCACCGCUUUCACACUUGCCAGGGCCUUGUCAAAUAUACCCAUUUCAAUGGGAGGGCCCACUAGUUUAGUCAUCUAUGAUAUCCAUGCCUUGCAGGUUUCUCUACCUCAUUACUAUACAAUUAUGUCUUCUCAUAGUCAUCAGUAAGCAAUAUGCAAUGAUUUUUCUGACAGUAUUUUUUUCAUUGUCUUUUGUGUGUUUAGGAGAGAUUUUACUUUGGUGAUAAUAUCUUACCAUGCUUUGAAAGUGGGAUCCCUUUGCUCAAAAGUAGGCUGCAACAGCUCCCUGAUUCUGACAAUGUAAAGUUCUUUUCCCCUCUGGAUGUUGAGUCCUGGGAAUUUAGAUGUUGAUAAGAGUAAUUAUUCAAAUCAAUUUUUAUUUCUGAAAUUGUGUGAUGAUUUUCUUCACAUUUCAGAUAUCCAUUGCUUUUCCUGAUGACGGUGCAUGGAAACGAUUUCAUAAGCAGCUACAGCAUUUCCCAACGGUAUUUUGUUUUCCCUUCCCUAGUAACAAGUUGGAGCUAAGAGUCUUCAAAACCACAUAUACAUGACAAUUAUCUUCCUGUCUUCAUGUUUGUUCUAAGUAUUUUGACAAGAAUCUGCUCAUUAAGCCCUGUGCACUACUCUUCAUAGUUAUAUAAUAGGAUGGAUAUGUCAAUGAGCUGGGUGCAUUAAAUUGCAUGCUCUAUACUCUGAUUCCAUCCUUAAGAUUUCAUCAUAAAGCUUAUAGUUUGUGUAAGAGGUGCAGCUGGACACUGUUUAUUCAACUAUGUUGUGGUUUCAUCUCCUUCGCUGACAUUUUCAUGAACUUUAAUAUUUACUUCAUGAAGGCGUAAUUUAAUUAUGUUUCUAGUUGGCUGGAUAACCUUCCACAAUUAAAUGCAGAUUGUCUGUGCUAAAGUUCGGGAAGGUGACCAACGAAUUGUACGUAUUAAGGAGGGAGACGCAAGAGGACGGCAUGUUGUGAUUGUUGAUGAUUUGGUUCAAUCUGGUGGCACCUUGAUCGAAUGCCAGGUAUCAAAAUCCUGGGUGAACUUCUUGUCUGCUGCCUGAUACUAAUAACCUUAAAAUAAAAGAAGACUGUGUAUGAAUGAUGUGCCUGCCUUGAGCACAACAUUUUAACCCUAUAAUACUGGUCAUAACACACAGAACCUUGAAAUUCAGAUAGAAUAUGGCCCAAUUGAUAACAUGAUCAACACUUUUGGCAAAAAGUAAACAAUAAAAUUGUCACUGGGUUGGAUCUGGAAAAUAACUUCUUGACCAAUAGAUGGACAUUGGACUUAUUGCUUGUUUCUUGCUACACACUCCUAACUUUCACAGAGGAGAAUAGUUCUUCCAUUUGUUUAUAACUAAUCUGAAAUGUCUUGUUACGUUCUCACUUGUUUUAGAAAGUUUUAGCCGCCCAUGGAGCUGCAAAAAUCAGUGCUUAUGUAACACAUGGGAUUUUUCCUAAUAGAUCAUGGGAACGCUUUCAAAGAGAUAAUGGAGGUAUUACGUGCUCUACUUACUUUUCCUCUGAAGUUUUUAUUACUCGUUAUUCUUUUGAUUUGUAGUUAACUUUCAUGCUCUUGUAUAAUUUAACAAAAAAUAAACUCACUACUACAUGGUGCCAACUUGGUUGAGACUCUCCAAGUACGAUUUCUAAUUCCUCUGUGCAUUCUUUCUUUCCUUUUCCAACCAGGGAAACCUGAGCAUGGGCUGACCUACUUCUGGAUUACAGACUCAUGUCCACUGACAGUGAAAGAUGUGAUGCACAAUCCACCGUUUGAAAUUCUCAGCCUUGCUGGUUCUAUAGCGGCUACUCUUCAAAUAUAAGAGAAACUUAGGAGCACUAGAUAAAAGUGCCUUCUCUUAGGUUUUAUUUCUUGUUCUCCCACCCUUUCUUCCUCUUAUGGGGUUCAACGGAUUAUAGAGUCAUCAAGCAUAGAGAAGUACAAGGAUUCGAGUAUCAGGCUGCAGUGAAGAAUUUUUACUUUUUGUAGCAGUUAUUAUGACAAAAUGAUGCAAACUUUCAGGGGCAUUGACAAAGUUUUGCACUUUGAUUACAAUAAACACCUAGUAUCCUCAAUGCUAAGUUGCUAUCAAAAGUAUAAUCUAGCUCUAGAAAUAGAGCAAGGGCAAAUAGCCAUUUCUGAAGAAAAGUUAUAGGCUAACAUUGUCUACAGUUCGAGCAUAUGUGAUUUCCUUUUAGACAAAUUGUAAGAAGUUAUUUCUAUAUAUAUUAAGUAUUUCAUAUGUGCAAAGCAAGUGAAGGAAAUUAGCCUUCAUAUUGUAUCAUUACUCUUUAGUAACUGUUUCUGCACUGGUGUGCACAGUGCCUGCCUCUCUUGGCCCAGUAUCCUUCUCCAGAAGGAUGGUACAAACUAAAUGGUGAUGGCAGCUUGCAAGGAUGAAUCUGACAGAAUGGGUGCUGGGGUUGGUGAUCGUCGUGGAGGGUGGCUUGCCAAUCACUUCAGGCAGGGCGAAGCCACCUUCGGAGCCAUCUUUUUUGGAUGAAAUUCCUAGAUAGGUCUAUAAUAGUUUUUUGUUAUAGUAAUUUUAGAAGUUAUAUAAUUGUUGGUGAUUACAAGAAGUAAAAAGAUAUUUGUUUUACUAGCAUUUAUCAAAUUAAAGUUUUUGCAACAAAUUCAUGGUCAAUUUAUUCUAUAUAUUUUGACCAAAAAGCCAAUUUAUUCUAUGUUUACAAGUAGUAAAAAGUGAUCCAUGUUUGUACCACAAUUAACGAACCAAUGGAGGAACGACACGUAGACAAAAGUAGGAAUCGAUAAGGAAUCAUCUGGCACCCCUGACUGCCGAGCGCAAGGCCAGACCCCAAAGCAUCCUUUGGACACGUGGAAUGCCCACAAUGAAUGUCUACAGUCCCACCUCGAAAUUCUAAAUAACAUGCACACCUCUCAAGACUUAUAAAAGAGGCACAAGUCUCAAAAUGGAGGUAACUGGAACUUUCGGCAUACUUAGCCAUUACUCUGUCCAGAUUACUAUUCACUCCAUACUUACUUAAGUAUCGGAGAGCCUUCAGCUAGUACCACACCGGUGCCCUAGGCCUUACUGAGUACCCUUUAAAGGACAUUUGUGGUGUUGCUGGCAGAGCUGGGGGAGGCAGAGUUGGUACUAGCGAAGCUAAGGGUGUAAAUGGCAGAGGUGGAGCCGGGGAAGGCAUAGUUGGCAAAGGUAGAGGCCGAGGCCUAUUUCGCAAAGGCCGAGCUAGCGGAGGCGUAGUUGGCAAAGGCAGAGUUGGUCGAGGCUUAUUUGGCAAAGGUGGAGCUAGGGGAGGCAGAAUCGGUAGAGGCGUAGCUGGCAUGGGCAAAGAUGGCGGAGACGUAGCCGUCAAUGGCGGAGGUGUAGCUGGCAAAAUUAGAGCUAGAGGAGGCGUAGCCGGCAUAGGUGGAGAUGGCGGAGGUGUAGCCAGCACAGGCGGAGAUGCCGGAGGUGUAUCUGGCAAGUGCGGAGCUGGCGGAGGUGUAGCUGGCAAAAUUAGAGCUAAUGAAGGCUCAGCCAGCAUAGGCAGAGAUGGCUGAUCUAUUGACGGCAUAGACAGAGAUGGCGGAGGUGUAACAGGCAAAGGCAGAGAUGGCAGAGGCGUAGGUGGCAAAGGCAGAGCUUGUGGAGGCGUAGCUGGCGAAUAAGUAGUUGGUUCUGCCCCUGCCUUGAGGCAAGGUACAUUGGGCACAAUAGUGCCAAUGGAAGUUCCAAUAGCAUUAUUGCAAGAGGCAUAAAUCUUCUUACCAGGAACAUCAGAGGUAACUUUGAUGCGGUCCAUAAUAAUGUUGUGGCAACUUGAAUUCUGGUCACAAUCUAAUUUGAUCGCCUCCUCACUCGCAGAAGUUCCUUCAAAAUCAAUGUACUUCACAUCAUCCACCGACACAGCCGAGGCCUGAGUUUUGCAUUUGUGAUCACGAUUACAAUAAAACUGGUCAAUGAUGAUGGAAUUUUGAGCUCUAUCGAGUGUGAUCUUCUCAAACAUUAUGUUCCUAGCAUACCUGGAUUCGCCCUGCCACGUCUUGAUCCUGUAGUCCCACUGAAACUACAAUCUCUCACAUACACAUUCUCCACUUUCUCAAGUUGCCCAUUUGCUCCCAAGCUUCCCACAAUGUUUGCAAAAGAGAAUUUUAAGUUAAUAUUAUAUUAUAAGCUAGAUUUUUCAAUAAGGAUUUCUGUUAAGGACUACGUACCUAAUUCCAUGGCCUGGUCCGCACACGAUGUUGGCGAUGUUGAGAUCGAAGCAGCCACCGUUUAUGGCUAUACAGUCAUCGCGGGUUCCAAUGGUAGAGUGUUGAAUAAAGACAUAGUGUGAGCUUGACAUGUCAAUGCCAUCAGUGUUUGGACUGUCUUCAAGUGCGGUUAUGGUGAGAUGAGAGACAUACACAUUGUUGCAAUUGCUUAUAGCAAUGUGGGCUCUUGCGCUGUUUAGAUGAGUAAGUCCACUGGAGUUUAAGAUGAUCGCAUCCAUGGAAGUAAAGCCUGCAGUAACAUUCAAAUUAGUAAACCCAAUUUCAGUAAAAAAAUAUAUAUACACUAAAUUAAAUUAAAUUGAAAAAGAAAAAUAAUUCAUACAUCUGGUGGUUUGCGAUUCUUCUUAUUCAUCUGGAGGAGUUUGCAAGAUAAUGUGUCGUAUUGGUUGGGAGUGGUCCACCAAGAUGAAUCAUGACCGUCGAUUUCUACCAUCAACCAAGAGAUUGCCCAGAUUCGAAAAUUGGAGCCAAUCCGAUGAUUCACACCCUUUCCAUGCAUCCAACGUUUUGGGUGCCACCAGUUUUUCCAGGAUAUGCUCACCACACCCAACAGGAAAGGAGAAAAAGAACAAUUUAAUCAGUUUUUCAAUAAGUAAGAAAAAUCAUAUUGUUGAAAUAAGUGUUUUCAGCUCAUCAAAAAAAAAAAAAAAAGAACCAGUGUUUUCAAAGGCGUGUGUAGGUUACCUGAACAUGAGCACUAUUUGAGUUGCAAGGACCUUCAAACUUGAUGGGCUGCAAUAAGAAAGUUUUUUGCUCUGGUAUAACAAGUGUUGGUGCGCCGAUAGCUUCAUCAGAUUCUCCACAUAACUCUUCCCAUGCUUUUACAAAAGCCUAUAUUUGCAAAGUGAACAAACUGUAAGUGAUUGCUCCUUUUAGCUUAAGAUAAUGGAAAAUAAAGAAAUAAAAUAAAACAAGAAAAAUAAAAACUGUAAUAACCCAAACCUUAAUUAAUAUUUAAUUAUUAGUUUAUUAUAAGGAAAGACAAUUUUGCCCAUGAAAUAAUUUAUUAAAGAAAAGUUGACUUUUUGACCGUGAAAGAAUUUGACAAUUCCAUACACACCGUUGCGUAAAGCGCGACGAAACGAGUCCGUAGACAUGUAGCGAGCUUGAAUCGAAGCUUUAAUGAAAAAAAUACGGUCAAAAUACGUAGAGGGGCAAAAUGGUAAUUUGUAAAGUCAGAACUUUAAAACUCCAAUUAUCUCUCUUCUCCCUCAGUCUCUCUCUCUCUCUCUCUCUCCCCGCGAUCUCUUCUUCCCCUGGUUCGAAAACCCCCCAGCCGAACCUCCAUAACCACCCAUCCACCGCCACACCUCGCCCUGACCCACCAGACCGGACCCAAUCGCACCGGCGUCAGCUCCGACUCUAAGCUCGACCUUCCCUGCCACUCGGCUAUCACGGUUUUGUCAAAAAAAUCGAAAAAUUCGGCCGGUUUAGUUCGAAAUUUCACAGCCAUCGAUCUCCGUAUUCCGGCCACCAAAUCGGACGAUCAAGGUAUGGAUCCUUACCUAUUUUUCAUGACUUAGCUGCUGGUUGGGUAUGAUUGGAAGGAUUUCUAGCCUAAGUAGAUCAAACCACGAUCCAAAGUUUGGCCGAUUUUGAGAUUGGAAUUUCGGCCAUUUUCGGCUAGUUUUUGGGGUAGGUCCAAGAACAAAAGUGGUUCCAAAUAGGGUGUUUUACCUAGAGUAGGAGUUUGGGCUGGUGAUUUGGAGUUUUUUCGACUGCCAGAAAUUUAUCAAGCCACCCACGUGCUGCUGGCGAGUGUGGCGGCGCGUGGGCAAUUUAGUGGAAAUCACAUUCAGUCCUAGAGUGAUCCUCGUGUUGUCACGAGCGCGUAGGAAUUCGCGGAUCUCAAUUCGGAUACCGUUUGAGCCUCGAACGGAUGUUGCAUAUUGUGCGAUUUCCGUGUUCAAUAUAGUUGAGCCGUUGGAUCGUAAUCUUUUUCAGAUAUGUUAAUCUAGACAAUUCCGGGAUCGUUUAGGAUUCGACGGAUCGUGAAUAGGAGUCCCGGAUACUCCGAAAUCACGAACCCUAGGGCUAGGGUUUUAGAAAUCAUGCGAUUGUACGAUCGUGAUCAAUCCGACUGUCCGAUCGAGAUCAAACUCUCGGGACAUGUGUCCUGGGUAUAUUGGAACUUCUAGAGGCUUUCGGAUCAUAAUUUUGAGGUUGUAGACCCACAGGGUCCCGGGUUGACUUUUUGGGACUUUAGCGCUUUUUGAGUCCCGAGAUACUUAUAAACUAUUCCAAGUGGAAGAAAAGCUUUUAUGGGCAUAUGAAUAACUUUAAUUUGAUGCACGCACUUCUAGGAGCUGGGGGUCAAGGUUUUUAAUUUAAUACUAUAUUGAGUAUUGUAUUACUAGAAUAUUAUGGUAAUUGAAUCAGGCACCCGGGCACCAAUUGACCCGCAGGAGGGACCUUCAAGAGGUCCAGCGAGCACGGACCAGCAGUGAGUGGACUCUUUGUUUUUAUAAAUGAAUUUAAGCAAUUCGGUUACAUUAUUUGAUCUUGAAUAAGUUUUAUUCAAAGAUUAGUGUUUUAUAAGCUGUUAUAUACUUUUAAAUAUUUUGUUUUGCAUGCUGCCGAGUGGAAUAUCCUUUAAGGAUAUAGGGAAAGAGAAUUUUAGCUAAAUAUCAGAUAAAUGGCAACAGAGUUCCAUAUUAACAGAAAUUCAGUUAUUCAUCAGAUUUUUCAGAAACCUUAUAUUUUCCUAAGCCACAUUACGUACCCAGAUAUACAGAUGUUGCCUUCGGUAAAUAAGUUGCCUUCAGAUAAAUUGUUGCCUUUGGAUUUUAUUGGUUGCCUUCGGUUUAGUCAGCAUGGUUGACAGUUGCCCCAUGAGUUCUGUGGUACCCGGACUAGUGCGGAGCAAGAAAUGCAGAUCAGGCUGACUACGGUCCCCUAAAUUUUGCGAGUUGGGGCUCGGAUUGACCUUGUGUCACCGAGACCUGCGAGUACGUGUCACCAAUGGUGAUGCGAGGAAUUGACAAAUAUUAGGAAUUGACAGAAAUAAGGGGUACACCUAGGUGGUAGUUUUAAACUAUUUUCAAUGCUUUUAAGAGAUUAAUGUUAACCAUGAGUAUGAUUGGCACAUAUAUGUGUAAAUAUAUGAAUGCAUUGAUUUCAGUACGAAUAUAAUAAAGAGAAUGAUUUAGUUUUGUAUAACUGUUUUUACAGUGGGGUUAGUAUGUUCAUAUGCUAUUUUUUUUUUCAAACUUUGUUUUUGGUCCACUCACAAUUUUCGAUGUUUUGCUCCCCCAUGCAAUAUGCGUGCACAGUGAUCCACCACCGGGCCGUUUUCCACCUUCCGCGCUUUCUUUUCUGAUGUAGGACUUUUCUAUAAAAGAAUUGACUCCUUUUGUAAAUUCUGCCCUAGAAUUAGAAUUUAACUGUUGGAAUGUGUGUAUAUAUAUGUAUGCUGGUAGUUGGUUGUGUAUAUAUAUGCUUGUUUGACAUGUGUAAAUUUUGGGGAUUGAUCCAGUUAUACGGGAGACUUUGCCGAUUUUUUGGUAGGAGUCAACCUUGUUAUUUUAUCGUACUUUAUAGGGAAGGGCAAUUAGGUCAUUCGUGCCCAACACCCGCCAGGUGUCGGACACACACAGGGUCCGGCUCGGAUUCCACAGUGGAAUUUGGGUCGGGUCAUGUCAAAAACGCUCUCUUCCUAAUUGGAUAACAUGAUGACAUGUUAAUGUUGUCGCAUUAUCCAUCCAAACUAUUGAUAAGAGGAACAUGUAUUUUAUGUGAAUAUGUGGUUUAAAUACAAAGUUUAACAACAUUAACACGUCGAGCUAUCUAACAAGCGAACAUUACUCAAAAGAACUAAAUGCAUGUGUUACGAGAAGUUAAUUACCCCGGAAUCAUUAGUCUUUCCGUCUCCAACAACACCAUAUUUAAGAACAUCGAAUGUUAUUUGGCUAUGUCCAAAACCAAUCAACUGAGAUGAAGCAAUGUAGAAUAUCAAAAGUGUAACUAGUAUUUUCUUCAUAUUAUUUACGAAACAAUGAAGAAGAAACCAAAAGGAUGGCAAAGUAGCUAAAGUUCUCGGGCACUAGAACAUAAGGCUUUGUUAAUAAGGUUCCCUAAAGAUAUAGCACUGACAUCUUUUCCUUAAGAUCUGCCAUAAUUCACUCUUGUUUACAUUGUAAAAGUAGAUUCCUCACCAUCAACAAUUAUUGUAUCUUUGUCAAUAUAUACGUUGUAAUUCAAUACUGGAAAUCCAUAAAUGAGAAUUAGUUUUCACAUGGUAUCCUCUGGAAAUCUCUUGUCUAUCUCUAUGAGCUCUCUCUUAAUCCCAACCAUCUCUACUUUUGUCUCUGUCAAGUUUUCUGAAACAAACUAUUUGUUAUGGGAAAGUCAGAUUAAGCCAUUCCUAGUUGGCCAAGAUUACUGGAAAUUUCUCGAUGGCUCUUAUCCUUGCCCAUCUCCCUUUCUCACCACCACAGUUACUCCCUCUAAAGAUACCCCCUCUGAAUCUUCUCCGACCAUCACCACCACACCCAAUCCACAGUAUACUCAAUAGUAGCACACUAAUCAAACUCUUGUUAGUCUUCUUCGUGCGACUUUCACCGAACCCGUUCUCUCUCAAGUCGUUGGCAUGUCCACCUCUCGCCAGAUUUGGGACUGCCUCUACCAGAACAACCAAUCCUAUAAUAAUACCAGCUCAGGCCUAUUAGGCCAUGCACUAUCAGUCUGCCACUCAAAUCCAUAAUGUUGGAAUUAUGGGCAAUAUGGGCCAUAUCUCAACCCGCUUCCCCNNNNNNNNNNNNNNNNNNNNNNNNNNNNNNNNNNNNNNNNNNNNNNNNNNNNNNNNNNNNNNNNNNNNNNNNNNNNNNNNNNNNNNNNNNNNNNNNNNNNNNNNNNNNNNNNNNNNNNNNNNNNNNNNNNNNNNNNNNNNNNNNNNNNNNNNNNNNNNNNNNNNNNNNNNNNNNNNNNNNNNNNNNNNNNNNNNNNNNNNNNNNNNNNNNNNNNNNNNNNNNNNNNNNNNNNNNNNNNNNNNNNNNNNNNNNNNNNNNNNNNNNNNNNNNNNNNNNNNNNNNNNNNNNNNNNNNNNNNNNNNNNNNNNNNNNNNNNNNNNNNNNNNNNNNNNNNNNNNNNNNNNNNNNNNNNNNNNNNNNNNNNNNNNNNNNNNNNNNNNNNNNNNNNNNNNNNNNNNNNNNNNNNNNNNNNNNNNNNNNNNNNNNNNNNNNNNNNNNNNNNNNNNNNNNNNNNNNNNNNNNNNNNNNNNNNNNNNNNNNNNNNNNNNNNNNNNNNNNNNNNNNNNNNNNNNNNNNNNNNNNNNNNNNNNNNNNNNNNNNNNNNNNNNNNNNNNNNNNNNNNNNNNNNNNNNNNNNNNNNNNNNNNNNNNNNNNNNNNNNNNNNNNNNNNNNNNNNNNNNNNNNNNNNNNNNNNNNNNNNNNNNNNNNNNNNNNNNNNNNNNNNNNNNNNNNNNNNNNNNNNNNNNNNNNNNNNNNNNNNNNNNNNNNNNNNNNNNNNNNNNNNNNNNNNNNNNNNNNNNNNNNNNNNNNNNNNNNNNNNNNNNNNNNNNNNNNNNNNNNNNNNNNNNNNNNNNNNNNNNNNNNNNNNNNNNNNNNNNNNNNNNNNNNNNNNNNNNNNNNNNNNNNNNNNNNNNNNNNNNNNNNNNNNNNNNNNNNNNNNNNNNNNNNNNNNNNNNNNNNNNNNNNNNNNNNNNNNNNNNNNNNNNNNNNNNNNNNNNNNNNNNNNNNNNNNNNNNNNNNNNNNNNNNNNNNNNNNNNNNNNNNNNNNNNNNNNNNNNNNNNNNNNNNNNNNNNNNNNNNNNNNNNNNNNNNNNNNNNNNNNNNNNNNNNNNNNNNNNNNNNNNNNNNNNNNNNNNNNNNNNNNNNNNNNNNNNNNNNNNNNNNNNNNAGCGAUGCCGGCUCUAUGCUCCUCAUUCUCCUCUCGGGAAUAAUGACCAAGUCAUUAUUGGUAACGUAUCCUUUUCUUCUGGUCCCUUUGUUUUCUGUCUUUCUGAUGUUAUUUUUGUUCCCUCCUUGUGUAAACAAUUAUUAUAUAUCGCCAAAUUCACUCGUGAUAAUCUUGUUAGCCUUACUUUCUUACCUUGGGGUUUUGCUAUAUCCUAUCCCACCGGUCAUUGCCUUCACAAAUUUCACUGGCUCCAAAUUCACUCUUGCCUAUUUGUUUGCUUCGUCUUCACUUUGGCAUCGUCUUUUAGGUCAUCCAUCUAAUCACGUGCUUCGCAUGUUGGCAUCCAGUACUCCUUUCUGGUCGUCUUUUAAUUUCUCUUGUAAUCAUUGUGCAUUGGCCAAGUCCACACGUCUUUCGUUUUCCUCUUAUGAACAUUGUUAUAGUGCACCAUUUAAUUUACUCUAAUGUAUGGAUGUCUCAUGUUGCCUAUGUGUUUGGCUUUCGUUACUAUGUUAUUUACUAAUAAUUUUUACCCGUUACUCAUGAAUCUUCCCUAUGUGGCAUAAAUCCGAAGUUUUUACUCCUUUUAAAAACUUUGUUGCGUUUAUUGAAACCCAAUUUUUUCUCUCUAUUCAACAGUUUCAGAGUGAUGGGGGAGGAGAAUUUAAUAUUACUCUAUUUCGUCAAUUUUGUGCUAAAAAAUCUAUUCAUUACCUUUUUUCUUGCCCUCAUACCCACCAACAUAAUGGUCUUGCAAAACGCAAGCAUCGUCAUAAAUAUGAAAUGGGUCACACUCUACUUCUCAUAGCCAAUCUUCCUCAUUAUUUAUGGGCUGAAACUUUUUGUAUAGCCGUGUAUUUGAUCAACCGUUUUCCUACCCCGAUACUCCAAUGGAUUUCCCCUUACCAAAAAUUAUUUGGCAAAAUUCCUGAUUAUUCAGUCCUUCACAUUUCGGGUGUGUAUGUUAUCAUUUUCUAGGUGAUUAUACUACUAACAAGCUUCCACCUAGUUUUCUUGCUUAUGUUUUUCUUGGUUACAGUGAUCACCAUCAUGGUUAUCAGUGCCUUCACCCUUCUAUAGACCAAGUUUACAUUUCCCAACAUGUUAAAUUUAAUGAAGUUGAGUUCCUAUAUGCUGAUCAUGUCCUUUAUGGUUCAUCUGCUCUUUCAGACAUGGCUUUCAUCCCGCUGCAGAAUCUUGGGCUUACUCAUGAGCCUUUUCUUGAGAUUCCUUUAGGCACAACAUCGAACUCUGAUCUGGGUGCCGAGUCCCAACAUGACAUACAUGCACCCUUAUUGGCCCUUCAACCAAGCAGGCCCUCUAUUCAUGCAGAACCAAAUUCAUCUCCCUCCACCAAUCGUCCUGCCAUCAAUGCUCUUGUUCCAUCAUCUAUUGAGCCCAUCGCCCCUACCAACACCAUUUAGGCUCGUUCUAAAUCUAGUAUUUUUAAGCCUAAGAUACAAAAUUAUUUUGCUACUAAGCACCUGCUUCCUCUUGCCUUCACAGCUAUGUUGGACUGAUAUGGAACCUACGUGCUACACUCAAGCCUCUCGAUCUCCUCAUUGGCAACAAGCUAUGGUUGAAGAGUUUAAUUCCCUUAUUAAGCAAGGCAAUUGGACUUUGGUUCCACCUCCACCCCAAGUUAACACAGUUGGAUGUAAAUGGGUUUUCAAAAUCAAACGUCAUUCUGAUGGUCGUAUUGAUCAUUAUAAAGCACGUCUAGUAACUAAGGGUUAUCAUCAACAAGCAGGACUUGAUUAUUCUAACACCUUUAGUCCUAUUGUGAAACCGACUACCAUUCACAUUAUUUUCAAUCUCGUUGUUUCUCUUGGUUGGCCACUGUGUCAAUUGGAUGUUAAAAUGUCUUUCUUUAUGAUGCUCUCUCUUAGGAAGUCUAUAUGUCUCAACCACUCCUUCUCACCCUCACCAUAUAUAUCGACUUCAUAAAGCAAUCUAUGGUUUAAAACAAGCACUUUAUGCCUGGUUCCAACGGUGCAGUUCCUUUCUCCUAGCCUAUGGUUUUUCCCAGAGCAAAUCUGAUGCCUCCCUCUUCAUUUUUCAUACUGAGACGCACACCAUAUUUCUAAUGUUAUAUGUGGAUGACAUUGUUCUUACUGAUAGCCAUCCCUCUCAUCUACAGUCCUUUAUUCACACAUUGGGUACAUAAUUUGAGAUGAAAGAUCUUGGUAGGCUAUGUUACUUUCUGGGUGUUGAGGUUGCCUAUGGCUCUUGUGCUCUUCAUCUUACUCAGACAAAGUACACCAUUGAUAUCCAGCAGAGUGCUAAUAUGCUUGAUUGCAAACCAUGUUUUCCUCCCAUUGCUUCCAAGAUAGGUCUUUCUCGUGACGUUGGCCCACGUCUUUUUGACCCCUCUAUUUAUUGUCAGUUCGUUGGUGCUCUUCAGUAUUUUAACCUCACGCGACCGGAUAUUUCCUUUGCAGUUUAGUUUGUCUCUCAAUUCAUGGCGGAUCCUCGCUCCCCUCACAUAGAUGCUGUCAAACGUAUCUUACGCUAUCUCAAAGGAACUGUUGGUUUUGAUCUUCCACUUCGUCAUGCACCCCUCUCCUCUUCGCUCCAUGUCUACUCUAAUGUUGAUUGGGCUAAUUGUGCCUUGAUACUCAAUGUUCCACUAAAGGCUAUUGUGUUUUCUUUGGUCCCAAUAUGAUUUCCUGGAGUGCAAAGAAACAACGUACUGUGUCUCGUUCAAGUGCUAAGGCUGAAUAUCGCACUUUUGCCUAUGCAUGUGCCGACUUUAUUUGGAUUCAAAGGUUACUUCGUGAAUUACGGUUUCCUCUAUGAUAAAUUGAUAUCUUUGUAUGUAUCUUAACUUCAUACAGAAACAGGAAUUAUAUACAUGAACGGAGCAGCUAUUCUAGGUAAGGAAUUAUAUACAUACAAGGAAUAGCUAUUCUAGGUAAAUAGAUAGUGAUUAUAUAAUAAUUACAUCCAGUUCCUACAAUCUCUCAAUAACAGAUCAUUGACUUAUUUUCUUUCCUUUAACACUUCCCCUCAAGUUGGAAUGUGGAUAUUGAUGACACCCAACUUGCCAAGAAGUGAACUGAAGGCAGGUGCCCUUAAUGGUUUGGUAAGCAAGUCAGCUAUCUAUUCUCCUGUUUGCACAUAUCCAGUCUUGAUCUCACCUCUUUCUAUUCUUUCACGAACAGUGUGACAAUCGAGCUCAAUGUGUUUGGUUCGUUCGUAGUACACUGGAUUCGCUGCAAUGUAUAAGGCCGCUUGAUUGUCGCAAAACAACUUUGCAGGUUCAGAAUGUGCAACAUGCAGAUCCUGCAACAGAUAUCUUAGCCAAGUGAGUUCACAUGUAGCUACAGCCAUUGAACGAUAUUCAGCUUCGGCAGAUGAUCGUGAUAUUGUAACCUGUUUCUUGCUUUUCCAAGACACUAGUGCAUUACCAAGGAAGAUGCAAUAUCCAGUGACUGAUCAGCGUGUGAUUGGACAUCGAGCCCAAUCUGCAUCACAAUAACCAAUUAAUUUUAACUUGUUCUCUGCAGGGAAUAACAACCCUUGACCUGGAGCUUCUUUAAGGUAGUGAAGAAGACGAUAUGCAGCAUCAAAAUAUUGGCGUUUAGGCUCUUGCAUAAACUAACUGAGGGUGUUGACUGCAUAAGUGAUUUCUGGCCUGGUAAUUGUGAGAUAGAUUAGCUUGCCAACUAACCAGUGAUACCGAGUAGGGUCUUUGAGCAGUUCACCUGUAGGAGAUAAUAUCAAAUCCGGAUCCAUGAGAACCUUGGCUGGUUUAGCUCCAAGUAGUCCAGCUUCUUCCAAAAUGUCAAGAGUAUACUUGCGUUGACAAAUAGAGAUCCCAGUUUUUGAUCGUGCCACCUCAACACGAAGAAAAUAUUUUAAGGAUCCGAGAUCUUUGAUUCGGAAUUGACUACCAAGAAAGUGCUUUAGUUUAUAGAUUGCCUUUUCAUCAUUACCUGUGAUUAUCAUAUCAUCCACAUAAAAGCAAUAUAAUAGUUAGGGAACUUCCCUAUACAUGUGUGAACAAAGAGUAAUCGGACCGAGAUUGCUUGAAACCAAUGCCACAAAUAGCAGAUGAAAACUUGCGAAACCAACUUCGUGGAGCUUGUUUUAGUCUGUAUAAGGACUUGUGAAGUCGACAUACAACAUGCUCCCCCUGUUGACGAGAACCAGGUGGGGGUAACAUGUAAACCUCCUCUUGGAGGUCGCCAUGGAGAAAGGCGUUAUGGACAUCCAUUUGAUGUAGAGGCCAAUGGUGAGCUGCAGCAAUAGACAGUAAGCAGCGGACAGUGAUCAAUUUUGCAACAGGAACAAAGGUGUCGGUGAAGUCAAUACCUUCGUAUUGAUUGAACCCUUUGGCAACAAGACGGGCCUUGUAACGGUCAACUGUGCUAUCCGAGUUGUAUUUGAUUCUAAAGAUCCACUUGCAGCCAAUUGGGCAAUGGCCGGGAGGCAGAGAGACCAAAGACCGGGUGUGGUUGGCUUCAAGGGCUUACAACUCAGAGUGCAUCGCAGCAACCCAUUUGGGGUCCUGACAGGCCUGUGCAUAUGAAGAGGGCUCGACCAACCGAGAGAUAUUACGUACAAAAUUCCGAUAUGUAGGAGAUAAGCCAGAGUAAGAGACAUACCGAUGAAGGGGAUACCGGGUGCCAGACAUGGAGGAAGAGACGACCCCAGGUGUGAGCAAGGCCAUGUGAUGGGCUUGAUAGUCCUGAAAAUGGGAAGGAGGGCAUUUGACACGUUCAAACAGACGAGGUAAAUGGGGUGGGUCGGUAGGGGUGAGAUGGACUGGUAGAUCCAAGGAGGUCGACGACAGUGGUGGAGCAAGGGAGGUCGACGGUAUGGGUGGAUCAAGGGAGGUGGACGGUGGGCCAAGCAAAGUCAGAGGAGAACUAAAGCCGCCAUCGAUGGGAGAGAGAGAAGGCAUGGAGAGUGAUGAGGUCGAAGGGAAAUAGGGGCCUGAAAGGGGAGUAAGAGAGGGAAGUUAGGCAGGGUUUGCUUGGGCCGGAUCUGCUGAAGGAGAGGUUGUUACGGGUGGGUCAGCUUAGGCCGGGUGUGAUAUAAGAGAGGUGGGCAAAGAAAUAUCUGAAGUGGAAGGAGGAAUAGGAAGAGUGGGCAUGUCAGGUUGAUGUGCAGGGGGAUGAUCAGACAAAGGAAAUAUGUGUUCAUGAAAAACAACAUCCCGAGAGACAAAAAAUUUCUUUGUGUCAAGGUCAAAGACGCGAUAGCCUUUCUGACCAAGAGGAUAACCAAGAAAAAGACAACGACGAGCCCAAGUGUCAAACUUGUGAGUAGGUGUAAGGUUAGUGGCAUAACAAAGACACCCAAAACUCGGAGGUGAGAAUAAUGAGGGGAAGUCCCAUGUAAGAGCUCAUAAGGGGUGUGAUGAGAGAGUAAGGGGGUAGGAAGCCGAUUGAUGAGGUAACACGCAGUUUGAAGGCUAUCUCCCCAAAAGUGUGAGGGUAAGUUGGCUUGGAAACGAAGGGCUCGACCAAUGGUCAAAAGAUGGCGAUGUUUGCGUUCAACGACCCCAUUUUGUUGAGGGGUAUAUGUGCAAGAAUGUUGAAAAUUAAUGCCAUGAGUGAGGAAGAAGGAGCGCAUUGAUAGGAAUUCACCACCAUUGUCAGAACGAAGGGUUUUAAUGCAACGAUUAAAUUGAGUUUUAACCCAAGAAAAAAAUGAUUGCAAUAUGGUUUGUGUAUCAGAUUUAAAAUUCAGAAGAUGAACCCAUGUGAAACGAGUGAAAUCAUCAACAAUCGUCAAAAAAUAACGUGCCCCAGAAUGGGUACGGGUGUUGUGAGGUCCCCAAAUAUCACAAUGAAUAAGAUCAAAAGGUGCAACUGUAGAAAGGUAAUCUAGUUUGUUUAGCCAAAGGGAAAACAUCACAAAUAUGCUGGGAAUUAAACAUUAUUUCGGGAAUAGUCUUGGAUAAAUAGUGAAGGGGUGCAGGGGACGGAUGUCCAAGACGUUGAUGCCAAAGAUUUGAGAUACGACGAACAUGACUCGCUAGGUGAGGAUUUUGGGUAGGCAUGAGGUAGUAAAGCCCAUCAAAAUGCUUACCCAGGCCAAUCAUCUUCUUCGUAUCCACGUCUUGCACAACACAAAAAUCCGGAGAAAAAAAUUACAAUACAUCGUAGAGCUCGAGUUAAUUUACUAACAGAUAACAAGUUGACAUGAAAUUUUGGGACAUGUAAAACUCCAUCAAGAGACAAAUCGGAGGAUAAUUUAAUAGACCCAAUGUUGCAUAUUGCUGCCUGUUCUCCGUUGGGUAAACCAACAAAUUCAUGAUGCGUUGCGGUGUGAUUAUGUGUAAGAGACAAAUGAGAAAUGUGAUCCGUUGCUCCGCUAUCUACAAUCCAGUAUAACGUGGAAUGUGGAUCAUGUUGUGCAAUAUUACAAGUGGGUGUAAUGAUACCUGUUGCAUGUGCCAGUGGCUGACCGUUACCCUUUUUAUUGCGAAGCAUGGCAAUAAGUUCGUUGUACUCCUCCAUGGUGAAGGUUGGGCCAUCAGCAGUGGUUGUCUUGGCAGUGUCAGUAUGUUUGGCUGGUGACUGAUGAAUUUCAACAUUGUGAACUGUUGGGCUGUAACGUUGGUUCCUAGGCUUGACAUUUUUUCCAUGCCAUUUAUGGCCCACAGGGAAACCGAUGAUGAAAUAGUAGCGUUCUUUCGUAUGUCCAUCUCCAUCGCAAUAUGUGCACUUCAGGGAUUUACGGGGUUGUGAAGAUCCAGCCACCGAGGAACGACUGAUUUGCAUUGCAUGGGGAGUGAUCAGACUAUCAUUCCGGCUGGUCACCUCAACCUGGCGCUCAUGCUGAAGAACCAGACCGUGAACCUUGCGCGUAUCAGGAAAGGGAUUCAUCAUCAGAAUCGAUCCUCGAACUGUAGAGUAGGUGUCGUUCAAGCCCAUCAAGAACUGCAUCACUCUCUCUUUUUCUUCUCUCUCGGUAAGGUUCUUCAUCCCUUCACAGUUACAGGAAAAAGGCUCUUGGUAUGAGGCUAACUCAUCCCAAAGAGCUUUCAAUUUCGUGUAAUAUAUGGAGAUUGAUUGUUGUCCUUGUCGACACUCGACAAUUUCUUGUCGAAUCUGAUAAAUUCUGGAGUCAUUGCUCUGUGAAAAUCGAUCUCGAAGAUCAGUCCAAAUAGCAGCCGCUGUUUUAGCGUAGAGAACACUGCUAGCUAUGUCAGGAUGUAGGGAGUGCAAGAUCCAUGACAAAACCAUAUCAAUGCAGCACUGCCAUAGUGGGAAUUUUGAGUCAUCAGAUGAUGGUGUCUUGACAGAUCCAUCAACCAAUCCAAGCUUGUUCUUGGCGCUGAGGCUGAGAUGCAUAGAUCUGCUCCAUCGGCCAUAGUUGUGGCCUUCAAGCUUGAAGUUAACUAGGGAGAGUCCAGGUGUGUCGGAGUUGUGUAAAGAGAGUGGAUCGGAGAAGGUGUCUGUCGGCUUUGUGGUAUUUGAUUCACCCAUGGUUGCUGUGUUUCAAUGGUGUUUGAUAUAUGUGUUUGGGUUUGUAGCGGAAGGUGUUUGUGCUUCAGAGUUGUCUAGAGCUCUGAUACCAUGAUAAAUUGAUAUCUUUGUAUGUAUCUUAACUUCAUAUAGAAACAGGAAUUAUAUACAUGAACGAAGCAGCUAUUCUAGGUAAGGAAUUAUAUACAUACAAGGAAUAGCUAUUCUAGGUAAAUAGAUACUGAUUAUAUAAUAAUUACAUCCAGUUCCUACAAUCUCUCAAUAACAGAUCAUUGACUUAUUUUCAUUCCUUAACACUCUCCAUCUUCCCGUCUUUCUUUACUGUGACAAUUUGAGUACAAAAUACAUGGCGGCGAAUCCCCUUUUUCAUGCUCGCACUAAACAUAUUGUCCUAGAUUACACUUUGUUCGAGAGCGCAUUGCCUCUUACAGUCAUCGCGUUCAGUUUUUACUUUCCAUUGUUCAACUUGUUAAUGUCUUCGCGAAGGGUUUGUCCAAGGAUCAAUUACGUCUCUUGUCCAACAAACUUGUCUCGUCACCCGAGUCAAGUUUGCGGGGGAGUGUUAAUAAGGUUCCCUAAAGAUACAACACCCAACAACUUUUCCUCAAAGACCUGCCAUAAUUCACUCGUGUUUACAUUGUAAAAGUAGAUUCCUCAUCAUUAGCAGUUAUUGCAUCUUUGUCAAUAUAUAUGUUGUAAUUCAAUACUGGAAAUCCAUCAAUGAGAAUUAGUUUCCACAAGAUCCUAAUAGCAAUAGCUAUAUGUGAUAGUAAAGCAUAACACAAAUAAUAUUUCCAUAAACUUUCCUUUUUAAUUUUGGGUUCAAUUAGGAAAUUAGCUUUCCUUUUAUGAAUUACAGAGCUUCUAAAUAUUAUAGCAUGGAACAGGUUGUGGCAGCAAAACCUUAUAGUUGAAGGCUAUGUAGUACUACGGACACUCCAUCAGGUCGAAAUGUGGGGGUGUCAGACACGUGGACACGGCUUGGACACGGGUCAACAGUCAAGACAAGUUUUCGACACAAUCAAGACACUUUUGGACCCGGUCAACUGAAGUCAAGACAUGGCAGGGACCAUUUUGAAAAAUAUACAACACAAAAACACAUAAUUAUUGAAAACUAUGUUGACAUAUUUGAAAUAUUUUUAAAAAGGGGGCUAAAAUUGUAAACAAUAUUUUUUUUUCUUUGUUCCUUCGUAAGAGCUGAUAUUUUUGGUUGACUAAGGAUAUUGAUAGCAAUUUGGUCGUGAGAGAAGCAUCUUUUUGAGUGGGUAAUUCAUUCACUUUUUUUCUUUUUUUCUUUUUAUUUUAUUUAUGAAAACUCGAUUCUUAUUUUAUGAAAUGGGAAACCGUUUUUCUUAUUUUGAAGAUGAUCGAUCAUAUACGAAAAAUGUGUAAAAUUUGGUUUAUUAUGAAUUAUGAAUAUGUGUAAGUAAAUAUGUGUAUUAUUCUUUAUUUUGUUUAGGGAAAGAUGAAUAAUGCUAAGUUAACUCAAAUGAAUAUGAAUUUGUAUGAAUUUGUUUUAUGGUAUUAUGACAUUGAAGUAUUGAGUAUAAUUUUUUUUUAUAAAUAUAUAUAAGUAUAUACUAUUAUAAUUUUAUUAAGAUUUAUUAUUAGUUUUAUUGUUGUGUCCUAAUCGUGUUUGUAUCCUAAUUUUUUGAGAUUUUCGUGUCGCCAUGUUGCGUUUUCGUAUUCUUGACAGGACCCGAUUCAAAUUCCGCUUUGGAAUCCGAGUCAGACCCUAUGCGUGUCCGACACCUGACAAAUGUCGGGCACAAAUGACCUAUUUGCCCUUCUAUACAAAACACGAUUAAAUAACAAGGUUGACUUCUACCGAAAAACCGGCAGAGUUUCCCUUGUAACUGGCUCAAUACCAAAACAUUUUCACAUGCCAAACAAGUAUACAUAUAUACAACCAACUGCCAGGAUAUGUAUAUAUAAAUUCCAACAGUUCAAAUGUCAAUCUAGGGCAAAACAUCAGAGCGACUACUAAAUGUACAAAAGAGUGAAUCUGUUGACAAAACAAAAUCCUACAUCAGAAGAAAGGCAC